rnacentral:lncRNA from 1 species
GUCUUUGAGCCUUGCCUAUUCAGAUAAAGAGUAGUUUGAGGUCAAUAUUCUUUUUUCCUUGCUGAGCUUUCCGGUGAAGAGUAAGAUGCUGAUUCUAUACUAUAUAGGCUCCUCAACCUCUCGCAUCCUUAUUCAUUGAUCUCUUUUCCCUAUGCUUUCCUCUAUCGGCCUCAAUAGAAGGAUUUAGUCGCAGCUUUCACGAAAAUCCUAAGCUAAGACCGCUUCUUCCUAUUCUACAUAUGAGAAUCUUGAAAUCAGACUCUUCCUCAACUGAGAAUCCUAACUUCUAUCGUUCAUGAACCAAUCGUAACCUAGGAGCAGAAGGACGAUGGCUUAUUAAGCUUAUAAAGACAAGUCUGGCUUCCUUCUUUCCUCUUCAAGGUUGCAAUAGAAUGGCUUGACAAAGGAACUGGAUAGAAAGCAUUUCCCGGAACUUCAAGGAGGACAAAGCAAUCAAUGAACAAGGCUCCGUAAGGAGUUGAAAGGAAAUAAAGCGGAACGCAAUAUUCUUUGCACCUUUACCUGUGGUAAUCACUAUAGUACCAGCUGCUGGGUAUGAAAAUCUUCCGCUUAGCCCCGCUUAUAGAGACUACUACUACGCGGAUGAGAACGGUAACUCAAGUUCAAAAGGACUCCCACGGGGGCGGUACCACCUUCUUAACCCACUGAUAUAAGCAUAAGCAGCUUCUAGAGCAGAGCUUGCGAAGCUAACAAGCCUACCUAGCUGGCAUAAGCAAAGACAAAAUUCAGCCGGCCCCGAAUCAGACACAGCUAUACAUAUUUAUAGAGUCCACUGGAACGAAGUCAGAACCUACUAAAAGGUCUCAUUUCUUUCUAGCAACUCGAACUCGACUCGAAGAAGGGAGUUAGCAGGCUGGCCCACGGAGCGGUAACUCCACUUGCCGAGGAGGAAAUGCUCUUCUUUCUUGUUCUCUCUCUUGGAAAAUAGAUGAGAAUACCAGGUUCUCCCUAAUCUCUUGCUAGAAGAGUGUGAUGGUUUUCCGUCUAAUUUGACCUUCAAUUAUUUGAAGAGAGAGUUGUGUCUGUAGGAAAAGGUCUGUCUCCUAGUUUCAGUAAAACUACCAUAAGUUUUGAAUUUCUAAACUCCUAUAACUUCUCCUUGGAAGUCUACAUUCACUAAAUACUAAGAGAGAUGUCCUAAUUCAUGGGUGUGAUUGAUACCUAUUCAAAUUCUCCCUAGACACAAAGAAAGAAAGUGAGAACUCAUUUUACGUACGUUUUUCUCUGAACGGAUAAUUUCAGUGUGAUCCACACCCCAACGGGAUUAUCCCACUUUCUAUACGAGAAAAGAGUGGUAUCAGAGAAUCCCAGAAAGUUCAAGCCAUAAAAAAAGUUCAGACGCUUCUUUUUUAGACAAAGACAAAGAAAAAAAUCGAGCUGAGAUAAUUCUUUGAGCGCUCCGACGGAGCAAAGACGUCCAAGAGAAAUCAAGCGGAAGAUGAGUCUUUAUCCAUAUUCAAUUCCUUGCCGUAGGGUCCACAAUAUCCUUGUCUUAUGGAGCCUUGCCGUAGGUGCUUUCCUUUAUUUGAAAGAUUAUUCAAUCUAUUAGAUGGGGAAGGGAAGCUUAAUUCAGAGCUGACUUUCAUACGAAAGGCUGAAUGAAUUGAGAGGAUCAAUGAAAUAAAGCUAGGUUAAUACGGAUAGUCACCUGGACCUUUCUUUGACGGUUCAAAGAAUAUUGCGACUGAAUUUCAUUCUUAUGUUCCUGCUUUCGAUUUAUGGAACUCAUCCGCUUUAUCCAUAUUAACCUCUCGCUUCCGAAUCAGGCAGGUGUCGAGCUUACGAUUGAGCGCCGCUGCCUAUUGAUGGAGGGCUAACUUUUAUCGUUCACUGUCUGAUGUGGAGUAGUUAGACAGUUUGGCAUGGAAUGCUUCCACUUCUUCUCGUGAAUCUCAUAUACAAUAGAAAGAAUAAUCGCAAAGCAUAACGGAUGAGGCAUUCACCCACUUCAACAACCGGAAGAACUUAUGCUACUGAGCGAAGAACUUCAACUUAUGAAACUGCUUAAACAAGGCGCUUCUAAUGGAUAGUCCGGAGGACUGGAAGAUUUUCACUGGGGGAUAUUCUUUUGUUUGCGUGAGUUGCGUGAGAAAUUAUCUUCUAAAUCAGAAUUAAGGGGCUUGGCUCGAAAGGUUUACUAGAGCAAGGGUUGAUCGAGCUUCCCGAACCUAAGAAAGCAGCCCACUACGCGGUGGGACGAGUAGGAGAUCCCAAAGACUGCUAAUUCCAUCGGGUUAAUAGUCAUCCGAUAGACGAUUGUUGGGUUCAACAAGAAAAGAUCCAAAAGUUCUUAAAUGAUGGUGUCAUUGAAAUAGACCGUCCUAAGCAACCUGUGGUCACCUCCAAUCCGGUAUUUGUAAUAGUUGGAUUCUUUGCCCGAUAGCUGAGAUCUCGCCAAGCAUAGCCUAUUCUAGUUCUAGCACCGGAAGAGCAAUUGAAGAGGAAAAAAAUCUUGAUUCAAGAUAUUAAAGAAGAAUGGAGCACUCGUCUUAGCCGAAGGAGUAGGAAGCGCCAACGACGAUUGAGACCGCCUAGCACUGUACAAGACGAAGGUAUUCAAGGAACUCUCUGAUGCAUCUUCAUUAUAUCAAUUUUUGCAUCGGGAUUGGGUUAACUAACUUGAUGGAAUCACAUCACUGCAACUAAGCAUUGAUGGCUGAAAGCAUCUGUUUUGGGUGUCAGCCGUUACAGCAAAAUCAUCGGUGCAUAAGGCUAUCUUUAGCGGUUCGUAGUGACCCAUUUUCCAGCGAAAGAGCAAGCAACCUCUUAUGUAGGAGAAUCCAUCGCUUUGUCAUGCAUAUCAGUUGUCAAACCUAUAUUCUUGCGACAUCGACUAUGUUCGCCCAUCGCAUCGACGGACUCGGCUUCGUCCUAGAACAUCGUUAAUGAGCUUAUUUUGACACUGCUUAGAUUCGAAUUGGUUCGGAAGAGAGGAUCGUCAUCAGUUUAAGACCUUUCGGCCUUGAGAACAUCGACUCAUCUCAAGGUAGUGGUCGGCCUUCCUACAAACCGCUAUCACUUUGGAAAACCGUCUUUCCUCAUUUCAGUCAUCAUUUUGAGCACAUUUUAAUGAAUCUUUACAUCGCUCUCAGGCUUUCGCGCAAGAAAAAUCGCCAUAUAUGUUCGCCCGUCGCUAGCAAAGAAUUCUUUCGGAGGCCGCCGCCGAGAGACAACCUAUCUAUUCAAUUCCUCUUUUUCGUGGACAAGCCUCUUCUAUUCCAGAAAGCAGCAAUAACCGGCCAGCGGUAGACACCGCCCGUCACAAACACGUGAACGAGAGAGCAUCUCAUCUUUUCAUAGAAAUGUGCGGUAAGCAAGGCAUCUGCUUUUGCUGAUCAAAACUGCUUUUUUUUGUUCCCAAGGAGUGCUAUUCGAACCUAGCCCAGUCUUGUAAGACCUUCUGUUAUGAGUGAGCAUCGGCCCCGGGAAUCCCUUGCUUUUGGCUACGGUCUUUUUUUCCCUCUAAACUAAUAAUGAACAAAGACUACUGGAACGGCACGACAGCAAUACCACGACAGAUAUACUUACCGACAAGAGAGAGCGAGACUGACCCACCUAAGAGAGAGAACGCAAGAUUGACUCCCCCCUAUCAUUUGUUGGCCGGAAGAAAGUUUUGAUUUCCCACGGGGGACUAGAGGAGCAUUUUAGGAAUCCCACGGAGCGGUAUCGCUUGUGAUAAGGAUUCAGUCUCAUUCAUAUAGUAAUGCCCUUAGCUUGCGCCCUAUUUGAGACUGAGACUAAGAUAUAUAUGGAAUAGUCCUUCGGACCUGUCCUAGCACCUUUCUAAAAUCCCUAGCUCUCUUCCUUAGUGCAACUGCCCUAUUCCUAUCAUGGGAAUAUCUAUCUUUCUUUCUUGUGUCAUAUCUAUAGUUUCUUUUCUCAAAGCGGACGGUAUCGUAUAUUCAUCAAGAGAUUGUUGACGUUAGUAGACUAAUCUAUGAAUUGGUAGGGCAUUUCUUCCUGUGACCGCCUUUCCUACCACUAACCCAAGCCAAUCCGGGUUUUUUCUAAACUAAACCUUCGGGAUUUUUUUAGGAUGAAUACAUGCAUUGAUCCAGUCGAAGAACCUGCUCCAGAGCUACUACUCUGUCUAGUCUAUCUUCCUGCCCGCCCCGGGUUCGCAUCCAUUGCCUGGCCUAUGAUACGAAUUGGAUGAUCGGGAACUGCCGUAGUUGGUGAAUAACGCUAUCGCGAGCUAGAAAAAAAGAAAUCUUGGGAAUUCGCUCUUUGGUAUUCGAUAACCCCCACUACGCGGUGUAGGCGCUUUACCGUGUUGGAGAGAAAGAGAAGAAGGAAGGAGUGAAGUAAACAUCUAAAGUUCAAAAGUCAACCUUAUAAGCUUCUUAUAGUGUGCAAGACCAAUAAGGGUUGUCAGUUAGACUUCCUCUGAGCACGCAACAAGCUGUCCAGAGUGACGGUUAGCGGUACUCCGUCCAAAGAGUCAGAAUAGUAGCUAUCGCCCUAGUUAGUCGUUCAGAGCGAGGACGACCAGCACAACCCCUUUUCUGCUACUAUCAUAGGAGCCGUCUUAAGCAUAGGCGCUGAGAACACCCUUCUUUGGCGAUGCCCAAGAUCGCAAUGGAUUCCACCGCGACUUUGAUUAUAUUAUACGAUAGCGGUCUAUGAGUCUUUGGCGUACCUACUUGAUAGAGCUAGGACCGUCACGGUCAACUUUCUUGUUCUUUUUCUCUCGCUAUGCUUUGCAACUUUCAAAAAAGAUUGUACGAGCUCCAGCAAAAAUCAAGCUCUGGAUGUGCAAUGAGGUAGUCCGGCAAUAUUCUUUGCACCUUGCACUCCUCUCACGCAAACCCGCAAUAUUCUGCAUUGAGCCUUGGCACCUGUCCUCCGGACUAUCCAUUAGAAGCGCCUCUUGUCGAGUAAGAAAGGUUCGGUAAAACUCUCGGGGAUGGAUCGACUGAUAAGGAAUCCCUCGUCGCAGUGGCAGGAGUGUGCUGUACUCUUUCAUAAAGAUCAGUCGGGACCUGGGCGUCGGCCUGUGCACUCUAUUUCUUAAUCAAUUGAUGUAUUCCGCAAGACAAUGAAUACGUGGAAGUCAAGAAAAUCAGCUCAUUAACGAUAAUGAAAGAAGCUCAAAAUGGGAAUUCAAAAGAAAGAGGGAGAUUUCAGAGCUAGAUUGAAGAUGAAUCCGCGGAGGGAAAUACAUGAUUUUGCUAGGUUUUGCCCAUAGGGAAGUAGCAAGAAAUCAUGAAAAAUCAGUCAUUUUUGAUCUAUUUUCGUUAGAUAAGAAAAGUCGAAAAAGUCCUAUUUAGAAGCAAAAAAGCCGGGAAAUAGCAAUGAAAGAAUCAUAAAGGGAUAAGAAAUUCACAUAGUUUGUUCAAACUUCUAGUUUCUGGUCCGGAGAAAUACGGGUCUAUUCUUUAUUUCACUCCAGGUUAUUCAAUCAUAAGGAUUCUUGAAUUCGAGUUAAUGAGCCCGUAGUUAGGAGUAUUAAGACCGGUCCUACGUCCAUUUAUCCUCCGGACUAUCCGUAAUUAACCGAACUUUGCACCUCCGGAUAGGAAAAAAGUGACUAAAAAGGAGCUCAAGUCAACGCAUAUUGAAUUGCACCUCUUCUCUCCCUUUCUUUUUGCUUCGCACCUCUUGCGAGUCGAGUUUCUUCUCACCGCGUAGUGGGGCGGAUCCCACGGAGCGGUUCAAACUGAAAUUGAAAGAUUUGAAUCAAGGGAAUCUGGAUCUGUACCGUCGAUCCUGUUAUGAGAAGAAUGAAAGCAUAUAAUCGUAUCCUCUCGGCAGCUUCUUGAUCUUCCUCUUCUGGGCCUGCUACAUCGUUCCGACCCUUGCUUUGCUUCUUAAUACGGUCGAAGGGUAUUACAAGCGCUCGACCUACUUCAGAGUCUUUUCGAGAAUGGGAGUCAAUAAAUAAUGAAUCCAGUUUCCAGGUUCAAGGCCCCACGUAGGGGGAAGAGAUCUAGCUGAAAGAGCUGCUACAACUAAAGCAAGGACUGCUGGAACAAGAACUGCUACUGCCUCCGAUUCCCCCUACCUAAACUGAGAUUCUUCUUCUUCGAAUUCAACUGAUUUAUCUAACUGCUUCGGAUCCACGGAGUGCAAUAUUGAAGAAUUUAUUAGAAAGAAAGAAGCAUCUCGACUCUUCCAAUCCAUCUUGAUUGUAUAGGUUUCAUGAGAGGGGAAUAACUACGAAUGGGAACUUCCAGUUUUUGAAGUAGGAUCACUAGAGGCAGAUUUUCGGGCGGGGAGGCAGUCCCAGUUGAAUGAUCAGUUUCGGAAGUUGCCCACUCCGCGGUUCAAAGAAUAUUGACAGUCGCUUUAGUUCUUGCAGCAGAAGUAGCUGUCGUAGCUCGUCUUCCUCUUUCAUCAGUGGCUCUUUCUGUAUCGGUUGAAGAACUAUAGAUAGGCCCAGUUUAGCAGAGCUUCACCAUAGGGUCUUUCGUCGGAUUCUGACUAGUGAUGCUGCACUUGUAUUCCCCAUACUCGGAUCGUAGCGGGCAAUCAUCUCUCAGUCGAUAAAGGCUCGACGCACCCAUCUUGUAGUUGCGGUUCUUUCUCUUGGUGAUAAGAGUGAUAAGGCGAAUCAAGUGGCAUUUAACUCUUUCUUUACGCCUUCUUUCUUUCUACUUUCUACCAGUCCUUUUUAGAGUCCUUCGGACGUCCUCAGUCCUAUCCAUUAGAGAAUUUGAGUUGCGGCUAUUCUAAAAAGGUAUAAGGUUGCCUAUAUUUCAUUCCCGAUUGAACAAGGACAGAGCCUUAUGCGGAAGACAUUGGUGGUGGGACAACUGAAAGGGCGGAUGCCUCAACCGCAGAGUGGGAGUCUCACCUUUCUCUUCUUAUGUUGGGAGUUUUUGUCCCAUAAAAAAGAAUAUACCUUUUCAUCAAUCCGUAGUUCAUCCUACUCAUCAUCAUAUACUAUAGAAAAUCAGAGCUUCUAAAGCAGAACGGAUGAGGCAGGAGAGACUGAAACGAGAACAAGAAAAGCCACUUCCUCAACAGAACAAGUGAGAGCCACGGCCUCUGGUCGAACAGCCUCUUAAGUGGGUCGCUCCUUUCUCUCUCGCUUUAUUUAGCUCGACUCAAUUACAUUGAUCCGAUCCUGCUCAAGAAAUAAUCAGAGUGUUGAAGACCGUCCUUCAGCAUAAUCUAAUAGGAUCAAAGUAUUUGAGCUUUGCGCCUAGCCUUCGGACGGAAGAAAAACAAAGGUCUAUAUGAACUACAUCGCAAUAUUCUUUGCACCUCACGCAAUGAUCUUUGCUCCUCCUUCUACGCUCUCCAUGGGCUCGACUGAGAUGGACGGAGGCUAAGACAGGGAUAUUGAUGAUUGAUUGACUGGUCCGAAGGACUAUCCAUCAGGGAGGCUCAAAGCAAGCCCACUACACGGGAAGAAUGGAUAUUGUAGACCGCGGGGGAGGGGUCAAAGAAUUUGAGAAGAAGCGAAGAAAGCCCUCACUGAGCGAAGCCCACGUAGCGGUAUGAAAGAGUAUGAAAUGACUAUGCGAGCGUACAGAUCCCCAUAUUCAUUAGGCGAAGGACUUAUUUAUUGAACUGAAACUGACUGAACUUUCCUUUCACCUCUCCUUCUCUUUCUACACUCGAAGAGCUGAGCUCCAGAUCCAAUGCUGAUGGCAAGGCUUGAGCACUACGAAUGAGCUCUGGCGUCCGGAAACUCACUCAUUCAAAAAAAAAGAUGAGAUCGAUUCAUUGCACUUCCUUCUUGACUUCCGCGUAGUGGGCCCUCCCUCUCCUGAGAAUGAAAGCGAGAGGGUUCGGAUGUAGUCCGAAUCGAGAAAAUACUGAGUUUAGGCCCCUUCUCGAGUGAAGUAUAUUGGGUCCUCCUUUCUUCAACUCCAGGAUCUCAUACCGAUGCCUUCAAUCAAUGGCCCGGCCAGGGGAGUUCAUUAAAGAGUUCGAGUCCACUCUCUCUACUUAAAUUGAGAUUUGGGAAAUCCAUGAUUUAGUAGGAAAAAGACUUACUUGAGCAAGAGCAUUCCUCAUCCUAAACCUCGACUCAUUGAAUUCCACUAAGAAGGAUGAUGUUGGGAUCUUCCCUUUGUCCCUGGUCUAUUCCCCUUUCGAGCUUCCUCCACCUUCCACUCUCCUUAUCAGUAGCAAGAUCAGCAGCAAGGGCGAGCCCUAUCUAUCUGAUUAUCCUUUUCGGAGACUUCCCUUCGCAAGAGAUCAUAUCUGGGACUACGGAGAAUUCUCCUCCUUCCCAAUGAAAGAAAAAGUAUGACUCUUCCCUGGUCGAGACUGAUAACCUAGUCCUAUGGAGCCCCACUCUUCUUUCUUCUCUUUCUUCGUAGUAAAUACCUUGAUUCUAUACAGAAUAAGAUAACUCCUUUCGUAUUCAUACCUCGUCUACAUUAAUAGUGAGCGCUGACUCCUCGGGUAAGCCGUUGAGAUCCGGAAGGAUUGAUCCUACUUAUUCAAAUUCAUUCCGAGGCCACUGACUGACUAAUUCUUCUAGCUUUACUCAAGCGAAGAGAAUCGCUUCCGAUUCAUCAUUAUUACAGAGAUGCUAAAUUCAAUGACUGAGAAAACCCAGCCUAUAUCUAACCGAUGUCAGUGACUCACUCUUAUGCUAUGCAUUCAAUGCCCUAAAAGCACCUCUAUCCUGAAAUCUCUCGACUUUCAUCCUAUUUUCCGGUAUGGACGCGAAGCUCCUCUUCCGAUCCUGGGUGGAGCAUAAAAGGACCUCCCCCUCAACUCUUAAGGAAUCAGACUCCUUCUCAUGAAAGAAAGACUUCUUCCGACCCUCUCCCGAAACAAGAGCAUUCUAAACUUCUACAUCGCGGAGAUAGAGGACUUCGAAUAUGAAUUCAGCCUCCUACUACCUUGUCUUUCUUCUUUCUAUAUUCUUGAACUCAUUGAUAAGGACAUAUUCACUUGCAUCCGAAUCCGAGAAGAAGUCAAGCCCACUGGUCUCGCCUUUGUCCUCUCCCACUAAUUAAGGUCGUCGAGCGGACUCUGAUGAAAGGCAAUUCCCCGAUCCUACUUAGUUAUAGCUGGGUUCUAACCUUUAUAGCUGGAGGACUACUUGGUCUAGCUGCUUGGGUAAGCCCUUUCUAUCCUAUUAGGUCUCGAAGCUUCCUUUGUUCCGAUCCAAGUGCCAUAGUUCCGAUCAGAGUCAACUCGGUCCUUGCUUCCUAUUGGUGCUUUAUAAUAUAAGUCGAGUCGUAUGAUAACCUCUAACUCUUGCUUCGGCAACAUCUCAUUCCCUGUCUCCUGAGAACAGUUAUUCAGUAAUGGAAUAAGAGAGUUUCAUACCGCUACGUGGGACUGAUGGAUUCCAUGGAACAAGAGUCACAGCCGCACUCAAUCAGUGACGUCGUAUGAUAACCUCUAACUCUUGCUUCUGAGAAUACUUAUCGCUUCCAACGGAACUUAGUCCUACGAACUGAAAGAUCCCCUUACAAGCUCAGCUACUCACUGUAGAGCAUACUAACUGCCCGCAGCACCCUCCUCUUCCCCCCGCCGAGAGGGCUUCCUAUGGAGGUGGUUAUGCUUCUUCGCAUACGAUCCCUAUCAAGUCAAGCUCCUUCUUCCACUCCCACUAGGUUUCUUCAUACAAUUCCCGCUCCGUGGGAGUUCUAGCUGCCGAGAGAAGAGUUACCUGUCUGCGUCCCCGCUCCGUGGGCUUCUUAGUCUCUGACCUUGAUUCCAGGACAAAUAACUAUUCUCCUUCCUCGGUAAAUCGGGAAAGCUGAUAAGGGCAACUUCGUCUUACCUUGAAAAAGUAGUUAUUCCCUGAACACUCGUCUUCUCGGGCGGCUUCUUAUAACAUAACCUUCCACUCGGGACACCCGUACCUAACCCUAUGAUUCAGAUGAAUGAGAUCGCACGUCUUUGAGUACUUCCCGCCGAUGAAUUGGGAUUUCUUUCUCAUAAUAGAUAAAGAAAAGAGAUGCAUGCUACUUAAAUGAGAGAUUCAGACCUCUGAAGAAGACCUAUCCUGGGGAAGUCUCGCCCUUUCUCCUCUCGCUUUGUUCGAGCAUAUUUCCUCUUUCUUCCACUCGAAAUCCAUAUAUAUCCUACCAGCCCGCAACCCUUGUUUCGUUACUGACUCUAAUUCUAUUCAUUGAAUACCGUAAAUAAGUAGAUAGAAGAAUAGUUCUUGCAAUGGUAAAGCUCCUAACCCCGAUCAGGAAACCCAUGAAAGAGCAGACUCAACGGAUAAGUCUUCAUCAACCCUAUCUGGGAAAAGGCAAGUCUGAUCCCGGUCCUUUGUCUCCAUUCUGAGAUUCCGAGUUGAACAGGGCGUGAACCUUCCCAUAAUUCAAAGUAUGAAAUAGACUUUUCAUCUUUUCUAAUCCGGAAUGCGGAGUAGGAGGGAUCUCAACAAGAUAGACAUCUUUAUCCCAGGAUUUCUCCUUUCAAGCCUUUCCUUUCAUAAUCGUUCUUUAUAUAAGGGGUUGGGACUCAAUAAAUCCAGUAAGAAGGCAGGGAGAUCUAGCAAGAGCAGACUCUUGUUCAACGACAGCUAGAACGAAAGCUAGGAGAUAAACUGAUUAUUCUGAAAGAACCUCUCCUCUUCCUCUGGUCGAGACGUGCCGGCUCUUCCUCUUGAGAAUUCCUGCGUAUCGUUCAGUUACUCGUAUUGUAGGUGGAGCUCCAUAACGUUCUAGCCUCUCGCUGUGGAAUAGUAGUUAUCCCAGGAAGACAAUCCACAGUGAAAAAAGUAGAUCUGAAGCCACUGAUAGGCGGCCUUUCUAUCUUAUGCAUGAGCUGAUGGGUCUGUCUGUCCGCAGCUGUGAAUUCUAGCAAGAAAGCUAUGUCUCUUUCGUGACAAGCACUCGGAUAUUCUUUCUCUUUCUCUGACGCUUGGAGUGAUGACCUCAUAAGACCGAACCCUAUUGCUGCUUUGCACCUGGCCGGUCGAUCUGACUAACUAAGUUCUUAAAUGGCACAGCUCUCUCACAUAUGAAUACCUUUACUGUCGAGCUAGGGUUUCUCCUAUUUCAUACCGCUACGUGGGUGACUCCCGAUCCUCUCAGUCUCGGUCUCCUUUUCCCGGGUUGAAGGAAGCCUUUCUUUACGUCAAUAUUCUUUUCACCUUAUUUAUUCAAUAUGAUUCAAAUAUUUCUAGUCCUUCGCGGAGGGAAAUACAAGAUUUUGCUAGGUUUUGCCCAUAGGGAAGUAGCAAGAAAUCAUGAAAAAUCAGUCAAAAUUAGACAAUUAUCGUUAUUUAGAGAAAACCGAGAAAGUAUGAAAAAGAAGCAAAAAAGCCGGGAAAUUGCAAGGCAUUGUCCUAUUUGAUUUUCGAAAUUCACAUAGUUUGUGAAAACUUUUCUAAUGGAUAGUCCGGAGGACGGAGAAAUACGGGUCUAUUCUUCUCAAUAUUCUUUGACCCUCCAGGUUAUUCAAUCCUAAUGAUUCUUUCAUUCGAGUGAAUGAGUGAAUUAUUCUUGAAUUCGAGUUAAUGAGCUGAUUUUCUUUGAUUGACUUUGAACAGGUCCUUCGGCUAGGCGCAAAGUUCUAAUGGAUAGUCCUACGGACUCCGGACGGGGGAACCGAAGGCGCAAAGAAUAUUGCCCAUAUUGCCUCUCGUCUUAUUCCACUACUUAAGAAAAGCAAAGAAUAUUGCGAUGAAUCAUAUUUGAAAGGCGGUCGAUGAGCAAAGAAUUUGCACGGAGGCGCAAUGAAAUAUGCGAUUGAGAGUAGGUGCUUUUUCUGAGGGGUGAGGGGUAAAUCAAGAGGUCGUAUUGGUCGUGGAGCAGGCCACGAGGAAGGGUUACGGUUCGACUUCAAUCAAUUCGGAGAUUGAGAAUAAUCUAAGAGAAGGUUGCCAGUGAGGUGGUUCAUGUGAGAGAGGAAGAUAGCCACUGAAUAAGGAUAAUCAUCUUUCUUCUGCAUAAGCUUGUUAAGAUGACAACUGGAUAAGCUGCAUCAUAAGAUAAGCUUUCCACGGAUUCAAAGGGCUAGUAGGCCCCAUGGCAUGUAGACCUCGCUCCAGCCUUUGCCUCAGACAUUCUUCUUCAGUCGAGCUAUUUCAUAACCUAGGCUUUCUCUUUGGACGGAGGCUGAAUUCAUUGAGAGAACUUAUCCUAUUUUAUGUCUUUUAUUGAGGCUAGGGCAACUAUUUCUCAAAAAUACAAAAGAUGUAAAAGCUCGGGGAGUCAGACGAAGGAUUAAUCUCUGCACAAUAAGGAAGAGAGCAGAAUCAAUGAACAUCCAUAAAAGAAAUUAGGGGCUGCUGCUUAUCCAGUUGUCAAUACAGCUUCGGGCUUGAAAGCAUUGAGGCAGGCAUAAGCCGGCCCAUCAACCUAGCCCCUCUUAUGAGAAUAAGGCACAUAAGGCGCAAAGAAUAUUGCGGAAAAGAAUAUUGAAAAUGAAAACAUCCGUCAAAAUUAGGGUUGUGAACUAAUCUUAGAGCACUCAAAAAAAGUACCAUACCUUGGGCGGAUAGCGGGAAUCGAAGGAUUGCGGGCAGGACAAUGAAAACUGACUAACCCCCUGUACCCUCACCUCAUUACUCUGAGGAAUUGCUUGAACUGCUAGUGAGAGAUGGAAUCGAAGCAGUAGAAAAUGGUAAAGGAAGGACCGCUACGUGGGCAUCUGGAAGUCAUCUUCACCCUUGUUUUUGGUCAGGUAUAACUAUUGAACUCGGGGCUGAUUACUCUACUCUACUGCCUUAGCUAGAGGUCGAUCGGCCCAAAACCAUACUCUAUUUCAUCCGUGGAUUCCUAAGUCUCUAUACUCUAUUCUAUAUACGCAAAUCCUUCCUUUCCUCGCUGGAAUUGAAACCUAAAAGAAAUACGAAUUGAAUUUUGAUGGGACGUGGAAUAGGUCAAGGUUGAGGGUAGAGUUACCGCUACGUGGGCUGCUCCAGGGAAGACCCCGGACGGAAAGAGAGAUAGAAAGAGAGUUCGAUCCGAAACAUAAGAACGAAAGAAGAAAGGAUUAAGGAAGACUCCGCGAACAAAGCCCUUGGGAAAGAGAUCUCAUUCUUUGAAUUGAGUGCUAUGCAUUCACAAAAAAGAGAAAGGAAGAAGACUCCUAACCGUCCGAAGGACUAUUCAUCAUAUUUGAGAGGUUAAACUGGGGGUCUCACUUCAAGUUCGAGAUCUGACUCAUGGAGUGACUCAAAAAAGAUAACUUAGAAGAAUGCCAGCAUUUCGGAGUAGAUAUAUUUAUAGUAGUUCUAGCAAAAAAAUAGUUCACACCUGUCCUCCGGACUACGGAUAAAUCACCUGGACCUUUCUUUGGCCCUGCGGACUCCGGACUGCGGACUACGGACUUCUUCUUCUUUAAAAGGAAGGGUCCAGGUUUCAUAAGACUCCUUCUACGCGGUCUCGCAAUAUUCUUUUCACUGGGGGAGGCUCAAUGCAAUUUGAGUUGCGACUUUCACGAAAAACCCUGAUAAGUGAACCCAGGUCUCGCUACCAAACCAUCCCGUGUAGUGGGAUCGAGCCCCUUACGAGCACUGUCGCAGGGGAGUCGUUGGUUCCGCUUGCUCUUUCAGUACGAGGAUAGAGAAAGAAAGGCUCGCGAUAAGCCUUGGCUUUGAGAUGAGGCGAGGCGGAGUGGCUGAUCAGCUAGGGCAAUUCCCUUUCUUCAGUGCUUUGGCUCUUUCCUUAUUUUAUUGUGAAAUAAACUUAGCUGCCUAACGCCUUUCUGAAAAUCAAAGGAGAUUUCUUGGUCGAAACCAAAGCACUGAACUUAGUCGCGAAGAAGAAGCGAGACCCCUCCGGAGGAGAAGGAUAGGGGUUCAAAGAAUAUUGAAGCAAGGAGCAAAGAAUAUUGCGAGACCUCAGGAGUCUGAGAUCAAUGAAUGAGUGGAGUAUGAAAGAUCAGAGUGAAUAGGAGAGAGAGAAGAGAAAGAAAGGGCUUGUCCCCCACGGAGCAGGGGAAGUAACUGCAAGCUUUCUUUCCACCUUUGCCGAAUAGGGGUGGUUGCGGGCAUUGAAAGAAUGGGUUGGGGCCCUAGCUUCUUGAGGCAGUGCCAGUCGCAGUUCUCGUUCUUGAAGUUCUUCUUUCAACUCAUCCGCCUUUGGAGGUUAGCUAUAGCUAGGCCCAUAAUGAAUUAGACUAGAAGCAAGCUCGACCUCUGUAAUAGUACAAGCAGAAGAAAUCCAAAAACUCUACAUAUUAAGCUGUAAAAUCAAUAUAUAAGGAUCUUUGAGCUUAACUAAGGCGCAAAGAAUAUUGCGAAGGCUCAAUUUGAGGAGGAAAGAAUAUUGCGGAAAAGAAGAAAGGAGCGCAAGGCGCAAAGUUCGGUUAAUUACGGAAAGUCCGGAGGACAGAUAAAGAAAGGCUUUUGAUUUGACUUUUCCAACUCCGUUCCAGUUCGCCAAGGAGUGUGAGUCUUGAGCGGAGGCAUAAAAAGCCGAAUCAUAAAGACGGAGCACCACCCACUCUUUUUGAAAGGGAGAAAACGACUCAAAAAAAGAGGAGCAUCUCCAUGGGCGAGGACUCUUUGGACGGAGGACGAGGAUCAGAAAUCAAGAAAGCACUACGCGGGAAGAAUGGAUAUUGUCUUAGGAGCAGCGAGACCGCGGAAGGACGAGUCUUAUUCCACCAAGGACCACGACGGAGCAGCUCGCAUAUUGAAUUGGGCCUCCUCGAAUAUGAAUUCAUCCUAACAAAAAGAAGAAAUAUCCUCUCCGUUAGGCGCAAAGAAUUUGCGAAGGACUAUCCAUAUUAACCUGUGACGCCUUCUGACUAUUCAUCAUAUUUUUAAGAAAGCACUGGACUUUUCUUUCUCUUUGACAAUUGUAAAAGAAGGUGAAAUAUCCUUUAUAGGUCUGACCUUUCAAAGGUAAGAGGUCAAAGCAAAGCAAGCUUGCGAAGCAAGCGAGGCAAGAGCUUCUUUCAGCUUUUCCCGAACCAUUUGAACUCCAAUUUUUUCCUCUGCUGCUUUCAGCCCACUCCACUUCAUUGACCGAGACUUUCUAUUCGGUUAAAGACCUAGCCACGAGACCAACUCCUGUCUUCUGAGAUCAAUUCCCAGAUGCUUCGAGGCCGCAAGCUUCUUUAGUUUAGAGAAGGAGAUUUCUUCUGAAUCAGGGAAACUGCUCAACCGGAACUCUUCCCAUAGGCAUGAUUAUGCACUAGCAAGUUCCAAGAAGAGAAGUCAUAAGCCAAAGAUGUAUUCGAUCCUGAAUUUCAGGUAAUCUUGGCCGAUUGGUGGGCCCACGUAGGGCUUUGAUGAGCGAAAGAGCAUCCUCAACUCCCAGUCCCGGGUAAAGGUCAAGGUCUUUCAAAAGUCCAGAGAAGAAUUUUCAAUGGAAAGGAGUCAAGUUCAUCCGCAGGGAAGGCAAUCCAAUCGUCGGAAGAAGCGUCUUUCAAAAUCAAGCUCAUCCUCAUCAUUCAAGGCAUAUUUCAUUCCGCCUCAGUCCUAUCCAUAUUAACCCAGAGACUGUUAAGGAGUGCAACUGAUUAAUGGAAAAAAAUAGUCAUUUGAGAAAGAUUCUCUAGACAAAAACCUCCCUAGCUAGCUGCAAUCCAAACCUCACCUCUCCCAUGUUGGGAAUUCUCUUCUGCUCGUGGAUAUCUAAUGCUAGAAGUUCGAGCAAAUAUAAGGAAGCCGCAGGCUUAGGUUCGUCAUUUAUUGACGGAUUUUCCGGGCUUAAAUGACUUUCUUUUUCCUUCUACCAAUCCCAGUUCGGCUAAGACGAGGCAAUGUAUAUUGUUUUCAGUGGCACGAGCUUCUUCUUGUGAUGAGACUUUGGAUCAAUUGAACCGGGUCCAGGGGUUGACUCUAUGGCUAUUCCGCUUUUUCCGACAGCUGCUAACUCACUGGCACGCUUAAGGCCCUUGCGCCUGGUCUUUCAAAGCCUUGGGCUUGAGCAAGGUUCGAAUUCCGGGUUUUAUAUAUAUAUAAAAGGUGGGAGAACUCCGAGCAAUAUUCUUUCCUCCUUGCCUCUCUUUUCAAAUGCUCUUAAAUAAAGAGCGGUUACGCCAUCAACAGCGAAAUCGAUGGCACUCGCCUUCUUUCAGCAUUGAAUAAGUAACUUCCUUUCCCACCUCUCCCUUCCGCUGCUAAGCAGAAUAUAGCUCUUCUUCCUUUCCUCCCGGGUGAAGAAAAGCCUAUUCACCUUUGCUUUAAUGGCGAAGGACUCUUUCUGGUAUAAGGCGAUUCAAUCUUCUUUGAACCUAGUGAACAUCUUCUUUUGAUUGCUAAACUCUACUUGAGACUUUCCCUUUGAAUCCCUUCUAUCCUUCCCUCCUUACCUCUGUCUACAGAGCCCAUCUAAAUGCCUCAGCCUAAGACAUCUCAGUGGAAUGCCUCUAAUGAGCUCUUUCCGGCAGCAAGUCUCGGGUAUUCUAUCCUCCCAUACAUCCUUCCGACAAGGCAUGAAAUAGCAUAAGAUAAGGCUUCGCUACCUGACUUCUCAGCCAUUCUAUAAGCUAUAAGAAAAGUCAAGAGUAAUCAAAUCGAUAGUUAUUACGGAUCUCAUAUUCCUUAUUAACCUUGGCUACACCAUCAGUCAUUUCCUUUUUGACUACCCCAUAACCUUCUCUUGCUUGGUGUUCCAACCAAGCCGGCAUCCGAGCGGCCCACGGAGAAAAUGAGAAAAGGAAAGAGGAAAUUUCCCUUGAGCCACAGAAGAGAAGACAAAGGAUUAGCCUUUGACUAUGCUCAGGCUUCACACCAAGUCAAUCCUAUAUAUAUUCUUUGCACCUCUCCUUUCAUUCAAUAUUCUUUGAACCUUCUUCAUUGAGCGGAGGACUUAUCCUCUUAUUAGUUUCUUUCUAGUCUUUACAAUCAUCAAGACCUCCGGACCGAUCGGUCUAUAAUAUCCAAGCAAGAACAACGGACACUUCAACCGCAGUAGACCAUUUCCCAUAUGGUGGUCUUUCUUCACCCUUUGGAGGAUUGGAGGUCUUACUCCGCGCGCCCUUUUCUGUACGGGUACGUGCCCUUUAUCGUCUUUCUUUUCCGCCUAAGAUUCCUUGUUUAAUACGAGAAAUCUCAAAGUACAUUUUCAGCAAAAAAGACCCGAAGUAGGAAAUGCAGCAAGUUUUGUUGUCAAAUCAAUGGAUUUUCCUUCUUAUAGAAAUCUCGUUUUGUACAUAAAUUGCGUAAAGAGCUAUUUGAGCACUUAAACAUAGAAAGGGGAGAAUGGGUCGUCAGUUAGCAUUUGCUAAAGAAAUGCGCAAUCAACUCGUAUAGCCUACCCAACUUAAUAAAGAGACUCCGCUACUUCAGUGGAAGAGGUGGAAUUCGAUCCAGGCUGAUAGCUCCCCAGAUCCUGCAACAGACCUCGCAAUAUUCUUUGCACCCCAAAAAAAGUGUGAAAUCCGCUAAAGUGCUACUGCCUUCUGAGUUCUUGCUUCCCUUCCCACUCCUGUAAACUCUGUAAAGCCUAUUAUUUCCUUCUCCAACUCGGUAUUCGGUAUAUUGAAUAAGCGCUCGCCAGCACAGCACAUCCUCAAAGAGAAUUCCAAAAAGAAAGGUCCAGGGUCCGGAGUCCUACGUCCGCAGGAUUUAUCCUACGUCCGGAGGAUUUAUCCGUAGGACCAUCCAUAUGGAGGGAAGUAGGACUAUCCAUAUGGAAGUAGUCCGGAGUCCGCAGGAUUCUUAUCCGUAGGACUAUCCAUAUGGAAGUAGGACCAUCCGUAAUUAACCGAAGUAGUCCUCCGGACUUUCCGUAAUUAACCGAACUUUGCGCCUAGCCGAAGGACCUGUUCAAAGUCAAUCAAAGAAAAUCCGUUCAUUAACGAUAAUGAAAGAAGAAAAAAAGCAAAUUCAUCUGCUAGAUUUCAGACAUCUUUGCUUAAUGAAGACGGAGUGAAUUCCAUGAUUUUGCAAGGUUUUGCCCAUAGGAAGUAGCAAGAAAAGACAAAAAAUCAGUCAAAAUUGAUCUAUUUUCGUUAAAUAUCAAUAUGAGAAAAAGUAUGAAAAAGAAGCAAAAAAGCCGGGAAAUAGCAACUGGUCCAUUAUCAAAAUCUAGGUCAAAGAAAUUCUCAGUUCUAGUUUGAGUUUCUGGUCCGGAUACUGACGGGUCUAUUCUGGAUUCCGCUCCUCCGUUCUAAUGGCGCAAAGAAUAUUGCGGUCAUGAUUCCCAAGGCUAAUAUGGAUAGUCCUUGCACUCCGUCCUCUUGACUCGUUUUCUCUUCUUAGAUAAAUGCGCUUCUCAAUAUUCUUUGAGCUCUUUAUUCAAUGAUCUUUGAGCCUUAGUUAGGAUCAAUGAAAUUUGAUUGUUGAGAGAACGAAUUCUUCAGCUGCUUCAGUGAAUGCACCAAGGAGCUCCUAUUCUUCUGACUCUUCCAUCCUGCCGCUGAGCUCCUAGCCGGUCGUUCUAAUUCCUCCUCCGCGACUGGAUUACCGCUACGUGGGGUAUGCCGAACUUUCUUCUUCCCUCGUUCAGUUGAGCUGCUUCGUAUCCGUCUGUGUGAGCGGCUCGCACCUCGCCCUCUCGUGGCCUCGUAUUUUUCUCUUUUGAGGUUACGAACGGAUAAAGAAAAUGUGUCUGAGCGGAACGAUUUACUGAAUAUUCUAUGAUAUACGAAACUGUAUAAUGACCCAAUAGCAAGAUCCGUCAAACUCGUAGUAAAGCUGCUGAGCCCCUUCCCCUAGGCUUUCUUCUUAUGGUCGGCUUCCGAGGGGAGGGGUACGGUUCUCCUGAGUUUACUUAUUCAGGUAUACCAUUAAGAAUCAGACUGAUCAAGGCAGAGGAAGGGCCUCAAGCAAUAACUGAAAUCGGAACAUCACUCAAUAGUAGCAGCUUGGGCCCAUAGAGGAGGGUUGAUCUGGUAUGCUUUUCCUGCAUUUCUCUUUUUUUAGUGGUCUAAUCAAUAUAUAAAGAAUAGUCGCAAUAUUCGAGCAAUAUUCUUUGCGCCUACGCGGACGGGUCAAAGAGACUUGAGUUUUUUGAUGCUUUUUCGCAGCACUAACCAGGCGCUUAUUAGCCUAUUUCGGCCCCCUCUCAGUAGAACCUACUAAAAAGAUGAAAGCCUAUCUCCAACCCUUUCUUCUUCAACAUGGGAAAGAUCUCAUUCAAGAGGAAGUAAAGCAGCUUCCACUCGGGAUGCAGACUGAAAGCCGAGGCGCCCGUGGUCCUCAGUCUAGUUGAUAAUAGGAAGUCUUCCCCUAUCUCAAAAUCGAGCCCUCACUCUCGCACAAGACCCCUUUAUUUAUGGAUGUUCAUUGAGCCUCAUUCCGAUUUGACUGACUCUUAGGCACAGCUUCAAUGGCACAGCCACUCAUAGAUAGAGUUCAAUCGCUUCUCAAUAUUCUUUGAUCCUCGCAAUAUGCGCCUCCGGUCGGUCGCUCCGGCUAGUCUCUUCAAUAGGAGGUCCCACCUGGAUCCGCGAAUGAUUUACCUCCUUUUCAUCUCUUUAUGGGAGGGAAUGGAUGGACGGUUGAAGGAAGACCAUACCUUGGUAGAGUACGAGUACAUAACUCCAGAAAAAGAAGACGCCCACUCCGCGGUCCCAUAAGACAGGGAUAUUGAUGAGAGCGAUCUACUAAGAAGAAAAUCUACUGAAAGAAUGCUUUCAACCACUGCCACUGGUGCAAGCAAAAGAGAAAGGGAUGGUGGGGUUCGCUUCGGCUUCCUUCCAUUAGCCUCCCUCUGUACUUUCAUCCUAUAUAUUAGCCGACUGAUUUAUGGAACAUAGACCACUAGGCUUGAUCUUCUUCAAAGCCCUCCUUUUGAUAUUGAUAGGCUUGGAGUUGAUUCUUGUGUCUGACUGAACUUUCUGAAGGCAAAAACCAUAGAUUUGAGGCUUCUAUUCCCCAGUGGAGUCGCCAGCAGUAGGGCCCGCAUUUUCUUUGGCACCGCUUCCCACAUCAUCACUACUUUGGCCACAAAGCCCUAUCAAAAGAAAGAGGAGAAAAAGGGGUUUAGAGGCUUUUUUCUUCCUUUGAUUUUAGGCCGACGGACUCAAGAAUUUGACAUAGAGUCUACGAACCAUUGGUCCGGGUAAGGCCUUCCUUUCUAUAUUCCAGUAUAGUAGCGGGCCCUUAGCGCAGGCAAGAAAUCCAAAAAAAAUCAGUCUUCCAACACGAUUUUUCUUUAAGUAAUGGCCCCAAAGGCGGCUCAUUGAGCCGGUCAUCGGUUGCUAAGAGCCUUUCCUCACUUGAAAAAGCCACUUUUCUUACUGGGACGAAUAUUCGUUCACUGAAAUCGUCGGAUCGACCGGGCCAUAUUUCCUUUUCAUCGGUUGAUUACGCAGAAAAAAGGGAAGAAGGAGCGAGUUAAGGAGAGGAGGCGAGAUCUAAUAUGAGUUGAGAAGCGCAUUUCCUUAGUGGUCCUAAGCCCUUCCUUCCAUAUGGAUAGUCCGGAAGAUUCAUCUGUAGGACUGCGGACUCCGGACUCCGGACCACUACAAGGCGCAAAGAAUAUUGCUCAAAGCAAAGAAUAUUGCGUUAGAAAGGGGAUUAUCUGAAUCCAGAGGUCAGGAGAGAGAGGUAUGAUAAUAUGCUUUCCCAUAGGCCGAGCGGUUAGAAGGAUGCUGUGAAUCUCGAAGUAUUCUCCAAAGGAAAGUCUCAGUUGCCGAAGCUCUGUAGUAAAAGGAAAAUAACUCAUUGAUGUCUUCUCUUCUUAUGAAGGAGUAAUCAGUCUCCAUCAAAAGAGUAUGCAUAUUUGGGGGGCUGAUGUACUUGCCCGCUCGGCCUUCUUUCUUACCGAGAAGGGUGAAGAGCCAGUUGCGGAUGGAGAUUACCUAGCCUCAAGCAAUAAUGAAGAUAGGAAUAGGAUCGAAGGAGGAAUGAGUUACUUCACUCUUAGACGAGAGAGAGCUUUCCCAAGCACCGGAUCCGGGGAUGAAAGCUAUCCGUUUCGGAAGCAAGGGGGCUUCAAUUCGGUCGGGCUAGGUGCCCGCUGUAAGGAGAGGUUUCGAUAGGGUGCGCAGGUGAGAAUCCGAGUUUAGACCUCAGUGGAAAACUUCCCCAGUGGGAUAGGUCUUAAUAAGGAAAGAGAUUUUCUCUUCUUUACGGGAAAGGUUAUCUUUUCUCUUUAGGGUAGCUAGGCAGACUAGAGCUCGGAAUAUGCUCUCCAAAGUAGCUCAGUAGUCUUAGGAGUAGGAUAUGGAGUGGCUCUCGGGGCAGCGAGAGUGGAGUGGGACCAAGGACGAACUCCUUUAGUUGUAGAGUGGUAGAAGACGAAAGAUUCCAGGAAAUUCCUCUUCUUUUCUUUCAUUCCACUGCCAUUUUCGGAUUGAGUCUAUAAGUAAGACUGAUUUAGAUAUGGAUUUGAGAUUCUUCCAUUUCCCCGGUCUUUUUCUUCAUUUUUGGAUUCUCCUGCUUUUAUGAAAAAAAAUCUGAAUAUAAAUCAGUCCCACUAUUUAAGUCUUAUUCCACUAAAAGGCUGAAUUCAAUUUUCGUGACUCGACUCACAUAAAAUAAAGAGGGAUGGACACGCCUGAUACCAAAGUCGGGUGAGUAUGGUCUCUCUUUCGUGAAUCAGAAUUCAGGCUAGUAUGAAUCUCCUAGGAGAGAGGAUGUCUCAUCCGCUACAGUUACCGAUGAAGUGACCGCUGCCCACUGGUCUCGCUGGCCGGCCCAAACCCUAGGUUUUCUUCCUUUUAUCUUAUGCUUUACGAAGAGUUUCUUCUAACCACUGGUGGGAAACUGCCCUCUCUCGCAUUUCAUGGGUUCCUCCUCUCCCGCUACGUGGGGAGGUCAAAGAGGAAUUAAUCAGUCCUCCGCCUAAUUCAUAUGGGGAUCUGCUCAUUCAUAUGGAUCAAAAUCAGUCCCACUAUUUCAAAAGAAAUAUUCAUUGCGCCUCGUCUGAAGACCUUCCACUCGGCCGCUCUCUCUCUCUGUGAGGCUUGACUCAAGCGAAGAGAAGGCAGUCAACCCCGCAAUCAACUCAGUCUUCCCCAGCAGCCCGAGAUCUUCUUCCACUCCCUUGCUCCCUUUCGUACUUAUCUUUAUCUGUCUUCUUCUUCCCAUUUCAGAUGAUAAUGGCAGAGACUGAUUAUGAUACGGAAGAGCUACUCUCUGACGGGAAAGCUGCCAAGGCCUGUCGAUACUUCUGACUCUGGAUCCCUGACCUUUCUAACCUAACCCCCCUUCCGAUCCCUACUAACCCACGGGGCGGAAUCUGAGAAGAACAUCGAUCAGUCGCUUGCAGGAUUUCUGCCUUCUCUUCGCGAUCGGGAAAUCUUUUCUUCUCCUUUUCUAUCUCAUUAUCUCAUUCUUUACGAAAUGCCAUAAAUUCGAUUCUGAGGCCCGUCUAUAAAGUGAUUUUACGCACGUGCCCCAGGAAAAUGCUCAUUCAAAGCAAGGAUGGAUCUUCUUUCUGUAGUCCUUGCUGGAGCCCACUACGCGCUUGCCUAACCCUAGUUCUAGCUCCGAUCCUUAUCUUUCUUAGCAGAAAGCUCUUUCUCGCUCCUUGGAGAAUGCUCUUUCUGAUCCCGAGCCAAGGAUUCAUUCUCCUCCUUGUCAAUAUUCUUUGAACAAGGCUUCCGCUUAAAUCUUUGACUAUACUAGCGCUUUCGACUUGAUAGUGGAACCUUUUCUUUUAGGAGAUGAUGCACAAAUAGAGUUCUUGGUCUCGGGUAGAUAUGGUAGAACAGUGUCUCGUAGCAUUUAAGAAAAGAGAGAGCGCACUUCUCAAAUUCUUUGAGCCGUCCUCCGUCCUUAGUCGUUCUUUAUAUCCAUAUUAGCUUUUCGGCCAAGAUGACAUUCUUUCUUUUUCCAUGAAUGAGUCCGGAGGACUGGUCUCACCUCCCAAAAAUACCCAACCAAGGCAUCCCCUCUUCCUUCCUGUACGGAGUUCUCAUUCUUCUUCCCCAGCCGAUCGAUCCGGACCUGUCCUUUCCCUCUCGUCUUCCUCCACUCCUCCUUACUCCUUUUCAUGAGCUCCUGGGUUUCCAGCACUCUUCGAUUUCUCUUUUCUAAAAGAAAGAGAGUUUCUAGAUAAGCCUCGCCUUAGGAAUAAGGAUCUCAUUCCCGAUCUUUCUACUACUGGAAGAACUAAAGCAGCAAAAGCAAAUCAACUUCAACGGAUGCCUCAUCAGAACCUACUAAAGAAAGCCUACCGCAACAAAGAAAAGAGGUCAAGGAAAGCCUACCUUGAAAUGUGGUCUUCUCAUUCCACUCAAUCUUUCUGUCGAGCAAUCGUCUUCGCCCGAUCCGAAAGAUCUCAUUCCGCUCGAGCUAAGCGGUCCUUUUCUCGUAUCCGUCUCUUGAGCUGCUUCCUAUCCUUCCUUCUAUGGCUUCGCGGAGAUCCAAGGAGUUGUCUUUCUUGCUAUGGCCCCCGGCCGGACCCCUUCCACUCCUUUCCCCCCGGUCAUUCCAACCUUCACCAAGGCAUCCUUAAUCUCCAAUCCCGCAUCCUAAACCUACUGCGCUUGACUCAGUAUAUUGACUAACUACCCCCGAUACAGGAUAAUAGACUUCUUCCUCAAGAGGAAAUGAUAAGAGGCGAAUGGUCGAGCUUAUUCUAAGGUUCAAGAGAUCAUGCCCUAUCUUCAACCGUGGGCUUACUAAAUACUUGGCUUUUCUACCGCUACGUGGGUAUCCCGAGUUUGCAUGAGAAAGGGUUUAUUCCUCAACGCCUCUCCAAAUUCCCAUAGAAAGAGAGGUCUAUUCUUCUCAAUAUUCUUUGACCCUCCAGGUGAUUCAAUCAGAAUUCUUCUUUCAUUCGAGUGAAUGAGUUCAUUCUGCUUUCAUUCUCGUUAAUGAGCUUCUUUGAUUGACUUUUCACAGGCGCAAAGCAUAUUGCGUGUUUGCGUGUUUGCGUGACAAAGAAUAUUGCAAGAAUGCAGAAAGAAGAAGAAGAUCAGUGCUUACCCACUGGAAGACCAUUAUAAAGGACUUAUAUCUUUUCGUUAUCAACCACUAUUUAGAGCACUUGAUGACUGAAAUCUCUUAUACACUGUACUAAUCGCAGAGCUUGAUAAAUGACUAUUGAAUAUUGAGAAAGAUAUAUUGAAAAAGUCGUACAGAGUAUGAAAUUCUGAGAAGAAGAGGACUGGGCUUAACUUUCUCUGAUUAUUUCAUUCGCGGAGCUUUAUAAAGAAAGAGAAGUCGCAUGCACUAUCAUUAUUCAUAAAGCACUGAUCAAGGAAGGGCCCAAUAAAAAGGGACUGAUUUUUCCUCUUGUUUUGGGGGCUCGACUAAGAGAUGCGGUUACAGACGUGACCGUCUUCCUGUGCCAGUUGUGGAAGUUGCAGAAUUCGUUCUUGCUGGAUAAGUUUCUCUUCAGUCCCAAGGCAAUUAAUAUCAUUUUCCUUCCGGGGAUUCUUUUCCUUUCUAUGUCGAAAAGACUAUAUAAAAGAAUCAAUCCCGCCUCAGCAUGAAACCUCUAUUUUCUCCUUUCGGCUUCAGAGGCCAGUCUGAGGAGUUUCCCGGGCGCCUUAUAAAUAAAGAAGCCGAUCUCCAUCCACGGGUUUCUAGCAUAAAGGAUGGGGAAUGAAAGGCCUGUGAUCCCCGAUCCAGGUUCUACCUCUUAUAUGAUGCGUGGGGAGUCCUGUACGCUUAUUCAUCCCUUCCAUUAUACUUGUUCAUGAAAGAAAGAAAAUAUGGGAAUCUUUCCACUAGAUCUCGAAGAAAAAGAAGCCCCGCACCAAGGGCAAGAGGGAAAAGCCAGGGUCUAUCCUUUACUGGGGGUCACUCCGAUUCCUGUAUUGGUAUUGAGUCCUUGGGUUCAGUCUCCUUUCCUGCUAAUAAGAAAUUCAUCGAAAUCCUUUAUAACUUCUUCUUCUCAUCGACUACGUCUCCUUCGGAACCUGCGAAUCCGCGAUUCAUUCAUUAUUCUUUCUAAAUAAGAAGAUAUGAAGAACUGCUCAACCCCUCAGCCCCUUUGGUCCGGCUCUUCUCCGAUUGGAAAGAUCUGGUACGGAGUCUUCCCCGGCCCUGGACACUUGGAGUACUGAGUGGGAUUAUGAAUUUCAUAGUUCAUGGGGACUCAUUAAUUCGAUUUCUUUUAUUCAAGACGAGACUUAUCCAUUCGCUACCACCAGUACCAUAUUCCCUUCCAGGUGGUGGGGUUCCUUCAUUAAAGACCGGUAACUCCGAUCCCGUAGGCCUGAUCAAAGGUCAAUCUUGGGUUAAGACCGAUCCGAGAAGCGAGAAGAGAAAGAAAAAAAAGAGAAUGGUUUUAGUAAAGGAAGGGAACUCCUCUUGCCCCUUUGCGAACCAUCUCGAUCGGGUUCAGACAGAUAAAGAUCCCCACGUAGCGGGAAGAGGCCUCAAGGUGGAAUUCUACUCUGACAGGCGCGUAUUAUCUGGACCGCCCGUCUCAAAUUUCCCCUCGGUCAAUGAUAAGUACGAUUAGCAGAACGAAGGCAGAAAGGAUCGGAGCGGUCGGUGCCUAGGUUAUUCAAUCUACAGAAUGCAGAGUCAAGCGAGAAAGAAAGAGAACUAAACUAAGACGGGACUCGAGACGAGGCGAGAUCUAAGCGCGUAGUGGUCAAAUCUGAUUAUCAAUAUCAAGAGCGGAGACGGAGGUUACGAGAAAAAAGAGUAUUCAAGAUCAGAGACAGAGGUUCAAAGAAUAUUGACAAUGAACAAGGAUCAGAUAGAGAAAAUAAUUGCGGUCUUACUCAAUUCAAUCUCAUUUUUUUUUCUUGUGUGCGAUUAUUCAUUAUUUUGAUUCGAAUGACGGAGUACCUCUUUCAAGGUUAUCCCUAGGUCUGGACCUAGAUCAACUUAAGUGAAAUGGAAGGCAAUAUUCUUUCCUCCUCCUUCUGAACCAUUUGCUUUGUCAAACCCAUUAGAUUCGGGCUGCUCUUGGGAAGUAGAUUUAGGUAUGGGAAUUGAUCUAAGUUAGGGUCUUUCUGACUAAAGCUCAUCAACCCUAAUCUAAUUAAGACUUCGUCCUUUCGCUACGCUACGAGACCUCCGACUUAUUAGAGAAAGGUGAUACCAUCUCUGACUCCUUUCGGAUCCUUCUGCGCCUAUCGGUGAAUAUGUAUACUUGAGAAGGUUGAGAUGAUCUCUUGUAUACAAUGAAAUUAGGGAUGGAGAGUCAAAAAUGCCAGCUUGAAUGAGGAUACCCUGACUCCUCUUUGGUUUAUGACCCAGCUCUAUAGAAAUUGGUAACUUACUUCGUUCAGUCUGACUCUUGCUCUGAUUCUGCGGGUUCGGAAAGUCUCUUCCCUCUUCGCCUAUCGUCCCUUGACUUGAUUUGCCGCUGGGAUGUUUCAAAAAUCAAAGAAAGAAAGGUGCAAAGAUCUAUGGCCCCACUACGCGGGAUAUUGUGGGCUAUUCUAAACCAUCCCUUCUCGCUUUAUAUUUGACUUUCUCUCUCAAAUUCUUUGAGCCUCGCCUAGAUAAAAGAUCAUAAACUAAGAAAGGGAUGACCCUACUUCUCUUACGUACGUAACAAAGAACCUUUGACUCGACAGAAGAAGCGAAACUCUACUCGCAUAUUGCUCUCUAUUUAUAAAUAAACUUAGCUCAAGAAAAUUCCCAAGAAUAUCCCGUCCGAAGUCCUUCAUUCGAUCUUUCUUUCUCUGGGUCCUCCGUUUUAGAGUCCUACUUCGGUUAAUUACGGAUGGUCCUACUUCGGUUAAUUACGGAUGGUCCUACGGAUAAAUCCUCCGGACUACUUCCCUCCAUAUGGAUGGUCCUACUUCUAAUGGAUAGUCCUACGGAUAAGAAUCCUCCGGACUCCGGACGUAGGAUAAAUCCUGCGGACUGCGGACUCCGGACUACGGAUAAAUCCUCCGGACCUGUCUUAUGGAACCUUCGGUCUUAAUACUCCUAACUACGGGGUGAGGUGCAAAGAAUAUUGACAGUCUUUCUCUCUCGCAGCUGAGACUCGGCCCUUGCUUCCUGCCAAUGCAUUCUCAUACCAACUCCUAGAAGAUAUAGCAUAUUCUCUACCCACUACGCGGUAUUCUACCUGCGGAUAGCUGAUCUUCCCGCUCCGUGGGCUAAGUAGAAGAGGAAGAAGAGAAGACCAGAGACUUGGCCGCCGACAGAAAAGGGGUCCUUUCCUUCCGAUCCUGGGCCUGGUCCCUUUCGUCGAAAGUAAUAAGUCGAUAACCCUGAAAUGAAACUGAAACCUACACAGCAAGAACGACCUCAAUGAACAAGGGGCCCCAAGAGGACGUUGAAAGAAUGAAUCGCCGAAAUGAAAUAAUGCAUUAAUCUCCUCGCGAAUUAGACGCCCGACCAAAGGUUCUUUCAUCAUCAGCAUAUGUGGAUUCAGUCGGGACGUUUUUGAGGUUCUUUUGCACGAUCUCAAAACCCACUACGCGGCGCUUUCUUUACAUCUUUCGACCUUAAAGCCACUUAUCUCAUAACCUCACGAAUGAAAGAGCAUGCAGACUGGUUAGCAGCUUCAUACCGCCCCCUGGGAUGGGAAUACGAGACAGCGGACCACUCUCCUACUCUUUCUAUUCGCAUAACCGAUCUCCUUUCCAGUCGUAUUCAAACCUCUGCCUAUAUUGGGGAGGAUUCUAGACGCGGGAAGAAACCUAUCCAAAGCCUGAGAAUCUCGCAAUAUCAAUAUUCUGCUUUCGAGCAAUAUUCUUUGCGCCUUCUACGCGGUCGUCCUAAUCCCUUGUUCAUUGAGGUGAGGACCUUUGUUUUUGGAGGAGUUAUCUACCCUUUCUUUGCUUUGUUUAUGGAUCAAAAUCAGUCCUUAAAAUGAACCAAAAUCUUCUUCUCAACAAUAUCCCUGUCUUAUGGUAUGGAGCCUUCAAAAAAGUGGAAUAAGACUCCUAACGUCAGAAACAUUUACCUAUUUAUCUUUAUCAUGACUUUUUCUCAAUAUUCUUUUCUUUCUAUUAGCUCCAUUAAUCAGUCGCAAUAUUCUUUGCACCUUUCUUUCUCAGGAGCGGAAGCGUAGCGUAGCGGACAGCCUUAAAGCACUUGCUUUCAGCGUAGCAGAGCGGUGGGUUCGCUGGCUUCUCCCUUUCUUUUCCAGCGGAGCGGACAGGACACCUACCUUUCUUUUCUCUUUUCCAGAAAAUCGCUGCCUGAGCCCUUAAGAUUUUCAGCUACGCGUAGCGGUGCCUUCGCCCCUCUCCUUUCAGUCGAGCUUCUUCGCCCUGAUGUGAUGACUCUUUCCGUUGGUUCUUGCUGUUGGGCUCCGCCCCGUACACUGACUUCGUGUACUUACUCUGUACUUCUUAUACUUGACUUCUUGUACUUCUUGUUGUCGGGCUCCGCCCCUUAUACACUGACUUACCUCUUGUACUUACCUCUGAUUGUACUUCUUGUUUUGGGCUCCGCCCCGUAUACUUACCUCUUCUUGUUGUUGUUGGGCUCCGCCCCUCACACUUGUUCUUUCUUUCCUGCCUCUUCCACGCAAUAUUCUUUGCACCUCACACGCAACUCAUAUUGCAUUGAGCCUCUUGUUGCUGUUCUCAAAUUCUUUGCCCCUUAUACUUGCUCUUCUUCAACUUCUUGUUGUCGGGCUCCGCCCUCGCAAUAUUCUUUGCGCCUAGCCGUCACGGAUUGGUUUACGCCUAGACGGGAUAGAACGAAGAACGGAUCCGCUUUAGCCUAGAGGGAUAUUCGGAUAAGCGGAUCAGCCGAUCUUGCUGUUUUGACCUUCUUUGUUGCCUAGAAGGAAGAGACAAUUACAGAGGUGCAAAGAAUAUUGCGGUAAGAUAAGAAAGAGGGAGAUUAUGAAGAAAAGAAGCGGAUAAGCGGAUCAGCCGAUCUUGCUGUUUUGACCGCGUAGUGGGUUACGGAGAAGAAGGAAGGGUGAAGGGUGAAAGAGAGAGAAGAACUUCCGAAAGAGGUCUCGCAACCGCGUAGUGGGCAUUGACUGCAUAGCUGCUGAAUACCUAUCAUACUUGUCCGGCUUUUCAUUGUCGGCCAUAUCGAUCUGGCUGCCUUCUUGGGGCUUCGCCCUUCAAUAUUUUCAGCGGAGCGGAGUAGCAGAGCGGUGGGUUCGGGGGGCUUCGCCCGCGGAGGGGGUUUGAUCCAGGAGCGUAGCGUAGCCUUUAAAGAAGCACUUGAUCCCUUAUCAAAAAAUAGGAAGGAUCCAUAAGACAGGGAUAUUGUAAGAGAAAGGGAUAUUGUAAGAGAAAGGGAUAUUGUAAGAGAAAGGGAUAUUGUAAGAAUUUGUGGAUUCUUCUUAAUCAGUUCAUUAACGAGAAUGAAAGAAUAAUUCGGAUUGAAUAACCUGGAGGGAAAUCCAGAAUAGACCCGUAUUUCUCCGGACCAGAAACCAUAAGAAAACUCUGUUCAUUGAUUUUACCUGUCCUAGGAGUUCUUCUUUCAUUGCGUUUUCCCGGCUUUUUUGCUUCUAAAUAGGACUAAAUCAAAGAUUUCUAUUUAACGAAAAUAGAUCAAAAAUGACAGAUUUUUCAUGAUUUCUUGCUACUAUUUCUUUUCAGCUCUCCUUAUCAGUCGAGCCCAAAACCUAGCAUUUCCCUCCGCGGAUUCAUCUGAAAUCUAGCUCUGAAAUCUAGCAGAUUCAUAAUUCUUCUUUCAUUCUAGUUAUGAAAUCAUAAUGAUUCUUUCAUUCUCGUUAAUGAGCUUCUUUCUUUGCGCCUUUCUUUCUCCGUCCGAAGGACUAUCCAUAUUAAUCGCGGAAGCGGAGCGUAGCGGAAAGAGCCGCAAUAUUCUUUGCACCUUUGUUUGAUGUUUGAGAAAAGAAAAAUCGCAAGUCAAAUUCUCUAAUGGAUAGGCCUCUAAUUUAUCAUAGCGAAUAGUCCAAAAACAAAGGUCCAGAUGAAAAAUAGCAUUUUACCGACUCCUCCUACGCUAUAUACUCCUUCGGACGUCCUCUGGACUAUUCAUCCUAUUACUUCUUUGAUUUCAAGCUUCCGUCGGACUGAUUAAUGGAACUAAUAUUUACGGGAGGCUCAAAGAAUUUGAGAUCAUUCUUUCUCCCCUCCAAAAUAAUUGAGCCUCAGGCGCAAAGAAUAUUGCUCGAAGGAUCAAUGAAAUUUGAUGAUAAAGAUUAGACUGAACUUUGAACCUUGUUCAUUGUCAAUAUUCUUUGAACCUUACUAAGGAAAGAAUGAAAUAAUUACUCAAAUUGUAUCUUAGCUUUAGGCUAGUCCUAGCUUACUCAACGACGAAUACGACUCUUUCAGUGGAUAGCAGCAAGGGCCCGAUCCAACUCGCUUGUACCAGUCUGCCUCUACUUUCUUUUUCCGACACUGAAUUCUUCCUCUUAGCCUGAACCUAGGCUUUCCUUCCUCUCAUGAUAUAUUCCUGAGCAAUAUUCUUUGCGCCUCUCCCGCCUUCUAAUUGGAUCUGGACCUUUCUUUUUGGACUGAUUUUGAUCCAUAUGACUCCGGACUGAUUAAUGGAACUGAGUAUAUUCACCUUUUAUUUGCCGCCUUGAUUUUCUUCAUGGAUUCUUCAAAGAGUGGAAUCAUUGAUUUGUUAUUAGAUAUCUCUCUCUCCUAAUCCUCUCGAAACUGCACUCAUUCUGAUUCAACUUCGGUCGUUCUAAUGGAUUUCUCAAUCUGAAGCCUUUCUUCUUUUCUUAGAUAAAUGCGCUUCGCUUCGCGCAUCUGGACCCCUCCGGAGGAGCAAGGAAUAGUGCAGCGCAAAGUGCGGAUAACUUCAAAAAUCUUUGAGCCUUUAUUUAGGCCUUCGAAUAAGGAGGAGCUUACCUCUCAACGGAUGAGGUGCAGCCAACUACUUAUGAAAGAAAAGGACUGAUUUUCACAUACUUAUGUAUGAAAGGAGAACCGCUACGUUUUCCUUUUCAGGCGACUGCAACUGCCAAAACGGACCUCUUCGCGGCUUCCCUUGACGGAACGAAGAGCGGCCUUAUCCCCUGCCCUGAUCGCGAGACGUGUAUCCUGCACCGCGGAGUGGGAUGCCUAACCCAUUUAUGUCUUCGACCCGAAGCUUCUUUGUUUUGAAGCCAUGAUGGAAAAGAAAAACCUUUGAAUGUGGGUAGAAGGGAACCUCAAAUCCCUUGUUUCCCACUUUCAGUUACUUACUCAACUAACUCUUAAGGAAGAAAGGUCAGACGAUAAAGCAGACCCUAACAAGACUAUUAUUUAAGACUAUUGAGCCCACGGAGCGGGAAGAACUGAUGAACAUAAGGCCUAAUUUUGGGGGCGUCCUUAGUGGUCUAAGCCCACGUAGGGGGAAGAAAGAAAAGAGCUCCUAAUCUCUGGGUCCUCCGUUUUAGAGUCCUUCGGUUAAUUACGGAUGGUCCUACGGAUAAAUCCUCCGGACUACUUCCUUCCAUAUGGAUGGUCCUACGGAUAAAUCACCUGGACCUUUCUUUGGCCCUGCGGACGUAGGACGUAGGAUAAGAAUCCUGCGGACUCCGGACCACUAUUUAAUAUUGAAAGUAAUAGCUAUCGAUCAUUCUUUGAGCUAUAAAGCCAUUAAUCAGUCCUUCGCUCAAUGAAGAAGGUGAAAAGAAUAUUUCAUGAAGCUUACCUUCCCUUCUUCCUUUUGCAGUAAGCGCCUCAAUGAAGAAGGGCUAUUUCAUCCGGUGCUAUGGCCCUUCCCGCCCUUGAUGCUUUAUUCUCUUCAGCAAGUUAGGAUGCAAGAAAGAAGGAUGUGACUGAGAUUCUGAUUAGAUGACUUUGAAGGAAAAGUGGUACUUUCUCUUUGCUUCAAUCAUAAGAUGGUAACCCGCCCUAAGCAAGAUCGGUUCAGCAGGCCAAUUCACGCAUCUUCCGCAGCCCUAUAUGGAAAUGCUCGCCUUCGUCUUUUUUUCAUCCGGACUGAACGGUAAACUUGGGGUUCAGAUACAUCGUACCCCUAUGAUGAAAUCCGCCUAUUCCAUGGAUAAAGAAGUCCCACGUAGGAAAAAUGGUCGUUUUUGGAAGGCAAUAUUCUUCGCUCCUGCUAACCGUCCUCCGGACUAUCCGUAUGAACCUAGCCUUCGGACCAGUCCUCCGGCGCAAUUCAAUAUGCGACUUUGAACCUUUUUUUUCCUCUUUCUCUGAUGAGACUGAGUUCUCUUGUCGAUGUAGAGACUGAUGGGAAUAGGUCCAUACGAUGGAAUAGGGUCUCUUGUCAACCAGUGAGCUGUGAAGCGGCCUUCCUUCGCGACAAGUCAAUGAUUAGGACACCUUUCAGCGUCCAAUGAGUUCAGGGAAGGGGUUCAAGCCCUAAUCCAAAGUCUAUCUUCGCUAUAUCUUAACCUUAGCACUUCUCUGUACUAAGCUCUUUCACCCUGCUUUAGUAAAUGGCGCGUCUUUGAGUUCGUACUAUUACUCAGCAUGCAAGGUAUUGGUCUUUCGGGAAGAAAAUCAGGCUUGAAAGUCUUCUUUGGUGGGAGCCGUAGUUCGUAUCGUCUAUUGGCUCCCAAUUAUCAUUGCCUAUCCGCUCGAAGCCUUUAAGUAAAGGACUGGGGAAUUCCAUCAAUACUGAUCGUAGACAAUUGAGAUUAAGUGGGAAGAGUAGACUUGAAAGCGAGCGGGAAGAUGGCUGGGAGUAGCCUUUAAGAGUGCUGGUCUACCCCGAUUUUCCCAUUGAGAGGGAGGGAGCCACCCCUAUUCAAUUAGUAGAGCUCUAUUGAACCUUGGAAUUGGCCAAUCACCAAGGGCGAUCUUAGGUUAGCAUUCUCUUAGAAUAGAACGAACUCGAAAAAUCAGCGGUACGGCACAGCCGGGGAGAGCGAAGAAAGGUAGAGCACAACUAUCAUUUUCAGAAAGAAUCCCGCAUCCGAAAGAAGUAAUGCAAUUGCUUGACCCAAGAAGGUAAGGGAGAGGAAAGACCCCUACCGCUAACUUCUCUGGCCUAAUCUCCCAGAAGAAGAAGAAGAAGAUUUAGUGGUUUGAAAGUCAUAAGAGGCUCAAAGAAUGAUCGAAGGCGCAAAGAAUUUGCGAGCGACAGAUGACUGAGCAUCUGAAAAAAAGAGAAAUAGUUAUGACUUUAGAAACUUGUAAGAAAGAGAAGAUCGGCCUGGACAGAAGAGGAAAGAAGACUCCUUAUCGAGGAGAAAAGUCUAAAAAAGAUAUCAUACUCCAGCUCAUAAGCUCAUUCUUUUCUGCAAAUGAGGCGUCCGAAGGACCAAACCUUUUUGACCGCUACGCUCCUCUCCGCGGUGAUGAACCGAAAAUCUGAUAAUAGAUAGUCCGGAGGACGGCUCAAGACGAGCCGUCCGCUCCUUUUGAGUCUGAUUCCACUAAAAAAAAUGACGACGGAGCACUCGUCCUACGUAGCUUAAUAUGGGAGUCAGAAAUCCCGGGUUAAUAUGGAUAGUCAUCUGGACCUUGAUUUUUGGAGGCUCAAAGAAUCUCACGGAGGGGGAUAGUCCGGAGGACUGUUAAGGCUCAAUGUAAUAUGAGUGAAACCUAUUACUUUUCCAUAAUACUUUCAAUAAAAGUGGCAAUAAUGAAAGAUCAUGACUUCCUUCUUCUUCUUUCUGGGAGUCCGGAGGACCGGUCUUCUCUCAAAUUUCAUUGAGCCUAACUAUUCCUUGCUCCUCCAGAGGGAUCAUGACUCUCGCAAUAUUCUCAAAAUUGGAAGUGGAAUCUCACGUUCCCUAAUGGAUAGUCCUUCGGACCUGUCUUAUGGAGCAAAAAGAAAGAAUGUCAUCGUAAUCUCAUAUUUCAUUGACCGUUAGGCGCAAAGAAUAUAUUUAGAGUUUACAAAUUAGGAGAAAGUGCUGAAGAAUGAACUCAUUAACGAUAAUGAAAGAAGCUAAAAACAAAAUUCAUCCGCUAGAUUGAAGACGGAGUGAAAUACAUGAUUUUGCUAGUGAUAAGGAGUCCGCAGUCCGCAGUCCUACGUCCGCAGUCCGCAGGAUUUAUCCGUAGUCCGGAGUCCGCAGUCCGCAGGGCCAAAGAAAGGUCCAGGUGAUUUAUCCGUAGGACCAUCCAUAUGGAAGGAAGGAGGACUAUCCAUAUUCAGGAGCGGAAUCAAGAAUAGACCCGUCAGUAUCCGGACCAUAAACUCAAACUAGAACUGAUCCAUGUGAAUUUCUGGGAUAGGCUUGAUUCUUUCAUUGCGUUUUCCCGGCUUUUUUGCUUCUUUUUCAUACUUUUUCUCAUAUGGAUAUUCUACGAUAAUUGAGUGAAAAAGAAGGAAUUUUCAUGAUUUCUUGCUACUUUAUAGGCCCAAAACCUAGCAAAAUCUUGUAUUUCCCUCCGUCUGAAAUCUAGCAGAUUAAUCUUCAAUCUCCCUCUUUCUUUUGAAUUCCCAUUUUUUUCUUCUUUCAUUAUCGUUAAUGAGUUAAUUAUUCUUUUCUUUUCUUGACUUUUCACAGGCUCAAUGCAAUUUGAGCUUUCACCGCUACGCUACGCUGGAGCUACUCCGAAAGAAAGGUGCAAAGAAUAUUGCCGGACUACUGGGGGAUAUUGUUGAGAAAGAAUUAUCUUUGCGAAGGUUCAGCUUCAUUCCUAGGGCAUGUCCUCCGGACUAUUCGCUAUGAUAAAACCACUAAUACUCCGAAACCUCGAUCAUUCUUUGUCUUUGAACGCUUCUUUGUCAUUGAGUUCAUCUUUUCACCUUAUUCUUAGGCGAAGGCGCAAAGAAUAUUGAUAUUGCGGGAACUGAUUUUCAUAGCAAAGAUUCCACUAAUAGAUUUGCCGACGAAUGAAUAAUGAAUAAAGCUUGCCGAUCGAUCUUUAAAGAAAAGCCUCUCUUCAAAGAGAUUACGAGACAGAUUACCUAGCAGCCAAUUCCCUGUCUUCUCUCUCUUUCCAUAUGGAAUUCCCUUGGAGAAUAGACGAAGAGAUGUGAGAGCUUCCACGGAGAAAAAAGAUAAGCCUACUCCAUCCUCUCAAAUUCUUUGACCCAUCUUUUGUAUAGUUAUAGUAUAGCUUCCGGCUAGUUCACACCGAUAAAGGAGAAUAAGAGAUAGGGUCAAGCCUAUUCUACUCCGGAUAUGGUCUCGUAGUAAUCCCCUUCCCCUUUUCAGAUCUGAGGCCUCAUCUAAUUCCCCUCGUAACCCCUUCCGAUUCCUUUGGUAUUCUACGAGGAGCUUUGCUCCCUCGAGCAGCCUUUCUCCUCUAGGUCGAGUCGUAAACAAAGUAUAUUGCCUCUCUGGCCCGGCUCGAGCAGCUUAGUAAUCCCCUUCUCCAACCCUUUGCUUCUGAAAGAAAGAGAAAGAGAGAAUGAAAUCUCUCGCUGGACGGGUUAGCUGUGUCUAACCUUCCCCUUAGAGAUAUGAUAAGACCUCUACAACUCGGUCAGCUCAAACCAAAAUAAUAGCCGCAAUAUUCUUUGCGCCUGGACCUUUCUUUUUGCCGCUUAAUGUCUAAUCUUUCUCAAUCUUCUUUCUCACGCAUAUUUCAUUGCGCCUCCAAAGUCAAAUUCUCUAAUGGAUAGGCCUUCGAGCAAUAUUCUUUGCGCCUUCCAGUCUUGUCAACGCAUAUUGAAUUGCGCCUUCUAUAUAUUCUUUGCGCCGGAGUUAGGAGCUAUUCCACUAACGAGCCUUUGGCUUUCUUCUUUUCAUUCACAUUACCGCGUAGUGGGAUUCUUUGAGCCUUGUUCAUUGACUUUCUUCUCUAGUAAAGCUUUUUUUUUGUUCAUGCUUCGCUAGGCUUGAUCUUUUUAGUGGGAAUAUAUAGGAUGAAAGUAGCGGCAUAAUAAUAGAAAGGUGGAAUCCUUGCUUUAUCUCUUUUUUCAUCCUCCUUCCCUUUAUCCUUUUAUUCCCUUUAUCUAAGAAAGCUGAAAUCUCGUGAAUGGAUGAGGACUGAAUUCAAAGUUCAAAUAGGAGGCUCAAUCCCACGGAGGGGGAGUCCGCAAUAAUCAGCCUACGUCAGGCUUUCGGUGAUUCAUUCAUGGUGGAUAAGGAUCGGUUUUCAUAUGCACAAUGGUUGAAUACAAGGAACCUCGUUCAUGAGCUAGGUCGCGGGAUACCAUUUUCUCAUGAAAGAGCGGACACAAGACAAGAGCCGAAACUCUAUAAGAAAAUCAAGCUCCAGAUGAGUUGACGCUCGAACCCCACGAUCUUCCCCCCGACUGAAUCCGGCUAACCGAGCCAAUGAAGAGUGAUUAUAGCGCGUGGAGCAUUUUUUUUUCCUUCGUAGCUUCCCAAGAACUAAUGGGGAAGGCUGCAUGAAUAUAAAUGAGAAGUGGAAUCAUCCAUCCUCAACAAGGUCUGCAACCGCUUUCUUUCUCCCGCCUGGGUCGCUGCCUCCCUUUCUUUUAAUGGCACCAAGUCCGAGAUUCCCCGAUUACGCCAAGGAUUCCGCGCCCGGAUGGAUCCUUGAAAGGAGAGGCAAAGCCAAACCCGUAAACCGGCUUCAAACUUCCUGAAACCCGGGAAAAUGAGCCUGAGCAGGUCAGCACACUUUUCUACGAGGGAAAGGUUUCGGCCAGAUCAGUGGCAUCCGCUGAAAGGGCAGUUGCUAGCCCUCGUCUUCUUCUCAAUCGAAAGAUCGGAAAGCUCGAGAAUGAGAGAGUAUUUCCUAUUUCCUAGCGGAAUGAAGAUUUUCUAUAUGACUGUAGUGAAUAACUAAGAAAAGAUUCCAUGAAGACCAGGGAACCGCGGAGUGGGUCACGGGGCAGAGGCAUAGAGGUUAGAAAGCGCAAGACCAUACCGAAAAGAGACUGCAGGUGAAUCCGUCGGAGGAAGCCAGAUUAAGCAGAUAGGUAGAAGGGAAGGGUCAGAGCGCCGGAAGUCGGAGGAGGAGCUCUCUCUCGCUCUCCUUUCUUUCUUCUUUCAGUAGCCCUCGCUUUUCUUGCCAGCAUGCGGAUUCUUCUUCCUGGCAGCUAUCUCUCUUGCCUCAUCUUUAGCUUAAUUCAAUUAACCUACUAUAUCAAGGAUGAAAAGGCUUAAGGAUUGGAUGUCCCAUCCCAUUCUCUUAAAGACAGUGACUUCCACCCAUGAGAAAAUAGUCCUAAUAGGGGGGACGUCCCUCUUUCAUUAUCAGCUAGGAAGCAUGGCUCUCCUAACUCAAUUCAAUCUUCUUUGAACCUCCCGUACGCCCACUCGACGUCCUCCACCAGGAGCACUAUUAUCAUAAGCAAGAGAGUCCGAGGUCCCUUUCGGCAGUUGCAGCUUGCUUCGGGCUCGCUUUCUUCUUUUUCUCAAAAUUAGUUGAUUGCUAAGGCCUUUCUUCAAAAUUUCCAUGUCCCAAGAAAAAUGUGAAGACGGACGGAGACGUGAUCCCAUUCAAUCCUCGGACAGGAGGAUGGAGUGUGAAACCUCUUUCCUAACCUCGUCCUUUCGCACAAAGGCUUGAAUCCACGUAAAUUGCGAGAAGAGGUGGCCUAUUUCCUUAUUGCCUUUUCUUGUAAUAAAUCGCCAACAAUAUCCCUUAUGGAGCCUACAAUUGAGUGAUUUUUCUAUCUAUUUUCCUUGGUCUAAUCUGAACCUCUUUUAGUAGUUUCGCUCGAGCGUGAACCUCAACCGGCGGACGACCCUCUUUCAUUAUCAGCUAGGGCGAGAGUCCUACUCGAAGUUACUAAGUUACGUGAUAGAACUCAUUUCUUUAAGAGUACAAAUCAGUCUUUAUUAAGAGAAGAUGGGACUUCGACCAGUUAGUUCUCAGCCUUUCCUUUCUAUUUUGGGUCCGAUCUCAAGAUAACUUCCGCCUCUGAUUAAAGGACGAAGUUGUCUUCCUUGUCUAAGUCAUCUCUCAACAAAUCAAUAUCCCCUAUCCAUAGAUCUUUGCGCCUUCUAUAUAUUCUUUGCGCCUCCUUCUCCAUCCCUAUUUCUUUAUUUAUGGAUGUUCAUUGAGGCGUCUUGACCCCUUAUUUAGCAGAUAAAUGCGCUUCGCUGAUGAUCUCAACUUCUAUCACUUUUUUAUGGAUUCCUUGCUUCUAACCAACUCAAGAACAAGAGGUGAAAAGUCGCAUAUUUCAUUGCGCCUCCGGACCGGUCCCUAGGCUUUCUUCUUCUUUUGGAGCCUCAGUCAGACAAAAGAUUACCCGCCCCAAAGUCGAGGCCAAAGGCCCACGUAGCGGUAAUUUGAAUAAGGAAGUUUCAGACCCACUCAAGCGAAACUAGGAAAGAAGCGAUAUGGCCCCUGGUCUUGAGGGCAGGGACUUUUCCUACGAUACCAGGCGAGACUAAGCAGAAAUAGGAAGUGGAAGUCAUUCUUUAUCCAAGCCAACCGCUUUCAAGCCCCUCUCCGCUGGAUCUGUCCUUUGAGACGACUAUGCCCUACUAGUUUACUUAGUCCCUUCCCUUGUGUGCCAUCCGGAACUGCUAUCCCUUAAGGUUUUUAGCUGCUAUCCCGCCUGGGAAUCUACUGCUACCUACUCCAAUAUAAGGCUUGGGUGAAUGAUUGGAUCCCGACAUAAGUACUCUAUCCACUCCUUCUUCUUCUUAGUCUUUGACUUCAGCUUCUUACCUGGAUUCUGCUUAUUCUGCUUCACGAAAAUGAAAGCCCAGUGAGGAAGUACUUGAAAAAUGCAAUUUUCCAGCUCUUAGAAAAGUCAGAAUUCUAAUGUGAACCACUUCCUAAUCUUUGUCUUGAGUUAGUGCUUUUGAGAUUGAUGAAAGGAAAGCUUUUCGGGAGCUAGCAGUCCUUCUUCUUUGCGAAAGAGAGUAGCUCAAGCAAGUCAAUUUCCCUUAAAGAAGAUAAUGAACUAAGAGCUUUUCUGCGCUACAAAGAAGAAAGGAUAGAGAUAGAUAGUUGAAUAAGCUAGACCGCUGCAGGUGCAAAGAAUAUUGCGAAUAAGAAGAUAUUAAGAAGAUCUUCCUUCUGUGACAUUUAGCCCGAAGAAAAUCAGCCUAUUCUAUACCAGCUUCUUCUAUAGAUGAGAUAACUGGAUCAGAUGAAAUAGCAAGGGAUAUGAGCAGCUCAAGCAGCAGAUUCUAUUCUGGGCAUGAAUGUGCAACCUAUCGAAAGAAAGAGUCCUCUACUUCCCACCGUGGCAGCUAAAGUCCUUCUCAAUAUUCUUUGAGCCUCGGUCGAAACUUUCCCCUUUCUUCCUUCAACCACGUAGUGGGGUCGAUCCGAUACCUCCCUGUGGAAAUACAAGGGCGGGCUAGUCUCAUUCCGAAAGAUAGAAGAGAGAUUGCACCCCUUUUGAUUUGAUGAAAUUACAUGCUCUCCGAACUCCUCUCGUGCCUAUCGCUGUCUCUGAAUAAGUAGCCCUGCACCCAUCUUUCCUCCGCACGCACCUGCACCCUACCUCUCUUUACCUCGCCCUGGCUAACUCCUUUCCCAGUCUUCUUUCUAUAUUAUAUAACCUCUUGACUUCCUUCUUUUAUUCAAAUGCAUCCGUUAGUGGGUCAAGCUGCUUUCGCUCCUUCUCCUUACAGUCGGAAAUCUUAGCAAUAUUCUUUGCGCCUCAAAAUCAACUCGGAAAUCUCUCAAAUUGCAUUGAGCCUCAAUUCAAUCUUCUUUGAACCUCGUGCCUCUCUCUUGGACUGGGUUGUGCUAUGGCUUGAAUCUCGCAUAGGGCGAAAUUUGCACAUUCGAACUAAGAUAAGAACAAGGGGUUUGGCUGAAUUCUAAUGGUUCAUUCUCAUUCAUGAAAGAAAGCAAGGGUAAUUAUCCUGAAAAGAAGGAAAAAGGACGCGUAGGAGGAGGCUCCAUAAGACAGGGAUAUUGUAAGCCGAUAUUGCUGUUUUUACCUGAAUUACGAAGUGAAAGAAGCCGAUCUUGCUCUUUUGACCUCAUUUGGCUCUAGGAUAAAAUCACACAAUUACGGAGUGAAAAAAAGAAAGAUUAUACUUGCUUUCUCAAAUUCUUUGAGCAUCGACCGCCUUGAUUUUCUUCUUUUAUGAGGCACAAAAAGAAAGAAUGUCAUCGCAUAUUUCAUUGCACCGCGGAGUGGGUUCCAUUCUUCCCGCUCCCUUCUCGUACGCCUAAGACAAUAUCCAUUCUUCCCGCGUAGUGCUUUCUUUAUUUCUAGUCCUCCGUCCAAACAAACCGAGCACCUUUCGCUCUUUCGCAAUAUUCUUUGCUCCUACCGGUCCUCAGUCCUAUCCAUUAGAGAAUUUGAUGAGGAGGAGAGAAAAUCUUCUUUUCACCUUUCUAGUCGGACUAGAAAUCCAUUAUUUUGCACUUCUUUAUCAAGCUUAAUCUGUGGACUUGAUUUAUGGGGUGAUGAGACAUGCCCUUGUCGAGCUUCGAUAAUUCUUGAGAAUAUGAAUUCACCGCUCCUCUUGAGGCUGAAUGAAUAUGAAUAUGAGAAAGAAUUUGAUGUUUUUCUUUCUCACGCAAUAUGCUUUGCGCCAUCAAAGAAAGGUCCAGGGUCCGGAGUCCGCAGUCCGCAGUCCGGAGUCCGCAGGGCCAAAGAAAGGUCCAGGGUCCUACGUCCGCAGUCCGCAGGAUUUAUCCGUAGGACUAUCCAUAUGGAAGUAGUCCGGAGGAUUUAUCCGUAGGACCAUCCGUAAUUAACAGAAGCAGGCGAUCAGAAUGAUCGGAGUGCAAGUAAAGAAAUCCAUAUUUGUGGAUAAGAGAGGUCCUUCGGACUGGACCCUUUCUAAAUUGAAAAUUCACCAAUGGCGUCAUAAGGUGGUGCAUGGGUUCAUUCUUAGUCAAAGACGGACAACGACACACCAGGACCCAUGGAGGAUGAAAUGAGAGACCGCUAGGGAUGAGGAAUGAACUCGCCGUUUAGGAUGAUGAAUUGAGUUGCUCGACCCGUAGUUUAGCAAUUAGUGGAAUUAACAAGUCCUCCGGUUCCCGCAAUAUUCUUUGCUCCUCACUAUUUAGCGGAAACUGCUUUAUAAGGGAUCAUGACGGAUAUUAUUGGAAUCAGACUCAAGAGGAGCGGUCUCGAAAUAUUCUUUGCACCGCACCGUGGGGGAGGCGCCAUAAGACAGGGAUAUUGUUGACCUCUUAUUUUGAGUUCUUGCUUUCUCUCUAUCUUGAGGCUUCGAACCUUGACGCUUGAUUCUAGUUCACACCGAGUCAACUCUAGCUGCCCGUGAUAGGCAUCCUUCUAAGUCUCAACUUCUUAGUUUAUUCAAUAGAUACCCUCAUUCAGAGGCUUUACGGUCGAGAUCCGAUCCAAGCAAAGAAGGAUUCCUGCUGGGCAGUGGACUUGACUCAAGAGGGAUGGAUGCCGAUUCGAGAAUGCCCUAGCGUGUCUUCCCCGAAAGGCUUUUGAUGCCAUUUCGAAAUGGGCAAGAAGUUUUCUUCUGCAACGAGAGAAGAGAAACUCUCGAUCGGCCGCACUCUGGUCGCGCUUCUCGGGCUGCUAAGGCAUUGAAAGAGACUGAUUUUAUGCGCCUUUCCGGUCUCCGAUCCUGGGACUCGCCUCUCUUUCCUCUCCCUUCCUAUCCCACGGGGUUUGGCACUUUUCUCUGACUCAUUCAAGAGAAAGAGCUCUUCUUUUUCUACUUCCUCUUCUUGCUUAUUAAAUACAUUAUGUCUUUAUUGUACCUUUCUAGUUAGUGAGCUGAGCGGCGCGUAUGAAUAUCAGAGACUGAAGCCGAUCCCUUGUUGAAGAGCAAAGACAGAGCAAGACACCUAGAAGGACCUUGCUGACCCUUGAUCUGCGCCCCCCACUCCGCGGUAAAGCAUCUUCGCACCUCUCACUUACGGGAGAGCAUCUUCGCACCUUGACAUCGAAGAACUCUUGAGAGCUAAGUCCUCUCACUUGAGAAUUCCGGAGUCGAGUUCCUUCGCUUCGGGGAACCCAAGAACCCAACCAAGCAAGGACAAGAGAUCUCAUUCACAGAUACUGGUGCACGAACCCAGUACCCGAAAGGAAGAGCUAACCCAAAGCAAGAAACCUAAGAGGCACCUUGCUCCUUCUUGCUCGUCGUUCUCGGGGAACCCACACCCCCUACCUCUCAUUCUCCUGCUAUGGGGGAAGGACCCAUGCCCCCUGUACCUAAGAGCCUCCUUCUUCCCUCUUCUUGCCAUCUGUUGGACUCAACAACUCUCCUUCUCCUCACCCAAGAACAAUUCAAGGUGCUAGGUGGACCGGACCCUUUCUAUCAUUCCGAAAGCUCCUUUCUUUGCUCAUUUGACCUCUUAUGCCUUCGGGCUGGUACCGAAUUCCCUUGAUGCCUAAUUUCUCUGGCCCUACUUACCACCCUUAUAGCAAGAUAGCUAAUCCAAUCAUGUGAUAAUGGGUGAAUGAAAGCGGGUUUGACUAGUUUGAAUGCUCCAAUCCCAAGUCAAAUGGGAGCAGGUUGGAACCUAGGAGUGGGAUCCACCAUUAGGAAUUCCCAGUUAUCAUGGUUGAGCUAUGAAGUGAAUGGAAUAAAGAGGAACCUACUUACCGAUAGCGAAGCGAAUACUCGUGCAAGCGCAAUCAAUGAAGAAGGGCAGUGGUUUUCUAAAUCAAUGAACGUCCAUAAAUAGGAAGCCUAGGAAGAAAAAGAAGACAAGAGAUCAAUGAACAAGGUUCAAAGAAUAAUAGUAUUCAUGUUUUCAUAGAAAGGAAUAAAAGGAAGAGAACUAGUCCUCCGCGGAGAUAGAGAGAAAGAAGCGUAAUUGAAGGCUGAAAUUUCGUGCAAGUGCAGAGGCAAGGCUCAUUAUCGAAGAAAGCCUAUCCAACUUUCUCUCUUAUGUUUUGAAUUCCACCGCGGGAGUCAGACAGGGAAAAGACAGAGUCAGAGGUCCCAGAUAGGAGCGAAGUAGCUUUACCCAUAUUCAUAAGUUAGAAGCAGCUAUUUUGAAGUUUGAUAGGUAGGAGACAAGAGGGAAAGGCCCACCCAGGAGAGGAGUUCUGAAUAUCGGAUUAUGACUUUCGCAGAGAGAAAGAGGAUUUAUUUAGAAAAGAGCUUCAACCUAUUCUUAGCCCAAGCAAUAGGCGCCGCCAUUCUUUGAAUUAAUUCAUUAAGGAAGAAGAAAUUGAAAAAUCAUAAGUUCAUUCUAGCUCUUUCUGCUGACUUCUUCUGAUUGAGAAAACCCAGGGCAAGCCUUGUAGUCGGCUGGUAAAGGUCUGGCAGAGUAUCAACGGAGAACAAGCUGAAAGAGGAACUUUUCAUUGUGCGGGAAGACGUAUAAUAUGGACUGAAUUCAUAAGCUCGAGUCAGACUUUCAGUGCGAAUUCUCUUUUUUUUCAUGGUUUUGACAUAGCAUAGGCUGAAUGGAAAUUCCUUCUAUCUUGAAAUUCUAUUCUAAGUCGCUUCCCUUCUUCUCUCAACUGCUACAACUCUCCGUCUUCUGAUGUUCCGCUCCGUCGCAAAUUCUUUGGUCCUCCUACGCUUAAGAUGGGACCGGCAAGACCCUGCAAUAUGAAAAGCGCCUGUCUCGCCUCUCCUUUCAGUCGAGAGCCUCCUUCUUCUUCUUUAAAAAGAAGGGUCCAGGUUUCAUAAGACUCCUUCUACGCGGUCUCGCCCAGCUUUUGAAAGAGAAAGGGCGGGCCUCUCGGGAGGAAGCAUAUGGUAAUGGGAAUUCCGCCCACCUACUAUGCCUUCUUCCCUACAAAACGGGGAGGAUAAUUCCACUGAUAGUAAAAGGAUGCCGGAUCGAGCGAGUUAGGGUGGGAAAGAAAUAGGGAUUCUUUGGAAGGAAGAUAGCUCCAGGUAAAGCUACUCAUCAACCUCCUCCUAAACUCAUUUGUACGAGGGGAACCGCGGAGGGAGUGGGCAAAUGCCUUCUUUCUUAGUGAGAAUCUCGUUUUUAGUGAAGCCCAAGGCAGCAUGAUUUCUUCUUUGAACCUCUCUUUGGGCAGAAAGAACUGGCGAGACCAUUUUGAUCCAUUGAAUUGUUGGGGAAGCAGAAAGGUAAAGGUAAGAGUCCGCUCGAUCAAUCCCCACUACGCGGUAAGCUGAAAGAUGCGAUCUGGCCGUCGGCCUAUUUCUUGAUUUCUUUCUUUGACUUUUACGUGGGAUGCAAACUAAACCAUUAGCACAGGCAUUCCAGGCAAUGAUUCGACUUCUUAUCUUGGGGAUUCAACCCCUAUUUAUUUAUGGAUGUUCAUUGAGCGAAGGACUGAUUAAUUCCACUGAUUUCUAACGCAAUAUUCUUUGCUCCUAGCAAAAACUCAAAUUUCAUUCAGCCUUCUGACUGUCCAUAUUAAAUUAAGGAACUGAGUAGGCGGGAGAGAAAGCAAUAGCUCCACCUGUUCGGGAUAGGAAUUCAGGAGAGACCAACUCUCCUCUACUUAAAGUAGCUGCGGCUGUUGAAGGAUCCGUUGAAGCUCUUGAAGCAGAGGUCUUCUUCGACUCCUUCCUUCCUGAAUGAAUGAUAAGGGGCUUCUUUCCUAAUUCAAAGCCUAGGACAAUGAAUGAAUUGCCUUUCCCCUCCCAAUUAAAUUAAUUAACAAAGACUAUAAACAACCUACGGAAAACCAUAGUAUUAAUCAAAGACAAAAAGAAGAAAGCCUAGGAUCAACCCAGAUCCAUUGACAAGAAAGCGCAACUUCGCAAUAUUCUUUGCACCUCCUAACCUAACCAUUAACAACCACUAGAUAAAGACCUCCGGAGCGGUGGAAUAUCGAGGUCCUUUCAGAAAGCCUAAAGAUGAAAUAAAAGGAUAGGCUUUCAGUAUUAUUUUGAGGUUUCAAGUCCCGCAACAAGGCUCCAUAAGACAGGGAUAUUGUAAGGGGUCCAGAUGAGUCAGAAACAUUGAGACCAGGCGCAAAGAAUUUGCGAAGGAACCGAGAAAUGAAAGCGAAAACGAAUAGUCCAAAAACCAAGGCGCAAAGAGCGACGUAGUGCUUUCUUUAUUAAUCCUUCUCCGCCGCAACAAGAGAAGUUCUAGGAUACCGAUAUACCGCAAGAAUGCAAUUCCAUAAACAAGUCGGGAAAUAGAGGGUUGGACUAGCUAGCCGCCCAAUAACUCACAGGUCUUUCUUUCCUUAUUCAUAUCAGAAGCAGAAGAAAGGGAAGAGGAUAAAGUCAUCAAGGAAAAAUCAUGGCAAUAUUCUUUGAACCUCCGGACUAUCCAUAUUAGGCGGACUUCGCCUUAAGACUCCUUGCUAUUGGGUCCGACUAGAAACUGAAAGUAGGAAAGCCUAUCUUUCUCUUUCAGACUCUUUAAAGUCAAGAGGGUAAAGCAUAUUCUAAGCUCUCCCUUUAGCUCUCGCACAAGACCCCUUUAUUUAUGGAUGUUCAUUGAGCCUUGUUCAUUGACUUGAUGCGGUAGGCGAAGAAGCCAUCCAGUAGCAAGCGCUUGAGAAUGAGUCGAAGGCAAAAUCCUUCCGUUUUUGUUUUGAGUAGGCGCUAUCUAAGUCAAUCCGUGCUAAAAGGAAGGAAUAGAAAAGGAAGCCUUGGGCAUAAUAGUCAGAGAGAGUAAGGGAAGUCCUGCUUUCAAGUGCUUUAUCGUAAGGGUCUGAAUAGGGUCCACCAGUAGCUGCUCUUAGUAAGACCAGUCACAGGGAUAUAUCGCUCAAAAUUCAAUAUCAAAGAGAUUGCAUUGAUACUUAGACUGAUAGCGAGCCGGAAGAGCAAAGUGAUGAAUCAGUCGAGACAGUCUUAGCUAUAAUCUCUGCCCUUACCGUGGAGUGGGUAUCUUUUCUCGUCUGAAAAGAGAAUAGUCUUCCUCUCUUUGUGAAUUUGCAGGUUUGAGAUUAGAAUGCCAUACUCACCCUGCAACUUACAGAAUCCGCAGCGAAAGAAAAGAUUCAAUCUUAUUCGUAAUGCUGGCUAAGAGAUUUUCGAUUCAGGGCGGGAUGGGACUGUAAAAUGGGUGAGGUAGGGUCUAAUCUUCGCUCUACGAGAGAAAGCUGAAAGGCCCGCUAAAAGUUGGAGAAGGAGCGAAAGAUAUCACGAAAUACCUUGAUCAAAGAGCAGACCCAAGGAAGGGAGUGCUUCGAUUCCCUUUAGCUCUUAGCUCUACGGAUGACUAAGAAGGCAGGAUCAAAGCGGGUGAGAGCAGGAGCACUGCUCGUCCUGGCAUAGCCGUAUGAUUUCGUCACAGAUUGUAUUCUCUCAUCCCGGCUUGUAAUGGCGAAAGCUAGAUUUCAUGGACCAGGUUGCCCUUUUUAUUCUUUCAAAGACUAUUACAAAGAUUACUCUCCGUCGCACUCACGGUCAUUAGUCUGGUUAGCUCUUCCUGAUAGGUUGAAAAGGAUGAAAGCCUUCUGACUUUCCUGACCCAUAGUCAGAUUUUUCAUACUCUGGAAAUCAGAUAAAAAGGUGAAAAGAAUAUUGACGGUUGGGUUCCUGGACAAAAAGGAUGAAAGUCGAGAAUUUCUUGGGUCCAUGUGAGCUAAGAGGUUUCUGAUGAGUGGUAGAGCAGUUGAUCUAAGCCUCAGUGCGGAUGAUGAAUUCUCUGACACAUGGCCAUCUUCCCUCUUAUUAAAAAGAAAAAGCCUACUUUGCUUUUCGGGUAUUGAGCUCACUGGGAAGCCUUCGCUUGAACCCUCAUUGCUACCGUCCUUUGACUUCACGGAAGAUUUGGUAUCCAACCUCUACCUUUUUUGGUUGGCAUUCCCAUUAUUCUUUCUACUCGUCUUCUUGGACUGGACUUCGGUGACGAAGGGAUCGAAGAUUUGGAUGAUCCAAGGUCGCGGCCUCCCAAGUUCUGCUGAUUGCCUGAUAUGGCUAAAUUCGAUGGUUCUGGAGAUCCCAAAGCCCCUAUAUUUCAGAAUAUCUUCUUGCGAUGAAGACCACUACUCUCAUCACGAAGGAGCGCAUUUCCUUCUUUGCUCUCUUUUUGGAAGGAGGAGCAAUGCGGUGGUACUAUAGCUUGGAUGCCAAGAUAGAGGUGGGGCGAGAUGGCCGAAAUCCGGAGCAAUUUGGAUACAAUGUCCAGCUUGAUCUUACUUUGCCUGAACACUACCAGGCGGCUCCCAAAGAUCUUCUUCAUUCAUUUCCAGAUGGAGUGGACCUCUUGCAAGCCUUCGCAAGCCUGCGCAGGGUAUCCCUAUUAUAGUGGGACAAGCCAGGUUCCUUCGUCAGUAAGGAAGAGACCGAGCCGUAGUAUAGUCCUUGAUGUGGUAAAUCUUCCUAGCCCCGGUAUUACGCAAAAUGUAGGAGUAUCCUAGCUUGCAGAAGAAGAAAAGAAAGAAGAUCUAGCCCAUAGUAAUCUAAUAGGAUUUACUCAUCAUAAAAAGGAAAGAAAGAUUUCCUUAAUCUAUUGAUAUUAGAAUAUUGAAGGGAUUUAUCCCCAAGAAUAUCCCGUCCUUCGGACAGACGGGUUAAUAUGGAUAGUCCUUCGGACUGGCACAAAAGUCAAUCAAAGAAAAUCAGAAUGAACUCAUUAACGAGAAUGAAAGAAUCAUUAAGAAAUGAAAGAAGAAUUAUGAAUCUGCUAGAUUUCAGACUAGUCCUUCGCGGAGUGAAAUCCCGGAAAAUGCUAGGUUUUGCCCAUAGGGAAGUAGCAAGAAAUCAAGUCAAAUGCCUUCUUUUUCACUCAAUUAUCGUUAUUUAUCAAUAUGAGAAAAAGUCCUAUUUAGAAGCAAAAAAGCCGGGAAAUAGCAAGGCAUUGUCCUAUUUGAUUUUCGAAAUUCACAUAGUUUGAUUCUUGUUUGAGUUUAUGGUCCGGAGAAUUACGGGUCUAUUCUUGAUUCCGCUCCUGAAUAUGGAUAGUCCUCCUUCCUUCCAUAUGGAUGGUCCUACUUCGGUUAAUUACGGAUGGUCCUACGGAUAAAUCCUCCGGACUACUUCCCUCCAUAUGGAUGGUCCUACGGAUAAAUCCUCCGGACUACGGAUAAAUCCUGCGGACUCCGGACUCCGGACUACUUCUGUUAAUUACGGAUGGUCCUACGGAUAAAUCACCUGGACCUUUCUUUGGCCCUGCGGACGUAGGACCCUGGACCUUUCUUUGAUGGACUUCUUUAUCCAUUAGUCGUUAGGCGCAAAGAAUUUGCGAAAGAAGGUGAAAAGAAUAUUUCAUGAGUGCAAGGCUGAAACAUUAGAUACCGGAAGCCUACGGCUGGGUCAAGACGAUCCAUAAGACAGGGAUAUUGUAAGGCGCAAUUCAAUAUGCGAGGUCAAAUCAAUCAUUUUCAAGGUAGAAAGAAAAGCCCACCUAGCGGUCUAGAGGUAGAGGAGCCGGUCUAGGCUGGAGCUCAUCAGUAGUAAGAGGAGAGUCAUCAGUCGAUGUUUCAGAAGUAGCGGAAGUAGCCCUUCCUUGGUCUUGCCGCAAACAAAUAAAGUGGGUUUUUUCCUAUCCCCUCUUUUUUUGAAGGAGGAGAAGGGCUUGAAAGAGUUCACGAGGGGAAGGAGUAGUGGCUCGACCUCUUCUCUAAUAGAAAGAAGUGGAAAAGCAGAAGAGGAAGUACGAAAAGAAUAAGCCGGAUAACCAGAUACCGGGGGAAGAGAAUGCGAGUAGGUUCUCAUCAGUCUUUUUAUUAUCCGUAGUUUUGAAGAUGAAAAGAAGAAAGAGUGCGGUUCGGGUAGGAGCUGCUUCUUAGUCAAGCAAUUCCAGGGGUUUCGUUUACUCUAUAGGCCUAGCUUACUAAUCUAACUUCAUUCCCGAGGGCUGGCCGAGAGAGAGCAUUAGGAAUGGGAGAUUCUACCGCGGGGGGCCGUAGCAUCACUCCUUACUCCUUAAGAGCCGCGUAGUGGGCAUCAUUUCUUAACAAGAAGAAAGCGCAAAGAAUAUUGCGGAAAAGGAGAGGUUCAAAGAAGAUUUCCGCUUGAUCCAUAAAAUAGAGAAAGGCUUUAGUUUACUUGAGGCAGAUUUGCUUAGCUCUUCGUAGGACCCCACGGAGCGGAGAGGGAUGAAAUAGCGAGACCAAUCCAUAAAAUCAGAGGAAGAGCGACCAAGAGGACGAAAUGCAGCUCGACUUCCAGAGGCAUGAGACCUUUUUCCUGUUAAGUCAAAGUCGGGUGCGGGUUCCUUUUCUAGCCAGCCCGCCAACGGAUGGAAGUUGAGUUGCUAUCAUGACUUCCUUCUUCUUCUUUCUGGGAGUCCUCCGGACCGGUUCUUUCCUCAAAUCAGAGUUCAAAGGGCAACUGCAUUCCUUUUCCUCGUUCACUCGGUCUAUAGAAAUAGUUCAUGGCUAGGGCUACUAGUCGUCAUACUUCUUCUUUGAGAAAGAGAUGGAACUCGUUCUCAUUGUUCAUAUUGCCGCUAUAUGAGUGAAUUCACGAGAUUCAUAAGAAAAUAAUCGCUUUGCAACACAACAAGAGCGACAGCCUCAACCGGAACAAGGGCCUCAAUGAACAAGGGGUUAGGGAUUGAAUCCGAUCUAUCCUAUCAGAAAGAAAAAUCAGAAUAAUUCAUCGCUUAGCUACUCCAAGACCAAGCACUUCCUCAACAGCUAAAUGCCACUGCUGGUCGAACUGCCGGUUCUGGGUCUCGUCUUUGGUACUGGGCGAGCAGAUAUAUACCUGGGAGGGAUUCGGCAGAAUCAAGCAGUUUGCCUUCGGCCGAUCCUGAAGAGGUAGGGAAUUUGGGGUAAGCAAAUGCAAACUCUUUCCAUCCGUGAAUGAAUAAAGCCGUCUUCAAUGGAUGUUUUUGUACGCUUGUACGCUUUGAUGCUACUGAAUUUAUAUCAAAGCACAAAACAGGGCUCAAAUAACCCUAAGAACUUGCCAAGUUCCCACUUCCAUCCUAGUUUGGAUUGGGUUUUAUGCUACUGAAUUUAUGCAAAAACAAGGUAUUUCGAUUGUUUUCUUGCAUCCGGCCUAUAGCUCAAAGUGACUAAAUUGGCAUCCUUCGAGUAUCGUUCUUAAUAGUUUCGUCAGUCAUAAAAAACCGUGGGAACUAAUGGCCCCACUCCGCGGUGAGAACUUGCGAUGCAAACCAUGGAAGAUGCAAAUCGGUAAAGGAAUGAACCCAUUGACUCAAGCGCAAGAACUGGUAGAGACAGCAGUCCCCAACCGUGGAGGAAGGAAGUCGAGACUCCUAUACAUGAAUUUCAGGCGGAAGACAGAGCGGUUCAAACUUGCAGAGAGAGCGCAGAGUUUUUGAAUAGUCGAGUAAAUCAUAAGGCUUCUUCCCUGUCCGACCCGGAUCCUUCUCAUUCCCUUGCUCGAGAGAGAGAUUCCGCCGAGACUUUUCUACUACUUCUCUGAUAAUGACCGGGCCGCUGCCUCUUGGGAGAGCUGCUUUAGCGUUGAGACCCCUUUUUGUACUUAUUCCUCGGGUAAGCCGUUGAGACCCAAGUCCUACGGGAUUCUGGAGACCGAAUUUCAUAGAAUUCCGCCGACCCCACUAAUUCAGAGACAGCUUCUGAUCCCUUCUAGCCGAUACCGAGACAGAGACUGAUUUCUUCUUGUCUAGCUGCCGAAAGAUAAUAGUAAUAGUACUUCUCCUCUUCCGUAGGUCUCUCCGCAAAUUCUUUGCUCCUCUGACGGGGACUGAUGCGGAUACAGUCUAUUCACACCGCGAGUAAACUCCAACUAAGCAGCAAAGACGACUUCUUUAGCGGUUUCAAGUCGUCCACUCAACAAGGGUCGAGCGAGUCCCACUAAGAUCCUGCCUUUAGGUAGAGCGGCUUCUUUCACUCCGUAAUUCAGCCGAUCUUGCUGUUUUGACCUCAUUUGGCUCUAGGAUAAAAUCACACAAUUACGGAGUUCAAGUCCCCGCUCGGCCUCUAACUGGUAUGAGAUAAUAUAAUACCGACUGAAGACCCUCUUCUGAUAGCUUGAGGUCUAACCUAUCCUUCUAGGUCUCGCUUACUCAUGCAUUCUCAUACCGGGAAAAAGACCAAGUCUUCGAGGUUCCUCCUCGGAACCAUCUCCUAACCCUCCCACGGGGCGGUCGAGCCUAAUCUAGCCUACGAUGGAUGAGGGGAGAUUUCCUCUUCUUCUCCGGAACUCCAAGAGAGUAGCUUCCCCGCCGCAAGAGAUAAUUCAAGGGAUAAGGUCCGAGCCUUUUCCAGGCUGAUUUUCGGGAAGAGAUUCUUUCUCCAACCUAGCCUUUAAAGUUCUAGGUCUUACCCCUACGUGGGCCUUGUUCAUAGAAUGAAAUACCGGAGAACUCCUAAUCCACUCUACUAGGUCACAUCCAUCCGCGCCCUUGGAUCUGAGAACUUCUCCUUCAAGUUACCUUGCCGACUCCCCUACUUCAGGUUCAGGGGACCCUACUCUGACUUCUUAGUUCUCGCUUGAAGUGAGCACUUCUUCUUUCUCUGGAAGUUACCUGUGGCCGGUCAAUCCGGUAUCCCUUUCAGUUAGUCAUUCAAGGGGAAGGGAUUUCACUCUACGGGAUAGACUUCUUCGUCUAACUCUAGCUGAGGCUUCUCGGGCGGGCUAAGAGGGAAUUCCGCUUCCUUUUCUUUCUUCUUCCCUUGCCGGUGCUUUCGGAAACUUAGAAUAAGCGAAUGAAAAAAGGUCGGCGACCACCCUACUAAUUCUGGUCUCGGCCUCGGGAUAGACUUCCAAAGAGAAAGAGAGAGGGAUGAAAGAGGUUAUGCACGGCGUCCAAUGGGAUAGUUUGACGGGAGAUCCUAUGAGACCCUUCCAGGUGGGGAUCCCUCUGCCUCUGAUGAAUCAGACUCCGCCUGCUCCGGUACCGCACCCCUCCUGCUCCGUGGGCAUUGACUCUUAGGCGAAGGACUGAUUUAUCAAGCUUAGUCUCCUUUCGUACUCUGACUCUUGGGAGAGCUUAUUUACGGGAGGAGAUCUGUAACUCCAACAAGUCAAUGAUUAGGGGAGCUUUCUCUUUCUUCUGAAACCCCUUGUUCAUUCAGGCUAGGCUUUCUCUUCAAAGUCAGAGCUAUCCAAAAUCUCAUAUUUCAUUGACCCGCAAAGAAUAUUGCGAGAAGAAGGCUGAAUUCCAUUUUCGAGUAGCCUUAGGCUCAAUGCAAUUUGAGUUGCGAAAGCUGCUCAAACUUGUGGUAAAGGGUAGAUUCUACGCAUAUUGAAUUGCGCCUCAUCUAGAGCUUUUUUUUGUUUUCGGAGCUUCUUUACCGAAGGCGUCACAGGUCCGAAGGACUAUCCAUAUUAACCUGCGACUGAGGACCUGUCUCGCAAUAUCCUUUGCUUUGCGCCUUAUCCAUAGAUCUUUGCGCCUCUCGCUUCGCGCCUAGAGAAAGAAACUGCCGAUUUCCUUCCGACCACGCGUCCUCCUUCUGACCGUCAAAGCUUAGUGAUUUACUUAGGCCUUUCCCGCUACGUGGGCCGAUGCGCUGGUGGGGACGGACGUCUAUGAUCAUCCUCUUCUUUAUUGCUUUCUGCCUCAGAAAGGUGCGGAUUCAGUCCCUUGACCCGAGUCCGAGUCGAGCAGCCGAUCCAUGGUUGGGGAGUUUGAAUGCUGGGGCACGUGCAAUCACUUUUCUUUCAACUUAAGGAAAUUGUCCUCUUCUCGAGCCUAACCUAGGAGUGGGGCCUAAUUAGUCGAUUUGACUCUUGGGAUGAUUCCACGUGAUCGGAUAGUCAAAUACCGGGUUUGAAUGUGAUUCGAAUGAAAGCAAGGGUCGAAGCGCGAACAAUGAUAGAUAGGAGGAUCGCUUCGGGUUAGGGGGCAGGGAGAGAGGGUAUUUGCCCGAUAUGAGCAAGACCUAUUAAGGAAUCCGCAUAUCUUAAGCAAAUGCUCACAUCGAUUUAUGCGAGGCGCGAAGCCUUCACCUUUUCCCAGCUUCGAUUCCUUACCUCGCCUAUUUUUUGGAAUCUUUGCUCCGAAGGCUCUCAGAAAUUGAGUUCUGUCCGUAGGCUGAUUAUUUCAGACUGAAGCUCUCAGAAAUUGAGUUGCCGUAGUAGGGUUGAAGACUCCGUCCUUUCUAUCUCCUUCUACUCAGUCGACUGAAUAUUCAUUGACCCUCUUAUCGACUACCUCUCUCCUCUCACAAGAUCCAGUCAAUUAAUUACAUACAAGAGACCGCGUAGUGGGCCAUAGAUCUUUGCACCGCUCCGUGGUCCUCCGGACUAUCCAUUAGAUGGAAGGUGGGCUUUCUUCUUCUUCCGAAAGAUUAUUUAAAAGGAUAUGAAGAGUCAGUGGGAGGGGGCUCUUUGCACUCCGAAAAAGUGCUCGUAAAAGAUAUUCAAUAUAAGUAGUAAUUCAAGCUCUUCUUCUUUAUUAAUUCAAGAUUCUUUCUCUGCUCAAGUAAGGAAAAGAUAUUGAUUACUAUCUCUCUAUCUCUCUUAUAAUAGAGACCGAAAGAAAGGGGAAAGAGAUGGUACCCGCCAUUUUCCCGUGGGUAUAUUGAAUGAAAGUGCCUCUCGUUAUAAAGCUAGAGGGUCGCGCGGUCCAUUCCCAUCAUGGGAGUCACGGCAGUCUUGGGUCACCUUUCGGCUGGGGGUCCAUUUGUGCCUAUCUGAGGCGGAAAAAUCCCUGUGGGGGAAAUUUGCACUCGGUGAAGGAAGGCCGGCUGCACUCGUGAAAAAAAGGAGUCUUUACAGGGCGGCCCCACAGCGGCCUACUUAUCAAAAGGCUCCGAGAGCACGAUGAGUGGCUCGAUGUCGGAUCCCAUGCUUCAAAGUGCAGUAGUGCUAAGGUAUCCUAGGAUGCGGCAAAUAUGGGAAGAUUCCCACUGCGAGAGAAAAGGCUUGGGGAGCGAAUCGCAGGCUAUCUUUGGUGGCCGGACCCCUAUAAAUGUUCGGAACUUGGGGAUAAGUAUUUCCUCCUCGAUUGGGUGGCCUUAGUCUGCCACAGGCCGGUCAAGACUAGGCAACUCUUGAUCCCAAGUACUCAAAAAACCCUCUUCCUUACUAGACUUUCAAGGGUACUACAAGUAUACAGGGGAAGGAGCAAUAUUCCGGAUGACUGAUAUGAUCUAUGGGCGAUAGAUGAAUUUAGAGAGUCAGACGGCGAAUGGGGUUCUCAGCCUGGAGGAUAUUUGGCCCAAAUGUCAAAUUUUCUCUUUUCUCAGAAAGGAAAUGUGCCUAUUAUCUUUUUUGGGAAUGAGCUCCCACGGAUCUUUAAGGAAAGGGGACCGUAGGCCGAAAGAAGAAUCCCCUUACAUUUUCUAUCGCAAUCUUCGAAGCUCGGCUGAUCUCGACGUUUUGGAAGUGUUUAGAAAUCCGGGCGGGCACCCAGGACCAGAUUGGCAACCCCCCCAUUUUAUACAUUACGCCUUCAUUCAUUCUUUAGAAAGAAAAAAAAGACAUAGUCAUAGAGCGGUAUAUCUCUGUCGGGCUUCUACAAAUAUUGGGGAAGGAAUACCUUCUUUUCUUCCAUUAGGAAAGAGAAGAAAGACAAGAAGACGGACAAACUUAUAUGGCACAUUAACCAGAAUAAGUUGGGAGAAGGCGGGAUGAACCUUCUCAACUUUGCCUUAGUCCCUAUCCCGGGUAAAGAAAGAGGUGGAAUAAUCUGAUUUCAAAAAAGAAGGUAAUCUUCAUAGACACUGGAACCCAGUGCAGCCUUGACUACAUACAAUGGCCAUAUUUCAAGGUACGGGCUUAGGGGCGAUUCCUGAAAUUUCAAUGUCAAAAUCCUAUAAAUGAGAUAUUUACGAUGAGGAGAACAGUCCCCGCCCUACCUACUAAAAGGGUUUAGAGAACCUUUCAUUUCAAGUCAGAAGAGCGAUCAGGGAGACCACGAUGAAGGAAGCCACAUACUUGUCGGGGGUCCAGCACUGGACUCAACUUUCUUUUCUUUUUGCUUCAGAGCAUUUGACGUCAGGUUGCUCGGCUCUCUACAAGAGAGCCUUUCCUCAGAUUCAAAGAUUUAGAAGAGAAAGAGCGGAUAAAAGGGGGUGGGGCUGAAGUUUCUUUAGUUGUGGAAGCCUAAGCCAGAAUGAAUUACAUAAGAAAGGAAGACAGCCUCAUCGGUCGUAUUCAUACCGAGUCAAUAAGCUUUACGCUCAAUGAGAUCUCUUCAUCUUCGGUUUGUUCCGGGAUCUCUAAAAAAGAGAGUAGGCUUCUGCCUCUGGGCGAAAUUUUGGAGUCUCGUCUUUGGUAAAAAGCUUAGUGAAACUUCCGACUCUCGAUCUCCCGUCCACGGAAAAUCUGUGACUGACUCAACUCUGAAUCACUAUCCUUCAUUCUUAGGAGUGCAAUGAACCCACUCCGCGGUUUCCCAGUGGGUCCUACUUCGGUGUCCUACUUCCGGAUGGUCCUACUUCGGUUAAUUACGGAUGGUCCUACUUCGGUUAAUUACGGAUGGUCCUACUUCCAUAUGGAUAGUCCUACUUCCUUCCAUAUGGAUGGUCCUACGGAUAAAUCCUCCGGACGUAGGAUAAAUCCUGCGGACUCCGGACCCUGGACCUUUCUUUCUUUAAUGGAUAGUCCUACGGAUAAAUCCUCCGGACUCCGGACGUAGGAUAAAUCCUGCGGACUGCGGACCUGUCCAAAACUUUCUUUCUUGACCUCGCAAUAUUCUUUGCACCUCCGGCUCAAUUUCAUCUCUAAGCUCCGUGGGAACUGAAAAAUGGAGUUGGCUUUUAUGUGAUCAUGCAUUUUCUGAAUGAAGGAUUGAUAGUUUUUUCUUGGUUUAGGUGACUCAAUUGAAUCUCGCCUUCUACGCCGGCUGGGUCGGAAUCUGAAUAUGUGGAUGAAAGACGGAGGAUCGGAAGACUCGCUGCCUUUCUGCCUUCUUGCCUCAUCCCGGGUAGGGCAUUUCUAGGGGGCAAGCUGAAAAUUGAGAUGUGGAUCCUUCAAAGUAGGCGUUAAAGAUGAACCGACGCAAUAUUCUUUGCGCCAUUAAUUCCAUUGAAUUUGAACUAAAUAAGAAGAACGAAUCUUGCAUUGAGCCUUUGUUUUUGCUGCAACAUCAACGGAUUCAGCCACUUUCAACCUCAAAAUAAUACUGAAAGAGCCAAGUCUGAAGUACGGAUUUACGAAGGAAGGGGAUUAGAUUGUUCUAACCGCCUGUCUGACGCUUGAAAUUUCUCUCUUUUUUUGGGGGUACCCGAAAGGCGUCCUCAGUCAGAUGCCACUUUUCUUGAAUAAAGCGAUAGCCGAGAGAGUCGACUUCCCUCGUUCUAAGAUUACUUAAGGCUUCCUUCAAUCCAUUCGAUAGCCUCUUGUCUUCUUACCGCUACGUGGGGAAAGCGAAAGACAUAGGCUUGAAAGAAAGAAAAGUUCAGACCUUUCCAUGGCAGUCUUAAAUAGAGCAGAGUCAGAGGCAAAAGGAUUUGACGCAAGUUGAAGCUAAGGAUCGACAGAAAGCUAGGUGUCCUUCUCCCUUCUUAUCCUAAGGAACUCGCAGAGUUAACGAGAUCUCGCAGAUAUAUAGCCAAGUGAUUCACCACGCCAAUAGGUGGGUUUUGAUAGUCAGUCAGAAAUUCAGAUAGAAGGCACCGCUGGAACUUGUGCAUGCUUAUACUAGGGAAAGAGCUCUUCAAUUCAUUCCCCGCUCUCCUGAGGUCGUGACAAGGUUCAAAGAAGAUUGAAGUAGUGGGCUGCGCUUUGGGGCUUUUGGCUAUGCGUAGAUAUUCUGGUAAGACCAAUAUAGUACGGAAGCAUCUCGGAUGAAGAAGAGGUGCAAAGAAUAUUGCGUUGAGGACUCGGAAUGAAUAAAAAGAAUGCCUGUUGAAUGAUCAGUUUCUCUUGAAUAAGCUAGAUCUCUUGUUCCAUUUCAUCAACAAUCGUAAGCGAAAAGAUUAUAUAGAUAGGAGUAGGAGCAAUCUGGGGAUUCAAAGAGGCAGGUCGCAGAAGAGAAGAAAGCCUAGGGCUCUCAAAUAGAGAAAAAAGGUAAAUAGAGGCCAAUAGGCUUACGACGACGCGACUUCUCUUUCUGAAACUUGAUGGAAGGACUGACGGCUUUCCUCUUACUAUUACGUCUUAGGCCCACGUAGCGGUAGGCUUUCGCAGCUGCCGAAACCUCUAAGUCUGAUCCUUACCCCUUUGACUUCUGAAUUACCGCGAGUACUCUUUAUGGAGUCUUUUCCCUUUUCUUGGUCGUAUGAGUCCUUCGUCUUGGAUCUGGCGGGAAAGCCUCAUUCAUUGAUCUAUUUCUUAGAAAGAAUAGCUUAUUCUUAAGAAAGCGGACGGACUCAGCCUUUUCUUCUCAUGCCCUUCUUUAUGCCUCUUCCUUCGAUCUCCGGCGUGCGGGUCGAGCGCGUCAAUAUUCUUUUCACCUCUUUUCCUUGCGAGUUUGUCCAGUUAGUUCGGGAACCUAGGCUUUCUUCUUCUUUCCCAUGAGAACUUCCUAGUGAAUCUCGUAUUAAUCAGCAUCAAAAUCUCAAUCGCAUAUUUCAUUCCGCCUCCAACACGCUCUUUGCUUUGAGCAAUAUGCGCCUCCGGCUUAAAUAAGCGAGUCAUGAUUCCGCUAAAGUUUCAGACCUUAGGCUCCAUAAGACAGGUCCGAAGGACUAUCCAUAUUAACCCAGAUUUCGAGACCGCUCCUCUUGAGUCUGAUUCCAAUAAUAUCCGUCAUGAUCCCUUAUAAAGCAGUUUCAGACCUUAGGAGCUAUUCCAAAAACGAGCUCUUAAAUCCCCACGGUGCGGUAGUUUAAUCUUUCAGCCUUGCACUCCUUUCUUCUUUUCCGAAAUAUUCUUUCGCCUGAAUCCAUAAAUAAAUAGAUAGAAGUCGGGGCUCCAAUCAAGGCGGUCGAUGAUUCGGCGUAAAAGUUGUUUUCAUCGCUUUAAGAACAAAAAAGACAGUCUUAGCCGCCAUUCGAAGGAUCGGAUAGAAGCUGCUCUCUUUCUUUAUUCCUUGUUCAUAUCCUCUUAUUAGUUACGGGUUACGAAGGAGAGGGGUUUUAGGGGUUUAUGGACUUGACACAGAGUCAUCCCUCUCUCUAAGUAUUAAUUAGUCUAAGUCGGUGCUAUCCCAUUCAGAUAGGGAUCCCUUUAUCCCCAGACAAAUCUGGCUCGGAACAGUAAUAAGUAUCAGUAGCCACAGAAAAGGGGGAAGACUUGGAACUUCAAGCAGAAUCCGGAAAAAUAAUGGAUUUCUAGUCCUUCGCCUAAUGAAUAUGGGGAUCUGGACGGCGGAGCAAAGAAUAUUGCCUUCCACUUUGAGAGGUUAUGCUAGAUUAUAUAUAUAGUAAAUAGGUGGUUAGAGAAUGAGUCAGACGAAGGAUCCACGUAGAAGCCGCUAUCCCGACGGUCUGUCUUGAUCAGGUGCGGAUGCUACGGAGCGGCCAAAGACUGGAAAGGAGAGGGGCGAAGCGAAUGGAAGAUCAAUCCUCGGUUCCUAGAAAAAGAAAGCGGAAAACGCAAGUCAAAUUCUCUAAUGGAUAGGCCUUCUCGCAAUAUUCUGCGCAUCUGCGUCCUUCUUUUUCGCAUAUUUCAUUGCGCUGUCAAAAUGAAAUUAAUGGAAUAACUUCGCCUAAACUUGAAAGAAAGGUCCAAAGCCCUUCGUUAAUUACGGAUAGUCCUACUUCCUUCCCUCCAUAUGGAUGGUCCUACUUCGGUUAAUUACGGAUGGUCCUACGGAUAAAUCCUCCGGACUACUUCCCUCCAUAUGGAUGGUCCUACGGAUAAAUCCUCCGGACUACGGAUAAAUCCUGCGGACGUAGGACUCCGGACUACUUCCAUAUGGAUAGUCCUACGGAUAAAUCCUGCGGACGUAGGACUCCGGACUGGAUCUUGUUGGGCGAAACUGCUCAAGAAAUCAGAAUCUAUGAACAUAGGCUUUCUCUUUUCAUUGACUUAUGUCUCUUCCGAGACUGAGUCCUCUGACUUUCUCGCUGCCGAUGCAUGCCUCUUCUCUUGUCGACUUUGUCCUGAUUGUAGUACGCGCCUUCUCCUUGGAUACCGCCGCUACGUGGGCCUCAUCCUAUGGUUCGUGGGAUAGGGCUUUCAGUCUUCCUUGUCGAGCCGGUUCGGCGCCGCAGCACCUUUGCAGUGGAGAAAGAUUACUCUGGAUGUGCCAAUAAGACUAACGGAUGUUUCCUAGCCCGAGUCAACGUCAAUAUUCUUUUCACCUUCCUCAACUUCCCUUUCCGCCUCCCGUUCUUUCAGUUACGGGGAUUCAGGUCAAUGCCUUUCUAAAUCUACAUUAUUCAAAAAUCAUAAAUAGCUUGACUCAACGACAAGAACUGAAAGAGCUACCGGAACUGCUGCCCUUGAACCUCGAGCCUUUGCCUAGGCCUCUGCUGAACUCUACUUCUUGACUUUUGACUCAUACGAGUGGAUACUUCCCUCUCUACACAAAAGUCCUCAAUUGAAUCGAGACCGAAAGGGUUGAGUUUGGGGGUGGGGAUGAUUUGAGAAGAAAACUUCCGACUCCCUUCCACCUACCUUCCCACUUGCGAUGAAAAGAAGGAGGAAAAGGAAAGCAAGGAUGCUCGAGGGCCUAAUUCUUCUUCUUUUUUCUCUGAUCCAGAGCAGUGGUCUUAAGCAUAUAAGUCCAAAAAGUGCAUCUCAUGCGAAUAAAGAAAUAAACGAAAGAAAUGGAAGAAGGCCUUGGUGAUAAAGCUAUCUCGUCCCUCACCGCUACGUGGGCUCCAAGGUUUAUCCUUUUCUUAAGGAAUAUAUUCUCAUAAAAGAAGGGUGCGUCGGUUUAGCUUUAGCUAGGAGUCCCGCCUAGCUUCCGAACUUGCCAAGAAUUCGCGAUUGAAUAUUUUUUUCCGCUUCCUCGACGGGACCAUCGGGUCUCCAAACUGAGAACGACCAGCUUACUUGAAUGAAGAAAGAGAUAUCUCUCUUGUCCCACUUGGAUUUUUUUUCACAGCUAGAUAGAGUGAUAUUCACAGGAAAAGAUGUCUAAGCUCUAUUUGGACCGGGUCUCACCUCUGUCCAGGGCUUGACUAAAGAGUACUGGAUAUAUAGAUCUACUUUUAGUUGUGAAAGAAAGGAAUAAUAGGAUCCAUUCUCUAUUAAUAUCCAUUUAGUUGGUUCAACUCCUGCUUCAACUGCUAUUGACCCAUUCCCAAGUCAAAUAUGGUCAAAAAUGCUAAUCUGCCCAAUUAUUUGAGAUAUGCUUAAGAUAUCCGAAAUUCUUCAGUGCUAGCCCUGCUCAAUUCCUAAGAACCGAAAGUUUGCGGGAGGUGGCUCAGCCCGCUCCUUCUUCCUCACCGCUACGUGGGCGGGACCGGCCAUCACAGGGGACGUGAGAGAGGAAAGAAGAAGGCAAUAAGCGAUCUUUAGUUCUUUUUUUCAUGGUAUCUGCCUAGGGAUCAAGGAGGCUUGACUUGGCUAGGGACGAGAAUAAUAUAAGACCUCUGCGCUGCCCUUUCCGGCCAAUGCCCAAUACCGAGUUAUGGCUUUGCCUUGAGGUAUCCUCCCAUCUCCGUAUCGUGAGAAUGUCCUUGAGACUGUGGAAAGCAAUUCCUUCCUUUUUUUUCUCUUUAGCUUUUUUCAAUAUUCUUUGAACCUAGGUCACUUUAGUAGUUCUAGCUGCUGACCCGAAGGACAGCUUUCCACAAUUCCUUAUUUAUACUUCGUUGACCGGUCCGCUCCGUCGCAAGUCAAAUUCUCUAAUGGAUAGGCCUUGCUCCUUCGAAUAUGAAUUCAGCUUUUUUAAGCGGCUGCAAUCAGUCUGAAUUUCUGAUCAUGAAUCUUCAACCUUGUUUUUGAAUUGAGCUUUUUUAAGCGGCUGCAAUAUAGCUUUCAUAAGCCUAGGACGCAAUAUUCUUUGCGCCUCCGGACGGGUUCCCCGCAUAUUUCAUUCCGCCUUCGGACCUGUCCUCCGGACUAUCCAUAUUUAUUAACCCGAGCCUUUUUCCAUUGAAUUUCUGAUUUCAGAGGACUUCUAAUCAAUGAACAUCCAUAAAUAAAUAGGGGUCUUUCAAUUGCUUUUUGAUUCUGUGCGCGCUAAGAUUUGAGUCUUGAAAGUGGUGAAGCGAGGGACUGGUCUUUGCCCCUAAUCAAGGAUUUCUUCCUCUUCUUGACUGCCUUUGCCACAUUCUCCUACUCAGGUCUAGCUCUCACCUGUGCAAGCAUCAGAAGAUGGAUUCUCGCGAUCUACAGAGUCCUUAUGGCUUGCUUUUUUAGUCGGCCUCAGUAGCUUAAUAUGGAUAGGUUGAAUAGUCCGGAGAAAUAAUAGUACUUUGUCUUUGUCUUAAUCUGUGGAUAAAAAAGGUCAUCUGGACCUUUGUUUUUGGGUGAAAGAAGGUGAUGAGGACCUCGCAUCUACGUGCAAAAAGUUGGAGAACUAAGAAAGACCUUACUCUGCAUCAGUCUCAUGAUCCUCCCUGGGCGCCAGGCUGGGACCGCACAUGAAAGACGAGAGGAGAUAUUCUAGGCGGACGAAAGAGUAUUUUACUAUCAAAUUGGAUAUGUCAGCAAGAGAAGAAGAAGAAAACUGGACAUGGCUUUGGCUGCUUAAACUGCCCUUGGGAUAGAAGAGAAAUAUGAACUCUCCACUCCGCCUCUUCUUUCGGAGAAAAAAUGGCAUUAGAAGUAGGAGUCAAUUUGGAUAUGAACCACUUCCUUUCCUAUCUUAUUAUUCAUUUGAAAAAAGGUAAGGUUCAAUUUCCCUAUUGUAUUAGGUCUGUGAUCAGUCUUCGAUUCCUUAGAAGCCUUACAAGAGGUUCCAGGCUUUUUUUGAUUUUCCUUUUACAUAGGUCGCAUUCAAAAUUACCUUCCAUUAUUCCUCUCGCUACGAUGAGGGUAUUGAAAUAAGAAGAACCCUGGCGGUACCAGCUAAGACUUUCCGGGAUAGUAUUAGGAUCCAUGAAAGAUCCUUUUUUCCUAGCCUUCCGGCCCCUUUCCUUACUUCUUAGGAGAAUUGAUAGAAUAGAGGCUGGAUCAAUAGCAAUAGUAAGAUACUACAGAUCCCUUGCCCUUUCAGGUGGUGAGGAAGGUAGAUGCUUUGAAUAAAAUGCAAACUGAGAAGACUGCUAGUUAGGUUGCAAGGAAGAAUUUCUCCUGAGAAUCUUAAGUGAAUCUAAGAAAAAAGAUUUGUGCUUUUCUAGUCUUAGAAAGUCUCCUAUCUGUGGCUAGAAGAGAGUUGCCGAUCGACCAAAGAAGAAAAUUCGGGAAAAUCUCCUAUUAAUUCCACUAAGAGGGAUUUCUUCAUAUAGUCAGAAUCGUACCAGGGAAGACUAAGAUCUUUCUUUCAUAGAAGGACUUGCCAGUAGGUGCGGGGUCGGAUAAGCCGGUCAAGGUCUGGCAGAGUAGAAAGAAAGGGAUGGAAGGUGAGACUUUCCAUUUUCUAUCCUCACCCUCACGGAGAGGCAUAAGAUCCGAAUUCGAGAGAAGACUUCCAGUGCGAAUUCUCUUUUUCACUAGGUUUUGAUUAUCUUUCAUUCUCACUUCAAACUACUAAGAAAAAAUGGGGAAAGGAUUAAGAUGGGAUACGGACCCAAAAAGAAAGAAUAGGCGCUGAUCCAGAGAACAAAGAGAGAAGAAGUGAUUUUCCUUUCCGGGAUUCUCCCUGAAUCCACCCUGUAUUUUUCCUUGGGUCAUCGUCCUUUCCGUAGGUUGAAGGUAAGAUGGAUGACGAGGAUAAGUUCUUUAUGAUCUUUUUUCAUUCUUUCUACUUCCAGUAAUAGGCAUCGGAAUGAGACCGGGGCCGAGUGGGGGAUUGAGCUAAAGCGAGAGGCGCAAUGAAAUAUGCGUGACACGUAGGGGUCGAUUGAGACGGAGUCAAGAUUGCUACUUAUUCAUUCUAAUAUGCCGAGUCAAAACGACUUAUAUAAAAGAAUAUAUAUUUUCAGGUUUUUUAUUCGGGUCUAUAACUAGAAUCAUCAUACAAUGAUCGGCUUUCCAAAGGUCAUGAGCGAAGACAGAAGAAGCUAUCCAAUGGGCAGGUAGAGUAUGAAUUCCCAGUCUAGAUUUGAGAGAUUUAGAAUCUUUCUAAUAUAAAGAGAAUGCAGUAGACGAAGGAGGGUGAGAGAAAGAGCGCAUGAUCGGGUCUAUAUAGCGGAAUCGAGGAUGAACUUUGCCGAGGGGAUCAAAAAGGUAAUGAUAAAGGUGGCCUCACCCGUAUUCAGUUUAGUUCUUUCGACAGGUAAGCGAUUGGAGCAUACUUUCCACGGAAAGGGAAGGAUAAGAAAUUCGGAACCGGAUAGUCAAUCCGAGGUCAGGUCCAGUUGAGUGGCGAGUACUCCUUGCUCUUCCGGUUGCAGGAGAAGUUUCCUCUUGCAGCUUCCUUCAUCCGCAUCAUCCGUCGGCCUCAUUCAAGAUUUAUGGAUUUCUUGAGGAUCUACCACUUGAAAGGAUAUUCCAUCCGGCAUGGAACCAUCUGUCGGCAGCUAUAACUAAUAGGAGAAGGGGGAAGGGGUACAGGCAAAAGUCUUCGGAAAGCAUAGAGAAGAGGAGAAAGAAGAAAGUGAUCAGGAUGAAAGCAAGAGCUUACGAUUGAUCUUAGGCUAGUCCCAUUCUACUCACUCAGGAAAAUAGAAGCGCUCGGCUAUGGGAAUAGUUCUAGGGCUAGCCCUAUCAUUUGACGAGAUGAUAAUAAUAUCCCUUCUGACCUAAAUCAAAAAAGACUAUUCAUAAAGCCAAGGUUCAAAGAAUUUGAGUAAUUAUUCAUGAAAUUCCUUUGACUUCUCCUUCUCUUUCGAUAAGAAAGCUCUUCUAUCAUUUCUUUGGGCUGAUCGGUAAGUUGAUCUCUUUCAUUCGGACAAAACCCCCCGAGACUGAUCAUUCCCCGAGGUCCUCGAACCAGGCGCUUACUCUCAUUCUAAGAGUGAAGAGAAGAAUUCCCAUUCCUCUCUACCCCCACUACGCGGUCUUCAGUCGACCCCACUACGCGCUUCUUCCAUCCCUUGCUGGAUAAGAAGUGGUCUUUUCUUGCUUGAGUAUGCAUGCCUCAUCCUAAGACCAAGGCCAAUAGCCCCAGCGGUUUCACUCAAUUCCAUGCCAUGGGAAAUACGUUCAUUAGAAUAAAAGGAUAAAGAGUUCAAUGCCAGCGCAAAUCCUGAUAUUCAAGACCAACCUCGACCUCGUAACCGCUCCCUCGGUCUCACCCCUGCUACAACUUUUCUAUCUUGCGCUUGCACGGAGCGAAAUCCAGUAAUAAGAAGAGCAGAAAUAGACCUCAUAUAUAAGUCAUUCUUCUCUCAGAGUACAGUAAUUAGUUCAUUAUUAACCUGGUGCAAAAAAAAGAUAUUAUAAUAAGAAAGAAGAAGACCUCAAAUUCUUUGAGCCGUCCGGAGGACCAAAAAGAAAGGUCCAGGGUCCAGAGUCCGGAGUCCGCAGUCCGCAGGGCCAAAGAAAGGUCCAGGGUCCUACGUCCGGAGGAUUCUUAUCCGUAGGACUAUCCAUAUGGAAGUAGGACUAUCCAUUAUCUGUAGGACUAUCCGUAAUUAACCGAACUUUGCACUGGGGCAUAAUCUUUCGUUUUAUUAUUAUUAGCUUAUCAAAAAGAAAUGACUAGUUACCGAAAGGACUGAUAGUGCAUCCGCACAAAAUUAGGAAAGGGGUGCUCUUUGAACCUCGCAAUAUUCUUUGCACCUGGUGUAGCUGACUCUGGAUCUGAGACGGCUACUGCCCUCGUCCUGGGACGGACUCGGACUGAUGGGACUGAUUCCCGGAGGCGUCUUGAAACUCAUUCUACGUCAGCGACUGUCUUCUUCAACCUCGGCUGCGACAGACCCAGGCCGAUCCAUCCGACCCAAAGCCUAGAUCUACCGACUCCUAUCCCUCUCCGGGACCGCAGUCCACUAUUGGGCGUCCGGUUUGAGAUAAAGAAGAAGAAGACAGAGAUUCUUGUCCACUCCCGAACUAAAGAGAGAAUUGAGUGAGAUUAAAUACGAUAUUAGGAAAUGGGGAUUCUAUCUGAUAAUUGGGAUUCUUUGUCUAUUAUUUUGGUUCUUGUCCGAUCCGCUGCUAAGACUCGAGCGAAGCAAGUCCUUCGCCUCAAUGAACUUUCCGAAGUCAGGACCGUAGGCAAGGGGCGAAGCCAAGCGAAAGGAGCGCAAACUGGAGAUACUACAUCUCGUCCUACGCACGGGAGCGCAAAGCGAGGAGGACUCUUCAGUCUAAACCUACUAUUUGGAAGAAAGCCUCAACCCCCACUACGCUACAGAGAAGACGCCAAAAAUCAAGGUCCAGGCGCCAUAAGACAGGGAUAUUCUUGUCUCCUUCUAAGAAAAAUCAGUCCAUCAUAUCUUCUUAUUUCUUUCUAGGCUUCGCCAUUCUCGUAUUAGCAGCUCGCUCUUAUUCAUUCAAUAGUUGUCCUUCUCUGAUUAUUAGUUUCGCAGGUGCAACUCAACCGGAGAAAUCAGACUCAAGAUCAAUAAGAACAUAAGCUCAGCAGCUCUGAUUAUUUUAUUAGUUUCGCAGGUCUUCUUAUUAUAUUAGAGAAAGAGGGGCGAAGCGAAUAGUCGUGCAAGAGAAGAGAUCUCAUUUUUUCGACUGAAGGAAGGUUCGGAGACGUAGUCGAUGAGAUAGAAAAGGGGAAAAGUGCAUUAUCAUAAGGAAAACAGAGUUUACGAAGUUGAGCGAGAGGGACUAGGCACAAACUAUCUAUAUAGAGCCGUUAUGAGUUAGAUUGCUUUCACUCGAUAAUGUGUACAAAAGCAUAAAGAAUCUAUUUCAUGAGUUUGAGCUAUAGGGGAAGCUAUAAAUAGAAAACAAGAGGACUCAAGGCUCGACCAGUUCCGGUAGCUCGCUCUUCUUCUUUCAGUAGCCGUCAGUUGUUCCAGCUGAGUCAAGCUAUCUUACUUGCUCUUUUUAGUGAAAUCGGUCUAUGAUGCAAAAAUGUAGAUUUAGAAGCUGCCCAUAAAGGCAUUGACCUUAAACCCUAUCUCUUCCUUCUACUUAAAAGCUGAUUUUUCUAUGCCCUCCACCCCCCACUGAAAUUAAAGAACGGGAGGCAGAAAGGGCCCUUGCUGCUUCAAGGGAAUUCGAUCUUUCCGAAGCAAGAGAAGGGGAAGCUAGAACUCAGUCAUAAGAAGAAGUAGGGAAAAGAUCCGUUGCCCUUGACUCUGCUGUCGAUCUUUCUCUUUCAGAGUCCAGAAAUGAAAGUGGAAUCAAAAACAAGUCCUUUCAGACGAGUUCUAUAGCUUCGCCUAUUUUUUUCCAUUAAUCAGUCCUUCGGAGCAGUCCAAAAAUCAAGGUCCAGGUGACUCAUUCAUUCCUAAAUCAAGAAUGUCCAUCAGACUCUAGCCUAUUGAAGCGAAGGACUAUGAAUAGCUAUUAGAACGAGGGAGGCUGAAUUCAUUGAGUGAUCGAGGACUUGUUUAUAAUAACAUCAUAUUUUCGGAACGAGGCUCAUGAAAAUAGGGGAAGACUUGUAGUAAAUCAAAGAAAAUCAGAAUGAACUCAUUAACUCGAAUGAAAGAAGAAUUAUGAAUCUGCUAGAUUUCAGAUGAAUCCGCGGAGGGAAAUGCUAGGUUUUGGGCCUAUAAAGUAGCAAGAAAUCAAGUCAAAUGCCUUCUUUUUUCUCUAUUUUCGUUAAAUAGAAAUCUUCGAAAAAGUAUGAAAAAGAAGCAAAAAAGCCGGGAAAACGCAAUGAAAGAAGAACUCCUAGGACAGGGAAAAUCAAUGAAGACUUCUAGUUUGAGUUUAUGGUCCGGAGAAAUACGGGUCUAUUCUGGAAUUCACUCCGUCUGCAAUCUCAAAAUCAAUGAAGGAGUACAAUGAACAUCAUAAUGAUUCUUUCAUUCGAGUUAUGAAAUCAUAAUUCUUCUUUCAUUCUCGUUAAUGAGCCCGUAGUUAGGAGUAUUAAGACCGGUCCUACGUCCAUUUAUCCUCCGGACUAUCCGUAAUUAACCGAAGGAGUGGGCAAGGGGUGGAAAAGGUUCUGCCACAACCGAUGCCAUGCCGAUAUGACCAGUGGAUUGGGGCCUUCCCUUCCCCUGAAAGUGAGAGAUCCGCUGACUUUGGGAGUCCUAGUCCUGUACCUGGAUAGGGCGCUUCCUUCUUAUUAAUUAGUCUAGUGAAUACACCCGCAUAUUGAAUUGCGCCUCGUUCUCACAAUGAGAGAAUCGGAGUUUAGAGGUCCAAGAAGUCAAAAGAAAGACAGCAAUGUGAAAGUCAGAAAAGGUUCAAAGAAGAUUUCCGCUUGAUUUGAUUUCACGCUUCGCUAGGCUUGAUCUUUCUUUUCAUACUCCUAUAGUUCAAAUGGAGUAGUUUGGCAUGCUUCCGAGUUCUCUUGAUGUGACUGACUCAUUAUCACAAUCACAGAAGUAAUGGAAUGAAGAACGUGGAUCCCUCAACUAAGUAGAAUAGAUAGAGUCUCGCUACUCCCAUUCAGGAUCUUGUCUAGCUCCGACGCUUUCAGUGAGACGGCAAAUUCUCCCUCUUCCACCUUUUCAUACUAAUCUACGGAAAGAGACCUCUUCCGUACUUUCAGUUUCUAGUCGGACUAAAAUCAAAUAGUCCGAGAUCAUUCUUUGAGCCUCUUUCAUUGAUCUAUUUUGAUGCCUCUUCCGCAAGAAAGUCAAUGAGUAAAAAGAAUAUUGACGCUCGCAGCGUGGUUGCCUCCAUAGAGUGAGGUAGGCCUUUCAGUUCACUAAGAAUAAAGUCAAGACGGGUGAGCUCUUGAAAAAAGCUCUUGCAUCCAAUAAGCUUGGGAAGGUUAUGAAAUAGUGCGUGCCUCUUCUUUUAAGAGGAAAUGAGAAAGUAUCCCCAUUCUCAUAAAAAAGAAAGAAUCCCGCACUGGGAGGAGUGUCCACAAGGGCUAAGAAAGAAGCAGUUCUGUUCUGGGAAGCCGCAGCUCAGUCUCUUUCUUCAGUGGCAUAGGAAGGAGUUGGGGAAGUGAACUCCGUUGAAGUGGCAAGUCCUUUCUCUUGUUCUUGAUUUGCAAUCUCAUUGAUGAGAAAAGUGCCGAGGUUCCCGAAGGGAUCCGACCUAAUCUAUUGUAAUAUCUCAACUAAGGAAAUGCAGCCUCACCCUUUUUACGAGAAAGAGGCAGAAAGGCGCAAAGAAUAUUGCGAUGCGAUUGAGAAGAAUUUUUCAGACCUAGAGGAGAGGGAGAGAGAGAAAGGGAGCAGUUAGGGUCGAGGUAUUCACAAGCCUCCAGCGCUCACAAUUCUUCUUUAGUAGGGUCCCUUUCUCCUUUGAAUGAGAAUAGGGGAAGAUAGGUUCAACUAAGCUUCCUUCCUAUGCAAGAACGACGACUUCUGCCUCUGAUGAUGAAAGUGCUCCAUUAGUUCUUUGCCUCGGUUGAGCUCUACUUCCCCAGGACAGGAGAACGGCAGAGGAGAAAUCGACCUACCUAAUUGAGCACUUUCUUGUCUUCUUUCUUUCUCAGGUUUCCAUUUGUUAUCCCCCACGGUGCGGUGCAAAGAAUAUUGCGUGGAAGUUCUUUCUGUAGCAGAAGAAAAAGAAGUAGGAGUUGAAAGAAGAACUGGGACAAGCGAAAGAAUCGAGUAAUAUCAUCCCAUUAGGAAGAAUGCUGAACGAGCAUCAUAUUGAGGAUAGGCUCCCAGUACGAAGGGAGAAAGAGGAAGCGAGAAGUUACCGAUCCAUAAAAUCUAGAGGCUCAAAGAAUAUUGAGCUUUCUCCGCGUGCCAUUCGAAAGAGAGCGGCGGGAAAGGGCACAUCCUGAUUCAGAGGUUCGUCAAAGAUGUCAAGGAAAGGAAUCUGUCUCGGCUCGGACGGAAGAAAGGGACAAAGUAAGGAGACAAAGAGGCGCAAAGUAUAUUGCGUGAAGAGAAGAUUUCCGCUUUCUUUGAAAUUCUCUCUGUGGCUUACAGGGAAGUUGAGGAUGCGUCAUCUCUUUCAGGAUCAGUCUCAGCCCUUGUUCAUUGAGGCGGUUCUAGUAGCUGAGGCGGUAGCUCUUUCGGCUCUUCCUGAAGUUGCUGAGGAUGCCUCAUGAGAGAUCGAUCGGGACUAGAUCUCUUGACCAAAUAGAUAGAAAGGCUUAUGUAUUUCUCUAAAUCAAAUUCAUUGCCAUAUGAUAUGGAUGAUGAACUAGUUCUAUAGCUAAAAAGAAAGGCGGUCGAUCUAUGAUCCCUGAUUGACUUUUUCUUAAGAAAAGCAGAGUGAUUCAAGGCCCACAGAGCGGUUCUUCUUCUUUCAGUUUACUUCUUGAGACAUUCUUCUCUAUUUCUCAGAUCAUAAUAGAAUCUACCUUUACUGAGCACGCACACGCUCCCGGCACAGCACAAGAGAGGAUCGGCCGAACUCUUUUUCAGUUAGUGGGACACGCCCAAGAACUCAGAUACGACUUAAGAUUUAGACACAGACAGCAAGCCACCUCGCUCUUAGGAGAGGGACGGAGGAGGAUUCAGGACAGCUAAAUCAUAUUUAUUAGCAAGCUCCCAUUACAUCAAAUUACCGGUAGGUCAGAAUAGAAUAAAAGGAUAAAGAUCAAUCAAUACCCGAUGAAGAACUAAGCUAGCAUAAUCUAAUUCCGCCUAUGAAAGAUGCCUCCUACUCCGGGUCUCGCCUUUCGCCUAAUGGUAUUCUCCUUCUGCGCCUACUCACUUACCCCUACGUGGGACUCGUAAACCACCCUUUCGAAGAACUUAGCCGCUAUCCCGUCCCAGAUUCAAAGAGCUAUUGAAAUAUUCUGAGAUCAUUCUUGAGAUAAUUCUUUGAUCCUCCGUCCUUAGUCGUUCUUUAUAUCCAUAUUAGCUUAGCUUUCUUAGAGCGAAGGACUCGGUAAAAUGCUAUUUUUCAUCGAUCAAUAUCCGCGAUUGCCUUCCAAAAAAAAGCUGUUAAAGCACUAAGUCAAAGGCCUCUGACCAAAUAAAAGAGUGAGCCACGGAGCGGUAGGCCUUUCCCUUCGUCUGCAAUAAUAAGCCUUCUACGGGCUGAGUCCAAAUCAAGGAUUUUUGCAAGAAAACCUAAAAACGGCUAAGCUAAUAAGGCAAGGUUUUGAUGAUUUACUUUACUAUUACCUACGGCAACAGGAGGCGACCUAAUAAAUACUGUCAAAAGAAUAUUGACCUAUCCCUCAUCCCCUAAUGGAUAGUCCUUCGGACCUGUCUUAUGGGGCCUCAGUAGCUUAAUAUGCUUCAAUCUACCGCUACGCUACGUGGGUAACCUGUCCGGAGGGGAGUGCAAGUCAAGAGGAGUGCAGGAAAAGGUGAACUUUCAACGGUGGAGUGGAUAAGCCAAGGCUGUCGCUUUGAAGAGGGAAGUCGGCAAACUAACCUCAUGAAUAUCAACUCGAGUACCUUCUUAGCCUUACUAGGGAACUGAUAACCUAUAUCUGAGACAGUCUAUUGAUUCCAAUACGGUGUCGAUCCCUUCCGAAACACAGACAGAAGGAAAGAGAUAGGGGGUCGCGAGCCUCCCCUCAAAGGGAUACUGCCUGCGGAUUCCCCUUUUCAACUAUGGGUUCAAAGAAUAUUUCAGCUCGGCCUACGAUCUCACGAAGAACUUCUCCUUCUUCCACUAAGUCAGUCGGAUGGGACUUCUGCCUCCGCUUCUUCAGGUUAUGAUUCCCCAGCCGGGUUAGUCGAGCGCCCUGCCUUAUUCCGCUCUUUCUGCCUUAAUGACCGGCGGGGCAAUUCAAAGACUUUGAUUUACAAUCAAUCCCAGGAUCUAGCGAAACCCCUUCUUUAUCUCUUUCUUCAACAAGAGCUAGAGCGAAAGCUGAAAGAACAAAAGCAGCCUCGAUCCGCGCCCUUGCUUCAGCUUCAGUAGUUCCUAUUCCCAAGAUCAGCCGAUCCGAAGAGAGUUAGAGAAACUUCCGAUCAUCCGACAGGUUCAUAUUCCAUCAAGAGUCCAAGAAGUCAGGAACCUAUUAAAAGGAAGGAAAGCCUAUCUCAAAGCAUGAAAGAAAAGAUUUCUAGUUCAAUUGAGAAUCCAGAGAGGAUAUUGAAGACAGCUUCAUCCCUAUUUAUUUAUGGAUGUUCAUUGAAGCCGGAGGCUCCAUAAGACAGGGAUAUAUUGUUGGAAGGCGCAAAGAAAGAAGCUCAUUAACUCGAAUUCAAGAAUCAUUAUGAUUGAAUCACCCAUAACCUGGAGGGAAAUCCAGAAUAGACCCGUAUUUCUCCGGACCAUAAACCAUAAGAAAACUCUGUUCAUUGAUUUUACCUGUCCUAGGAGUUCUUCUUUCAUUGCUAUUUCCCGGCUUUUUUGCUUCUAAAUAGGACUAAAUCAAAGAUUGAUAUUUAACGAUAAAAGUACUUUUUUGACGGAUUUUUUGUCUUUUCUUGCUACUUUAUAGGCCCAAAACCUAGCAUUUUCUUGUAUUUCCCUCCGCGAAGGACUAGUCUGAAAUCUAGCAGAUUCAUCUUCAAUCUAGCGGAUUCAUAAUGAUUCUUGAAUUCGAGUUAAUGAGUGAAUUCUGAUUUUCUUUUAUUGACUUUUCCGCCAUAAGACAGGUCCUCCGGACGGCGCAAAGAAUUUGCGAAGAAGGCGCAAUGAAAUAUGCGAGGCUGAAUUCAAUUUUCGUAGCUCUGACUUUCAAAAGAAUGAUCUUUGCGAAGGUUCAGCUUCAUUCCUAUAUAUAGUACUUUGUCUUUGUCUUAACUUAUAUCCAUAUUUUCUUUUCUUUUGGAUUCCUUUCUUUUCAUUAAUUCAUCCUUGAAUGAGGCCUUACGCUGACGAGCUUACCGAUCAAUGGAUGAGAGAUGGAACUCGUACUGCUUCAAGCGAUCGUACUUAUGAUCUUCCCUCUCUCCGCAAUAUUCUUUGCACCUCUCUACACAAGACUGAAGGUCAAUUUCUGAGACCGUCCGAAACAUAGAAGACGCCUUUUACGAUACCAAGAGGAGGAGUGAGCUCAUGGUGGUACCGGGGGACUUCCCCUUCUUGAGACAGGUAAGAGCUACUCCUGCUGCUUCCGAUUCUUUUCUUUCCCUUUGAACCUCUCAUCAUGAGGGGAAAAGUACAUAAUUCAUCCUUGAAGCCCUCGUUGCAGUUCUUCUUUCAGUAGAUUUUCUUGAUGAAAUUGAAUAAGAAGGAUGCCUCAUGAGAGAUCGAUAGGGAGAUCUCAAAGCCAAGGCUUAAGGCGAGGCCUAUUUAUCGUCAUUCCCCUCUAUCAUCUCCUUUCAAAGAAGAAAGAAGUACGCUUAGCAGAAUCGGAGUUCAAGGUCAGACUCAGUCGCUCUAUCUCACUCAGAAGCUUGACCCCUUCAGUCAUUCGACUACGAUCCCAGUUGAUGCUUCAAAGUGCAAAGGCAGUUUAGGCCCACUCCGCGGUCCCUGGAUCUCCGGCAGAGGCUGAGUCAUAAGCCUAGAUAUGAAGAGCUAAAGAACUGGAAGAUUAAGAGGAAGGAAGUUGAUUUCUGAAGUUGAGAAGGAUCGAGUCCAUGCCAGACCUGUAAGAGUCACAAUUGUAUUCUUGAAACUUGCAUGAAUAAGGCCCUAUAGAGGAAGCCACACGUAGCGGUUUUAUCCCAUAGGCUGCUGAAACAAAGGGAUAGCUAAUAUAGUCCCAUAUCCGGUGCUUGGGAAUUGUCUAAAUAGUCUCGCCCAUUGCUGAGGUCAAGGAAAAGCAUACUCACUGUACCGCAACCAACUCUCAUGAGUUAGUUCUAGCUUGAGGAAAGAGAUCAAUAGAAAGAAAAUGAUAAUAGAGAAUGAUAAGACCCCACCUACAGGGCAUACCGCUACGCGGGCACCCAAGUCCGCCGAUUUGCCUUAUUCAUUCAAGAUCUCCCUAGCUACUACCCCGAUCACAAAGAUAGUUGUAGAGGCAGAGGUUCUUUCAUAGGGGUGCCGAACCCCGUUUAGGGCCACUCCGUCUGAUCAUGGAAUAGAUGAGAUAGAUCCCUUUGUUCAUUCAUAAGUUGCCGAUCUUGAGGAAGAUGCAGUUGAAGAAGCUGUUCUUCUUUCAUCAGUGGCUGUUGAAGGAGAAGUCGUCCUUUCAUGAUCCUUUUCAUUGGGGACGUUUCCACAAGUGUGAAUCAAGCAUGAACAAAGAAAGAAUCUCUUAUUUGAAGACGAAAGCAAAUAAUCUCUUUUCAUUGGGGAAUCCAUUGAUUAAGAAUCUUUGACCCUUGUUCAUUGAGGGAAGAGAGGAAAGGAGCGAGACCCGUCCUUUGCCUUUGGUUUGCGCCCCAGAAGGCCCAAAGUCAAAUUUCAUUGAUCCUUCUGACUAUUCAUCCUAUUUAAAUAGUGGGACUGAUUUUAUCCAAAAAAAGAAAAGAUUCCACUAUUCAUCAAGCCUAUCUCCGCAUUCCUUUUAGUUUUCCAAGAAAACAAAAGUAAAAGAACCUUGUAUUUGAAAGAAAUAUCGUUUCUAUGCUAGUGAAAAUAGCGCAUUUGAAUGAAGCUAGGCUCUUAGAGGAGAAGGCUCCUUUUUUCUAGGCUUUCUUUAAACAAACCUACUGAAAAUAAAGAAGAAAGAAGAAUCCCUUCGCUAGGCUUGAUCUUGAUGACUUGAUAGUUUUUUCUAGGCUUUCUUCUUUUUCUUUGGAGCAUUAAGAGUUGAAGGUGAAAUUCAAAAAACCUAUGCUUCUUUAUAACGGCUUUUCCUUUUCCCUCUCUCUCUCUUCCCUGUCCUAGCGAUCUGUAGACGUACCCCUUCACGAGCGAAUUGAAGAAGAAAGAGGACCUUCCCGGAUUUGCACGAUAGUCAGCUAUACUAGCCUACAAUGAAGGAGAGAGUGGUAUGGAUAUGGAGCCUCAGCCUGGGCGUAAAGUGCCUUUGAGUAGCGGGUUAGUGGUAAGGUCCUUCCCGGAGAGCGAGAAAGGCACGGCUGCUUUCAUAGAUGGAGUACAUGGGCCCAGGAAGGACCCCUGGCUAGAAGAGGGCUCACGGCUUGCAUGUACAAGAUCGUAGUUCAAUCGCAGCUUCACCGACGUUCGCGCUGAUCCCGAGCAGCGUCUCAGCCGAGAGGGAACUCAGAAGGGGGAAGUUCUUGCUUAGCAUCACGUGCGAGCCUAACCGUAGCGGGCAUCGAGACUAGGUUCAAAACGUGAAUAGAGUACGUGCGACUUUGGUCAAGCAACAAGCUCUUGAUCGGUACGAUAUAGACGAGUCAUCUAGUCCUCCCACUGUCUAAAGGAGGGCCCAUCCCUGAACAUUUCGGAUGCUAGCAGGGCCUCUUAUCGUCGAGCGGCUUCUUCCUGGACAGUACUGUUGCUGAACUUAUCUCUGAGGAGACACUGAUUUGGGGUGUAUUUUCCCUCCUUCCCAUGUAUUUAUGUGUAUUUUUUUCCCUCGGGGUCACGGCUCCGUAAUUAAGGUCAAAACUUCCAGAUCGGCUUCUUGAACUCCGUAAUUCAGGUCAAGCAAGAUCGGCUGAUCCGCUUAUCUUAUCCGGACCACACACUCUCAGUCUUUUUAUUGGCAUUUCUUUUCCCUUAAGGAACCACAAGUUCUUUCAUUAUAUUUUCACCCUGACCCUACUUCCCAACUUGACCCCUACCUUAGAUUUCCUAUUAGGUUCACACUUGAUCUUCUUUCUUGUAUUUCCCCUUUGCCUUAUUAGCUUCCCUGACCCUAUUCCUUUCCAUAUUAGGUUUUCCCUUAAAGCAUCAAUCUGCCCUAUUUUCUAUAUAUUAUUCCCAUCUGUAGGUUGGCCUACUUCCGCUACUUCCGCCCCCUAUAACCUUGAUUUUUCUUUUUCUUCAGUUUCUUUCUUUUUUUUUCAUCGCUAUGGAUUCAAUCCAGCCACAGGUUCCCCUACGUCUACUCAUUCGAUUUUUUCCCCUACGUGUCUUCGACAUAUUCUAUAUUUGCAUGUGCAUUAUAUUUUUUCCAUUGUUCAAGUUGGUCUUUGUCUGUUGAUUGCGCAUAGCUCUUUCAUCCUUCUUUUUCUUUGUAGCAUACUACAGGCAGGAUCAACUUUGAAUUCAGACAGAUUGCCUUGCGCGCCCUUUGGCAUCAAAUCGUCGAAUGUGCUUUGUCUGUUCAAGCCCUAGCGUAGCUAUCUAGUGGCACUGUCACAACCCCUUCUUGCAUCUCUCGCUAAGCUAAAGGAAGACUUUCUAUUGAAGACCGCUCCCCAUAAAGAAGAGAGGGCUCUCGAGCCUGCUAGUGCCAUUGAUCGGGCUGAACUCUUACCGGCGAGUGAAAUAGAACGUACUGGCUGAAAAGAGUUACUGACUGGCCGGGUUUCACUUUGACUUAAGACUAUUUUGAAUACAAGAAAGAGAGCUUGAAAUGCUUUGAUCACAGGAUCUUUCCUUAGAUGUAGGAAAUUCUCCCUUCUAGCCUAGCUAAGGAAAGACUACCCGCGGAUUUAGCUUGAGUAAUUCUCAUUCUUGGCUAAAGAAGAGAAAUGGCAUCUUUCCUAAGCUAAGUAAGACCGCUAGCGCUUUCUAACCGAAAGAAAGGAACUCGCAGAAGGCUAAGACAAAGCUGCUUCCUAAGUCAGUCAGGUAUGGCUCCAUCUGAUAUGAUUCCCAACAGUCAGCCUUAGACUAAACUCCCUUUCAUAAGAACCUAAUAGAGCGAUAUCCCACAUCAACUCGGUACCCUUCCCUUGCUGGUGACUCUUUCUGACUUACGCCUUGUGAGAAUGAAGAGAGACCACAUACUAAGAAAGAGAGGGCAUGAGAGAAAGAAAGUUCUUGUUUCCGGGCUCAACUAUGGGAAUAAGGUUCAAAGAAUAUUGACGAGCUGGUGGCAUUUAAGUGUGAGGCAGCCAACUGCUGGGUCACGAGUACAGUACCAUACUGCAUCGUAUUAGAGAUGGGCUUGAAAAAGGACCCGCGAGAAGCCUUUUGCACCAAGCCAAUGAGCCAUACCAAUCUGACCCCCGUCUUCUCUUAGUGCGUCAGACUAGUCUUUGCCUUUCAUCGCUGCCUUCCGCUUAGUUCAGGCCGGUCGAGAAAGUAGAGUGACUGACCUGAGGACUCGUGAGCUCGCAGGGCUCAUAGGAUGGGAUGAGGAUCAUAUUCUCUUAUUAUGCCUCAAAAGAAAGAUCAAGCCUAGGGUUGGAGAAAUGUGAACGACGUAAGUCAGUGGAAGCAAAGGGGCAAUCGGCUGUCUAAAGGACCCCAUUUGUGGUUUCAGGCUAAGUUCAUUCUGAGAUAUGGAUCACUCUGCUAUGCUAGAAGACUGAGCAGCUUCAGUUUAUUACCAACCUCGAGUUCAACAACUAUUGGGUAAAGCCUAAACCUUACUCCGAACCUUCUAUCGGAACUGGCAAGAGAUCUCUAGAUCCGAUGCAACUAGAAUAGAACCUACUUAUUUGGAAGAAAGCCUAUCAACAAGGAAGAACCUACUAUUUGGAAUCAGACUCCUAACCUCUGAUUUAUGGGGAGGGAGGCAAGGAUUACGAACUUAGACCUCUCUCUUUGUAUUUGUCUUAGCUUUCUUUUCCUUUUGAGUGGUGAUCAGUCGGAAAUCUUUCUGACUCAUCUGGACCUGGAUAUAAACAAGUCAAAAAAAAGGACUGAUUCCGUAAUUUCAUAACUAAUUCGUAAUGAGUUGGACUAGCGCUAAAAGGAAAAAAAGGAUGAGUUUCAGUGGAUUCGGAAUUCUUAUUUGGGGUCCUACAUUCUCGCAAUAUUCUUUGCGCCUCCGGACCACUAUUUACGAAAAUAUGAUGAAUAGUCCAAAAAGAAAGGUCAAGAUGAUUUUCUGGAUUCGCAACUCAUAUUGCAUUGAGCCUAAGGUUCUCGCAAUAUUCUUUGCGCCUCCGUCCGGACUCCUAACGAUAUAAUAGCUUUUUUUUGGUCAUCUGGUCCGAAAGGACUGACCGCAGAGGUUUGGCUCUUAAUAUGGAUUUCAGACUCGCUCUAAAGUAGGCGCAGUUAAGGAAAAAUUCAAUAUGCGAAAGCCUUGUUGAUUCUCGUUCAGAAGCUCUUUCUUUUCUAGGUCAAGCUUCUCAUAUUCGAUAUAUUAAUUACAUGUCUUUACCGUCGUCGUCUUCUUUUGCGCUCCCCGUAAUAGGACUUUGCGCUCCUUAACAGAAAGGACGUAGUAGGAUCAGUCCGAAGGAGGACUGAUAUCUUAUUAUAUCAGAUUAUUUCAUGAGCAGUUUCGCGGGAGAGAUAGCACUGCAACUAAGCAAGAUUGAUCAUUACGCGUUAAUAAAGAAGACGAGGGCUAGCAACUUCCCUUAAAGCGGUUUACUCAUCCUUGUCUGAGAUUUCAUCCUCUUCCCGCUACGUGGGGGUAGAGUGAUUGUGAAUUAGCGAAGGGUUGAAUUCGUAGAAUGGGUAGUUUUUCAAUGAAGAAAGAAGGCUUUACGAUCGAUCAUAAGCCUCAAAUCCAGAAAGCACUUAUUCAACUGCUUCAACGACAAGAAAAAGAGCUGAAAGAACUACGGGGAGCGCAACGCAUAUUUCAUUGCGCCUUCGGACGGGCUAAAAGAAGAACUGCUAUGGGUGCUGCGGAUUCCCCAGCGGGUUAACCGCGCCCUUUCCCCGUGGGCCUUGAGAGAAGCCUUUAUUUCGCGAACAUUACCUAUCGUCCAUCAACAACGGCUACAAGAACUAAAGCUGGAAGGGCACCUCGCCCUCCUGGGUAACUCCUCUCCUUCCUCCCCGUGGAUCAGUUCGACCUGCGCAGGUUUCGGGAGUGAUGAAAGUGCAAAUCGUAUCCAAACCACCAGUCAAAUAAGAUUUCGGGGAAUCUGAAUCCUCAGCAUUAAAUAAAUGAAUUAAGAAAUACACGCCUUGGGACGGAAGACGAAGAGCGAGGACGACGGAGUUUACUUACCGAAGAGUCCUUAGACCUGAGACUUAGGAAUUCGUAGUUUCGGAGGAUGCAUAAGACAGGGAUAUAUAUUGUAGGAGUUGACGGCUCGACUGUAAGGAGAGGGAGAGGAAAAGAAGCAAAUAAAGAGGUUAUCCAUUAGGUUAUCUCAGAACUUUUCUUAUCUAUCUUAAAGGAGUGAGGCAGGUAGAGGAUAAGCUACUUCUGCAGCAAGAAAAGCAGCUACUGCAACUGCCCGGAAGAACUUCUGAAGCAACUGGGACAGCAGCCUCAGUCAAUAUUCUUUGAACCUUGAUUCGGACACAACUGCAACUUCUGCCUCUUCGAGAAGGCGUGCGGGUCGAGCGUCUCGUCCUUAGCCUCGUCCACUUUCCGAUGUGGAGUAGUUAGACAGUUUGGCAUGGCAUCCUUCUUGUCAGUUAGUUCGGUUCGGGAAUCUUUUCUCAUUAACGAGAUUAAUGAGUGAAUUAAGGCUACGUGGACUUCUUUCAACUUGUCUGCAAGAAUACCGAAGCGAAGACGAGGGCACAACGACUGCAACUUCAGCCUAUCCUUCUGCUGGAACGGUCUACUGCUCCUGCCACAGCCUCCACCUCCAGAACCUAGACCUCAUCUCCUUCCGCCACAACCAAGAGAUCUUGCUUUUAGUGAAACCGGGGUUUCGUGCUCACUAAGCGCCCCCACUACGCGGUGGAUGCCCACUGCUGCGCUAAAAUACGAGGUUUGAAUCUGCACUCCUGCACUUCUCCGCAAUAUUCUUUGCGCCUCCUCUUGAGUUGUCUUUCUUCUUUCUCUCUUCUUUUACUACGCGGCAAGGCAAGAUUUCCUUCGCAUAUUUCAUUGCGCCUCCUCCGCGGUUAAGCUUCGCUUCUAGCCUUGCCUCCAGUUCCUUGCCUCCGGUUGCUCCUUUGGAGUCUGAUUUUCACUCCUUCUCCGGGCCAAGAGAUAAUCAGCCUUCGGCUGGAGUGCAAGUGAAAGAAGACGUAAAAGGAGGAGUGCAAGCGCAAGUCCUUCUACGCGGCAAGGAAUAAGACGUAUAAAGAAGUCCUCGCAUAUUUCAUUGCACCGCUCCGUGGGGCUGAAUGAAUUGAGAGAAAGAAUAUUUCACUUUCUUUGUCAUACGUAAUCUAAUAUCAAAUCUCGGUGCCCCUACGAGAAGAGGUCAGUUUCAGGUCACAGAAGGAGGAAUGGAAUAGGGGUUUCCGAAGCAAGCUAUACAUAAAGGGAAAAGGAGAGACAGGGACCAAGAGCACACUAUUCACUAUUUUUUAUAGGGUGAGAAGUAAUCUCAAUCAAUACGCCAGGCGGACCCCUCCAAAAUCAUUGAGGCGGUAUGGAGUGUGAUCCCCCCACGUAGCGGUUAGGAUUCUUCUAUUUUCUCUUAUAAAGUCAAAAGGGGUGCGUGCAGAUCGAAGGAGUUGUCGCCUAACUUCUCCUUUCAUCACCUUCUGGAAAUCUUCCAGUCCGUAGGACUAUCCAUUAGAAGGGCCUCAAGAGCGCCCACUUUAGCUAAAUAAUAGAGUGUCCAGCUGACUAUCCAUAUAGAACGAAGGUUAGGAGCAAAGCAUAUUGCGUGGAACUGAAAGAACUCAUUCAUUCCACAGAUUAAUAUGUCCUUAUCAAUGAAACUCAUCUGGAGCUUGAUUUUUGGCUCCAUAAGACAGGGAUAUUGUAGACGACGGAGCAAAGUUCUUUAUAGCUGGACCCUUUCGUCAUUCCUUUUUUAUUCCACUGAUUUUCUGGGUAGCGGCCGAGUGCCAUAACUAAACUCUGUUGGAUCAACAAAGCUCUUUCUUUCAUUAGAGGCAGAAGCUAAUUGGCUUUUUUCUUCUUCUUCAGUCAAAACUGAUUAAGUUUAGAUAGGGUCGCAAUAUUCUUUGCUCCUUUUCUUUAGCUCGAGCAGCUGAACUCCUCUUCUCUAGGUCGAGACUGAAUACCUUUUCUCUAGGUCGAGACUGAAUACCUCUGACUCGUGAACUCAACUCCUAAUCUUCCCGGGGGGAAAGCCUUAACCUACUAUUUGGAAGAAAGCCUAUCUCCGGCUAUUCUUUUUCGAAUGUAGCAGCAGGCAAGCACUCCUCUAUAAGGCCUUUCUUUUCACCCUUUAGCUAUGAACCCACUCCGCGGUAAAAUGGUAGUUGGUCCCUUAAUCAGGCAUUAAGCCAGAUCCCGGGUAAACCAAUGCCCCUUAACCGGUUCAAAGCCUACCACAUUCUGGACUCCGUCUUUAUGAAAGAAAUUUACGAAAGAUCUCAUACUCAGAACUGAAAAAGAUCGGAAACUUGAAUCUUUCUUAACUCCUUCCACUGGGACUUCUUCCUCUUGUCCGGCCCAAUCUAUUCUUUCUCAGUAAAGCAUAUUAUCUCCUCUCUCGAGCUACUUUAUUCCUCACCUCUCCAGUCGAGCCAGAUUCCUCUUGAUCCGGGGAUCUUCCCUUUCUAAGAUGAUAGAUGCUAAUCGUACUACUUUGUAUUCCUCCUUACUCAUUCCAAUGCAUUCGAAUACCCUCAUAAUCGUAUGAAACUUCUCAUUCAAGGGAUCCAGCUUCGGAAACUGGGCCAUGCAGCCUAUGGCUUCGCGGAGAUCCCAAUUCUCCCUAUAGAAGAAAAGGAGUAUAUUCACAUUCACUCAAUAAGAAGAAUUUGAACUAACUAUUCCCAAUGAGAUGAGAAGGAGAAUCAAAGGAAUUUCCUCCUAUAAAAAUCAGUGAACAUUGGUCCAUAAAUGAACUUUGCUCCGUCGCUAAUUCUUUGCGCCUUACUAUUUUUGCUUCACGUCCGGAGCCUUUGUUAUUUGAGUAUUAUUCCACGAGCGCGCCAUUUCGCUAAUUCUUUGCUUUUCGCAAGUCAAAUUCUUCUCAUAAAUAUUCUUUGCACCUAUUAGCCGUUUUUAGGUUCCCACUCCUUUUGCAUCAAAAUAGAAGUUGCGCUUUCUUGUCAAUGGAUCUGGCUUUGACGCUUCUAGCCAUCUCGCCUUCUAUCCUGUGUUUGAGUCACUUGUAGUACAUGAAAAAGAGAAAGAUAAGAAACCCCUCUAAAGUAGCCUUCCUCAUUAGGAAGGAGAGUUGGACUAGCCAACCAGCUACACCUAUGAAUCAUGACUUCACCAAAGCGAUAUUCCAUGAAAGAAAGAGGGAUGAGCCACUUUCUGACUUCUGUCUGAAGCUUGUUUUGACUCUCAAUCAUUAGAAUUUGACAGCAAUGAAAAUAGUCAAAUCACAGUCUCCCUGAAUGAGGCCUUAUAGCUCAGAUCUCUCAGCUUACCGAAGAAGGGAUCGAGCAGCUCUGUCCCUAGCGGGUAUUCCAAAGAAAGCGAGCACCUUUCCAGGGAAUCUAUCCUAUAUUGGUCCAUUCUCUCCAGAACGGAGAAUUGUGCUUAUGAGGACUGACGCUUGAUCUCUCUCUUACACCUCCAAAAGAUCUCCAAAGGUCCGUAGGUGGAGCUCUAGCCGAGUCAACUUCUAACCGCGGAGUGGGAGUAGUGAAUAGUGAGUUAUCUUCCCCUUGGGAAGGGCACAUGGGGCACAUACAAGCGAGGGUAUUGGUUCGGGUCGAUCGGCUGAAGCAAGAGUAGUUGCGGUAACAUAAUAGGAAUCUGUCUAUCCUUUAGACCUACUACCUGGCACCAAAGACCUCUGAAAGUAGCUGGGCUGGAGGAAUCUUCGACUAUAGACGAGCAAGGGCUUUUUUAUGUAGCUAGAGAUCUUUCAUUCCCUCUUUCAUAGGAAGAGAGGUUUCAUGGGCCCGACGAACUCUUAAUGGAAGACCUAAUUUUCUUCAAUUUCUCUCUAAGGGGUUCAAUCUCUCUAAAUGUUCACAGGCUUGGGAGACUUGGCCUUCGACUCAGUUAAAGAGAAAAGAAGUAAUCAGCUGGAAGCCUUCUUUCUUUUAUAUAGAAGGCUCCUGAUUUUAGAUUCCCACGGGAACAUGGAGCAGGUCGCUGCACACAUCAUCCUAGAAAAGAUGUGGUUCAUCGUCAAAAGAAGAAGAAUGGGAUCUCAUUUCCUAUAAAUUGACUGGAUGUUCUCAGUCUACUUUGACCUAGUCAACUUGGCAAGGUAAGUCAAGUAGUUCAUGAGGAAUCAUCAUUAGCAUUCGCGGGGUACAAAGCCAAGGCAUCCUUAUCUUGGGAGUGAAAAUGAGUUCUAUCUUAUACAUUUUUUUCAUUAGUUGUUUUGCUUGUCUUUUCAUCUUUUUUCAAUCACGUGACGAUCAUUCUAUUUCCAGAUGGAAGACCUAAUUCUUAUUCGUUGAUUGGAGAUUAAGAUGUUCCCACGUAGCGGUAAUUAGUAGGUGUCAACGGAAAGUCAGGCAUAGAAAGUUGGCGGUUCGGCAUAAAAGAAAGCGGAAAUCUUAAUCUCAAAUACUUUGAGCCUUCAGUUCAGAAAGAGAUAAUACGCGGUAGAAUUCCACCUGUGCCUGAGGCGUCUUCCCUUAGAUGAGAAGAGAGUUAUCAGCGCUUUCUUCAUUAAUGGGAAGGAACAUCCCCUUUGAAAGAUCGGAACUCUCUUUAUGAGUUAAUAACAGUCCUCAAACAAGAGGGAGAAUUCCUAUGAACUGAAACCGACCCGAGAGUGGCUUUUUAUUGGAUUCUUCCUGGGCAAUAUUCUUUGCGCCUUUCUUCCUAUUCGAUCCUAAUUCCAUUCCCUUAGGACAGAAAAAAACCCUUGCUUCCUUCCUCCUACGUUUUCUCGAGUAUGCCUCUUGUCUCCUUUGUUCCAAAACUGUUAACAACAAUACCGGUUCAGACUUUCUUUCUAUUAAGUCGUAUGAAUACCGCUCCGUGGGCCGAGACACCUCAAGAUAAGAGUGAGUUAGAGGUGAGACUUCGUACUCUUCCCCGCGCCCUACUAAUUCUAUCUUAGCUUUCUCGCAUAUGAAUAAUAAAAUAAGAAAGCAGAAUAACUAAAGACGCACACCCGAUCGAAAAACAUCGGCUUCUAUAGCGACUUCAACUGCAAAAGCAAGCGGAACAGCCCCACUCACUGGAGGAAGAGGUUCAUUGGUCAUAUACGAUCCCACGUAGCGGUGGGAAGUUGGGUACAGGCUGAGUUGGGAUGGGAAAAGAAGAUCUCAUCGAAAAGACUAGCCCUGCGCCUGAACUAGAUAUGACAUGCCCUCCCCUGUGAGCCCCCAGUUUCAUUCAUCAGAUUUAGGUUCGUUGGCUCGGAAGAAAAGGAGGCAGCAAAGGAGCUUGAGACGAGGGAAAGGAUAAGGAUCUCUUGCAUUGCAGACUAGGUUGAGGUCCCAGACCUAAUCAUUGACUUGUUGACGCUGCCCACGUAGCGGAGUCCUUAGUGGAAUACUUUUUCGCAAAUUCUUUGCUCCUAGUGGAGGUUCAAAGAAGAUUUCAGGGCUGCAAAUGACAAAGACUAUUACUUUUCUUACUAUGCGAAGCGACCACCGGAGGCGCAAAGAUCUAUGGCCCACUACGGGGGAUAUUGUAGUUUGAGUUCCAUAAAGAACUCCUUCGGAGGGGGGAGGAGCUCUUUAUUCUUUUAAGUAGGUUUAGUAGGUUAAUGGACUUAGGAGUCUUUUCAAGAGGUUCCCCGGAUUUAGAGUCAAAAGACUUUUGCCUUCUCAUUCAUACGAGCUUGCCGAUCGACGGAUCUUUCAUCCUCAACGGUUAGCAGCACCACCGUCAAUGCCGAAAAAAGAGGAUAGGUCUUGCCUGAACAAAGCUCUUUCGGAAAUUCUGCUUGGGUGAAAAGAAUAUUGAAGCUCGCCUUACGAUCUCAUGAUCUAGCGGACGGCUUCUUCUCGUUCAGCAUUUUACCAUAGGAAAUCUUUUGGAAUUGAUGAGAUUUAUGAGUAGUCUUUCGUUGUCCCAGUUCUUCUUUCAACUGAAUAAAGAACUUUAACGGAGACUGAAACAGCCUCAACUGUGGCUCUCGCAGCGCGGCUUGCCUCCCUCCUCCUUUCAGAGUCAAGAGGACCCCUGAGACCUUUAAAUACGACUUCGAUCAUUCUUUGAGCCUCCGUCGCAAGUCAAAUUCUCUAAUGGAUAGGCCUUCCCCCGUCCUCCGUCCUCGCAAUAUUCUUUGCGCCUAGCCUUCGGACCAGUCCGGAGGACUAUCCAUAUUCAGGAGCGGAAUCAAGAAUAGACCCGUCAGUAUCCGGACCAGAAACCAUAAGAAAACUCUGUUCAUUGAUUUUCCCUAGAUUUUGCUAAUGGACCAGUUGCAAUUUCCCGGCUUUUUUGCUUCUAAAUAGGACUUUUUCGACUUUUCUUAUCCAACGAUAAUAGAGAAAAAAGAAGGCAUUUUUCAUGAUUUCUUGCUACUUCCCUAUGGGCAAAACCUAGCAAAAUCAUGGAAUUCACUCCGUCUUCAUUAAGCAAAGAUGUCUGAAAUCUAGCACAAAGAUGUCUGAAAUCUAGCAGAUUCAUAAUUCUUCUUGAAUUCGAGUUAAUGAGUGCAUUCUUCAGCACUUUCUAUUUCUUUCUCCUAAUUUGUAAACUCGAAAUCUGAAAAGAGCCUUCGCUUCUUUAAUGGGAACGUUGUAAAGGGUAGAAAACUCCUACAAGAUCCAGAAUUAACCGAAGGAGGACCUGUCUUAUGGCGCCUUCUUUUUCUUCUUUGAACCUCCGGUAAAAUCACUUUGCUCCGUCGGAGCGGUCCCGACCCUUUUUAGAGCUUGAGGAUAGGGCUAGUCCGCCGAUUUGAGUUACCUUGCUACCCUUCUUCCCCAACCGCGUAGUGGGCCCGCUCCGUGGGCUGCCCACUGACUAGAAUAAUUAUAGUAAUUCUUCUUUCUCUUCGUCCUACGAAGGCUCCGGAGGCUCAAAGAAUUUGAGUCCUUAUAACUUGUUCAUUGACUUUAUUGUAGAAGCUUUACGGAAUAAGACCUCUCCCCUUGGUAUCCUUCUUCCUCAGUCAGUGCCCUAGCCAAUGAGCUAGCUCAAGUCGCUACGGAAAGAGAGAAAUACCUUUUCAGAAUCAGACUAUCCUAGUCCCAUUAAAGCAAGAAGGCUUCAAGAUCAAGAUUCAGAGUCAUAAAAACAAGAACAUCGACCGCCUUGAUUCUGUUCAUUGAGGCGGAGCCCACUCCGCGGUACCAAAGCAAAGAGGAAGAGAAUCAAUCGUCGGAGACGGAGAGAAAAAAUCACUCAUAGGGCGUCGGCUGCUAGACCCCCACGGAGCGGUAGGAGCUGUGGGAGAGGAAUGAAAUAGCUCGACCGGAGAAAUCUUUCUCUUUUUUCUCUUUGUGCACAUUGACCCGCUUUCUUCAUUUUUCGAGUCAAAUCGGUCUCGGAUCGUCCGUUGGGUCUAAAGAAGUAGGUUACGAAGGCGCAAAGAAUAUUGCGAAAGAGAGUUGGAUCUCAACGGCUUACUAUCAUCUCACUAUUUGAAUGGGAAGGUAUUUGAUUCAAAGAAGAAAAGAAGAAGAAAGGAAUUUCCCGCAGAGGGCGCUAUGCAGCUGAGUUGGAGUACGAAAGGUAACUGAAAGAAGUGAGAAUUCUCUCCGAGUUGACUCUUUAAGAUCAGGAUAGAUAUGAGACCCCGGUCUCGGAAGUUGAACUCUCUUAACUUAAAUGAGGCACUCGCUCGCUCAGAGGUAGCGAGACCGUCAUAUCCAAAAUGUCCAGGGAGAACUAGAUGGCCUUCACAUACUCGCUUUGGCUUCGCUUUCUUCUUUUGAGAAUGCUGUAGCUUAUCUUGUUGAAGCGGUAAGCUCUUCGUUAUUAAGGCCUUUGAAGGAGAAAUCCUUUUCUGAUUUUCUAAUAAAUAGGUUGAUUUAGCUGUCCCUCUUUCAUUCGUCGUGACUCCAGAGUCAGCUAGAGAAGUUAUGAGAUCGGAUCUCGUCAUGAAUAACUAAGAAAAAGAUCCCAUCUGUCUUGGAGAGAAAGCUAAUAUGAUAAGAGUUAGAGAGUCAGAAAGAGAAGCUUGAUUAUCUUCUUAUUACUUCUUAUAAUCAGAAGCAGAACCUUCUAAACUAAAUCAAGAAUGCUCUCGAACCCUAAAAAACCUACGGCAACCUAGGUUAACCUACUAAGAAUCAAGAAAGCGCAACUUCUAUUUUGAUGCCUUCGGUUGACUGGUGGCAUUCGAUGGCGGUCGAUCGGUCAGCUUUCGCUUUCAUUCAUGAUCCCCGCUUCGGCAUUCAAGACUCAUAAGGCAAGUAUCAGAUAGGUUGGUUCUCGUGCUAGCAUGAAAGGAUAGGAUCGAAGGAAGCGAAGCAGCUCCUACAAUACCAGUUAUCGUUUCAGAAUCGGAAGAAAGAGAUUAAGCACUAGACCGAAUCGGAACUGCUCUUCAACAUUGUUCACAUGGCUGAAAGCCUAUUUUCAAGGUCACAGACGGUAAAGCCAGCUAACCCGAGUCGGAGAAGCUUUCCCAUAUUUUGAGGAAUGGAACUGCUCGAGCUAGUUUACUCGGGAGAGAGGUAGGAUCGACUGGAUCGGUGUUCAUCGGCUAUCCCAAGCGGUUAGGUGCUCUUCGAUCGGGGAAUGUUUUCGUAAGGCCUAACCUUUCACUCCCACUCCGCGGUUCAAGGGUAGGCUUUCUUCUUCUUGUCUUUUCAUCAGCAGCUCGUUAAAAGCCACGACCGACUACGCGGUAACUCACCUCAACGGCACCUGAAAAAGAAAGGCUUGCUCUUGAUCUUGAUGUCAGUCUCUCUCCCUCCUUUAUCGUCUCCUCUGGCUUCUUUUGACUUGGAAAGUUUCGCAAUAUUCUUUGCACCGCAAAAGAAAGCGGAAAUCUGAGCAAUAUUCUUUGCGCCUCCUCUUAUUCAAGGGAUGAGGCUUGAGCCUCAGACUCUUCCUUGGUCUACGAGGCCUACUUCGUUCUGCCGACUAGGUCCCCCCUUCCUUGGGGCGGGAUGAAUAUGGGGUUCUCGUUCUGGAGAUUAUGGGAGAAAGGGUUGAAAGCCUUAGGCAAUACAGCUUACCAUCUAAUUCUCCUCGAGCGAUCGGCUAAGUUAAUACUCUACUCUAAAGAAAGAGAAAAGACAAAGCACUUCUUCAACUACAGAAUUCCCCUAGGCUGAUUAGCCCUCCGCGGUGGGGAGUCGUCAGAUCUUUCAAGGGAAGUUUGAGAUAAUAGUCACCUGGACCUUUCUUUCAAGAUUAAGCUAGAAGUCCGACGGGUCCUCCGGACAGGUUAAUAUGGUAAUUAUAAGGGGUCCAGAUGCGCAAAGUGCGGCUACGUAGGACCAAAGAAUAUUGCGUGGAACCUUAAUAUGUGAGUCAUGAUUCCCUUAAAUUGGAUUUCGCAGACUUUGGAUCAAUGAAAUUUGAUGAUGAUGAGGCUCGACUGAAAGGAGAGGCGUGAAGAGUCUUUUAAUAAAGAGAAAAGAGCUGCUUAAUUAGGAAGGAAAGAGAAGGCUUUCUCUCUAGUAAAGCUUUUUUUGUUCUGACUUCUCCGUCUGACCUUUCUUCUCUCUCAUUCGAUUCUGACUUCAGUUUCUAGUCUUCUUCCUUCUCUCUCCUUUCCAGUCUGAUCAAUUCUCAACUCAUCUGGAGCUCGCAAUAUUCUUUGCACCUUACUUAAGAGUCUCCUCAAUUAAUCUUCGCCUCGUCCCAGUUCUUGUUUCAGAAGUGGUGACCCUAGGCUUUCUCUCAACUGAUACAACUCAUCUUCUCAUAAGAAAUAAUCAUAGGCUUUCUCUUUGGACAUAUAAGUGGUUUAUCAAGCUCUUCUGAGCUUAGGCGUCUUUAUGUAAUAUGCUUCUUAGUCUAGUCUUGAAUUACUAUUCUCAGAAAUUGAGUCGAUCUUGUGCAAGGUUCUAGAACGAGAUAGAAAGAAAUUGAGGACAGUCUUGUGGAGAGAGGGAUAUAGGAUCAGUUGCAGGGAAGAAGCUAGAACCAGCUAUCCCAAAUGAGUCGGGGAGGCAGAAUCCGUCUGAUUAUUAGGAUAGGGAUAGGGCUAGGCCGGGGCCGUCCUGUGGCACUGAAAUCCGCUUUCAUCUAUUCUCAGAGGCCCACGUAGCGGUUAUCAGCAGCUUUCAAGGAUAGGUCCCUUUCUUAUGGCGGUCUGAAUAUCUUUUCUCUUAUUCCGGCAUUGACCGCGGAUUACUAUCCCGAGGAAAGGGAAAGGAUAGGUUAUUCAAUAUACCGAGUUGGAGAGGUGUUCAUAUCGAGACUGGGUUGGAUUUAGAGUGAUGCUCCGUCAUCGGUAACUUCAAGAGAAAGACUUCCAGAGUCAGCUACACCGGAUCCGGAUUGACCCUCGAGCCCAUGACAGGGGAUUUCCGCUCGAAAGAAGAAUGAAAGAAGGCUAAAUUCAAUGGACCUAAUGGAUAGUCCGGAGGACUUCGGACGGAUGAAAGUAGCUACGUAGUCUUGUCUUGACAAAGAUCAGGAUCCUCGAUCUCUUUAGCUUCUUCAUUUCAUUGCCCACGCUACCCCUCAUCCAUUAGUGCAUCCAUUAAGUCAGAAAUUCAGUAUGAAGAACCUCGUAAAUCAAAGCCUUACUAGAAUAGAACCUCACGUCAUAGGGGGCAAAGAGGAGUCUUAUUCCACUUAUCCCUCCUUUGAUUUUAGCUCCUUUCGCAUCCCUGCCUUAAGAAACCUACGCAGUGCUUCGUCGUCCAAGUGUGGCUGCUCUUUGAAGUUCCUCGUAGGACAAGUAAUGGGCCAAUAAAUAGGGUCAGAAGGAGUGGCCGCAUAAGCGGUUCUUAUCCAUAACCAAAGGACUAGGAAAUAUGGUCCGAAGAAUCUAGUAUUUCAUUGCAUUUUCCCUAGGGACUGAUCGAUGUUCUUGGGAGAAAGCCUAUGAUUUUCUUGUAUUUUUUCUACUAUUAGAAGUAGAAGCAAGAGGAAUUUAGCACUCAAUAUUCUUUGAGCCUCAUCCGUUGUUGAAGAAAUCUCUUUACUGCGACCGAUACUUAUUUUCUUUUUUUCGGAGAAUCGGACAUAAUAAGGAAGAGAAAAACUAAGAAAGGAUGAGUACGAAAAGCUCAAAAUAGUGGCUCGACCCUCUCCCUACGGUCGAGUCUCUUCGACCCUCUCCUCUCGUUCGUAACCUCACUCGACCUCCGACUAUUUAUUUGGAAGAAUUGAAUUUUGAUGCCUCUCGUUCGGUUCGUAAACUCACUCUCAUUGCACUCCUUAACACUUCUCAAUUUCAUCGAGCCUUUCUCUGAAACUGAAAGAGCAACCGCCGAAAGAACUAAUUCAGGGACAGCUGAAGAAAGGGACGCAACUCUGAGAGUGAAAACAUAGAAAACGAGAAUUAACGAAGGGCUGACUUUGCACUGCUCCGUGGGGCUUCUCAAACCUUUGUUCAUUGUACUCAAAAUUAAUCUGCUAGAUUUUUGACAUCUUUCAUUAUCGUUCAAGUCGUUUAGUACGAGAUAGCUGAACACCUCGCGGUGCUUACACCUCUCGCCUAUCGAAGUGAUGUUCAAAAACCUCGUCCGAGAACUUCUAUAAAGAAGGAUUUCCCGCGGCGCAGCGGUUCUUCCAUACCAACUUAGCUGCCCGGCGCUCCGGCAUAAGAACCGGUAUACCAUAGGUUGGCCCAACCCAGUUCUCUCUAGGGUUGGCUCCUCGCAGUUCUCCCUUGAAUUUCACACCAACCCUACAUAGGAAGCGAAAGAGACUAUGACGCAUUCACCCGAGGGGGCUCGGGGACUGGGACUAGCAAAUGAAUGAGUAAGAAAAUCAGACUCCCUUAGCCGUCGGAAGGAGGAUCAAUGUCUGAAUACGGGUCCUCCUCCGGAUAAUGCCCCACUAACAAGCGGUUUACUACCAAGCGGACCUCCCCCUCAUUUGUCUCCUCUAUCGGCUCGCGAUCGGCCUUUAUAAAGGCUUCUAGGAAAAGCCGAUCCGCCGUCUCCUGAUAGAAAACCACAGAUUUCCCACGAGUAUCGGGGUUCAUCAGAUAUACUUCCAUUUUAGCAAAAUGGGACCAGAUAUCCCCCCGCCCCUUGAAACCCAUGGGCCAAAGGGCAAGAUCGUUGGAGAAAAAGGUCCGCAAAGUAGUACUUUGCCUUUCAAUGACAAGAUUUGCUUCCCCCUCGACAAUCCCUUUUCUUCUUAUCUUAAGGGGGUAUCAUUUUGAGGAAUCGGAAUAAGGGCCAAAUUGAGAAGAUCUAGCCUCUUUCUCUCAAAUUUCGGUAGAUGCAUAUAGAGAAAGAGGUCUAUCACCGGUCUCUCAUCUUCGUCCUUAUGCAUUCUCUUCAGAAUAAUGGGGUCCAUCUCGCUCCUUUCCUCGUGGGAAGGCAAUAUUUUGAGGAUGGACUUCGGGGCCGAGAAGAGGGAAGGUAAAAAAGACAAAUAAGGCGGCCCAUCCACAUCCCCCGAAAACCGGAAAACCUUCAUACCGAACCCUUCCUUGUCAUAGUAAACAUAGGGCCUUUUGAUUUUUUCAUAAUCAAAAUGAGUGAAAUAUUCCUCGGCCACCAGCUCGUUAUAUUCAAGGAAGGAAUCCGAAUUUAGGUUCUCCUGGGUCGAAGCUCUCAUCAAGAAAGCUGACCAUAGCGUUGCUAUUACUCUUUCUUCGGAGAAAUUCUCCAAUUUAGAGAAAAACUUGAGGGGAAUCACUUUUUCCCCGCAAGCACAACUUUCUUCUAAUAAAAAGUCUGGCAUUGUCCUACCAAUCAGAAUUAUAGGCACAUUCUUUUUACGCCUGCCCGAAUAAUGAGGCUGAGGCCCAUCCAGUAGCGUGAGCAGCUGGCUCCUCUUAUCCGGCGAAAUUCUCCAACCUGCAAAAUCGACUUUAUCUACUAAAAUCAGGUCCCAGUUAUCCUCAACCUCCACCCGUGCUAACCCUUCAUGGACAGUGGCGAAGACAUUUAAGACUUUGCUAACGACAUUGAGAAAAAAAAAAGAGUCUUCUGGGUUUCCGGACCUCCAUAAAUAAAGAGUUGCCGGGUGCGGAAGGGUCGACUUGCCAGUAGAUUGAAGGCAAUCCAAUCAAGUAAUAAAAACUUCUCGUUUAGCUCCUCGGGCAUAUACUCCUUAGGCCAUCCCUUAUCGGAUAGAUAGUCGAUCAUCCGCUCGGGAAAGCUUUGAUGAGCUAAUGAGCUGGCCAUAUUACUGAUAAGAUGGAAAGAUAAAGAGAAAGAUAAGGGCAUGAGUAACUUGACUUUUCUUAGUCCCACCCCGCAAUACUCUUUGGAAAUGAAGGAGGAGGCCAUAUGAGAAUGAGAACGAGUGAUAAGAUGGAAAGAUAAAGAAAAGAGCAUCUGCAAUCAUAGAUAUGGGGUUUUUUUUCCGCUGCCCCACAAAAUGAAAGGGCAUACUUUGAGUAUGCUGGUAUUAGCCAACAAGCAAGAAAUUCGUUAGGCUUUUAAUCCUAAAAAAGCGUGGGAGAAGAAUAAAGAAGUCAAUGAAAAGAAGAAGAAAGCAAAAGAUAUAGAAUGGACGAAGGGGCAGAAAGAAAGAAAUUUCGGGUGAGCCAUUCGAUCUCAUUAACGAUAAUGAAGGAAUACACGAGAAUGAAAGAAUCAUUAUGAUUGAAUAACCUUGUUCAUUGGGAAUCAAGAAUACCCCUGUCUUUGUCCGUCCUCCGGACUAUCCAUUAGAAAAGAAAACAAUUGGCAUUUCUUUGAGCAAUAUUCUUUCUCAAAUUCUUUGAGCCUACGCGGAAGCGGAGCCGUAGCGUAGCGGACAGCCUUAAAGCACUUGAUUUUGAUCCGGAACUACAGGAUAUUUUUCCCUUCUUUCGGAGCGUAGCGGACAGCCUGAAAGCUCAAAUUGCAUUGAGCCUUUAUUUCUAUUUCUUUAUCCGUCCGGAGUGCCAAAGAAAGGUCCAGGGUCCGGAGUCCUACGUCCUACGUCCGCAGGGCCAAAGAAAGGUCCAGGUGAUUUAUCCGUAGGACCAUCCGUAAUUAACCGAAGGAGGACCUGUCUUAUUGCACCGCGGCGUGGGCCACGAUCUUUGCGCCUGUCUUCUCGCCUUUGUUUUUGGAUUUUCAAGAACUGAAACUGCAAGAAGAGCGAGGUGCAGUCUAAUGGAUAGUCCUUCGGACUGAACCACUUCCAAAACAGAUAAUUCAAGGCUCAAAGAGGCGCAUCAAAUUAAAGGUCAAGAUGAGAUUCUUUCUUUUUGGACUUCUCUAGGAGUUGAAUCAAGGUGCCUACUUUUUUGACAAUUAGCUUACUCGAUGCCGAUACUAGAGACUACUAUUUAGCUUGUAAUAAGGGCACUUCUGCUCCAGGAGAGGAAAUCUAUGAAAUGAAUUACCAUCAGAAUUAGAAGGACGCGCCUUGAUGCAUCCGCUACUGAAUUGAAUUGCCUGUAGGGAAAUCCUGAAAUCCUCCUUCUACUAGCCGACUAGGAGUGAAAAUGAGAAUCUUAUCCGGUUCAAUAAGAUUGACGGUUCUUUUUGGAAAUACUAGUUCUAAGCUUGCAGCUCAACUCAAGAGAAAGGUAAGGCGCGCUCUUUCCUUCAUUAGCUAGGGCUUCGCACGCUCAUCUCCCUCUCUUCUCUCGAGCUAAUGCCUUAGAGGCUAGUUCUUCUUUCAUCUCUCCCCUCUCACUUAUGACUUCCCAAUCUCCAUUUCUCCUUUCAAAGCCGCUGAUUAUUAUACAUCGUUUGCUCAAUUCCAUUUCCUCGUGAUAAAGAGAAAUUGGCAUACCCGCAUGGAUUAGAUGGGGGUGGUGGGGAAAGCCUCCGUCCUGGGAAUCGACCUCACUCAGCGGAUGGGAAGCUUGAAAAAAGCGGAUUAGAGCGCCUUCUUCCGUAAUCAAGAAAAACGGCUGCUGCAACUACAGGUGAAAGUGGGACGGGUCUUGGUAUGAUGGAGACAAAAUUACCAGAAUCAAAAGGUAGAAAGCUACGGUUUAGUAGUGAGGUGGGGAAGUUCUUCCAUUCCCACGUAAGCUAAUGAAGGACGAGUUUCACUAUUGCUAUUGAUAGCUUGAGCCAAAGAAAUCCCUAGUGGAGUGGUUAAUGAAGAUCACAGCCUUUUGCCCAACGGAGAGAGUCCUGACUUUUCUUUCUCUUGCCUUUUCCGACAUAAAAAGGGGCUAUCGGUUCCUGCCUCUACCGCCGAAUCCCUCUUCUUUUUGACCUAACUUCAGAUUAUGCCCGGCCAUAGCAACAUGGUAUCUAAGAGAUCCCCUCCCUUUGAAGUGCAUUUAUCAGAUCAGCUCCCCGAGUCACUAGAAAGAGGGGCCCACUACUUCUGAAUGAAUGGCCUAUUUUUUGAUUGAUCUCCCCGCAAUAUUGCGCCUGAGGCAAAAGAGAAGUCAUACAAAGUUCGCUUCUUUCAUGCAAUGCAUAAGGGGCGGGCCUCCUUCAGAAAGCCUAUCCUCCAACUCAAUGAAUGAAGGGAGGAGUAUUAGGAAGGCUGGCUUUCUAUAUUCAGACUCCAAAUAUAAGAAGGCGGAGGCUGGGUCAAAGCAUAUCUUACUUCAUAAUCUGACUGAAUGAGGAAUAUUCUAUUAUGUGGUCUCUACUUUACCACCAUCUGAAAUGCGCGAAACUUCGAUUGGUGGAAGCCAGUCUAUGAAGAUUCUCCCUUUUCUUACGUGCAAUUCCCCUCUUUCGGUAAGCAUCCAGUAUCUCAUCAAAUGAACAUUUCUCUAAGCUUAUCCUGUAGCUUAUACGUCGUUUGAAAGCUGCUUCAAGGAUCCAACGAAUAGCUAAGGUUUGUUGACGAUCCCUGGCUACAAUCCCAGGGACAUCAUAAAAAGUAGCUGCUACUCUGACUUUUUCGACUUCGCAUAUGGGCUUUAUAUUCUCUACGGCCUCAACCAUAAGUUUGAUUCCAUCGCGUUCAGUUUGAGCUGGGCGAUUCAAAGUUUGAUAAAGAAUAGCACGAACUCUCGUUCUUUUACCUUCUUUCAUGCGAAAGUUGACCAACUUCUUGAUCAAUUCUUUUUGCUCACCAUCCAAGCCCCCCAUAUAGCUUAGAAUUGGAGAGAAAUGUUCAGCCGCUUUCGAUGACGAGGCCGAUAAAUUGAUAUUACGCAAUCGUCACUGUCCAUCUUUAUCAGCCAACUCCCCUCUUUCCAUCUUUCUUUUCAGAGUUUACCACUCAAAAUAGCUUCUUGAACUUUGGUCUCGCUCCCGGAGUGAAAGAGUAUACACUCUCCUCUCAUACGGCUCCGUCCCGGCAUCAGGACCGAUCCGAAAGAGAUCAUACGAACUGCCGAUUGAAGUGAGACAGCCACUGACUCUUCCUCUCCCUUUUAAAGAAAAGAUUAGAUAACCUAAAAGAAAGCGGAAAUCUUCUUCUCUUCUGCACUCUUCUCUGACAUCACAAGUCUAUAUCAUCAGAUUGUCCGGUCUCUCCCUACCUUUCAGUUUCUAGUCGGACUUCUUCGGACGACUGAAACCUUUAUCUUCCUUCUAUGUUAAUGGAAUUGAAUUCCAACUUUCUCUCUUAUGUUUUGAAACCUACUAGUGGAUAAACAAGGGUUCAAAAAAGAAAGGUCCAGAUGACAGGACCUAGUGGACAGUCCGGAGGACGGGUCAAAGAUUCUUAAUCAAUUGAUUAGACCAGCUCAAAGAAUGAUCGAAGAAUAUUGAAAUAUUAGUGGAAAAAAGAAAGAAUGUCAUCUCAAUAUUGAGCCUCCGUUAGGUCCUCCGGACUAUCCAACCUGGCACCUCGUCCUUUUUAUAGAGCUUUUAGAAGGAGGUACGGCAGGAAUCAUCAAUCUCAUCCUAAGGCAUAGGAAUCCUUCCCCCUUGUAGUGGAAAGACCUGGUUGGACAGCCGCCGCCAAGGCUUGUAGAAAGAUUACCGAACCUGGGACGAUCCUAUCAACAGAAACUGAUCUCUCCAGAAAGCAAUCAAAAAAGUGAAGACGAGCUAUAUACUCCGAAGGACGUCCUCUGGACUAUGAAACCUAUUACAAAGGUUAAGCUUGAUAAAGAAGUCCUUCUCCUUACUAAUUGCUCAUCACCCCAUUAAUCAAGUAGCGUCCACUAAAAUAGCGAGACCAGUCCUCCGGACGGGAAGAAGAAGAUCGACUUAAGUCAAUGAACAAGUGAGGUUCAAAGAAUAUUGACUGCCUAAGAAAGAGAAGAAAUCGCUCAGAGGUAUGGCAAAGAGUCCGUCCGCUCGAGCAAGCCCACCAGUCGAUUAGGAAGCAAAAAAGGUCCUCGUUGGGGAAGAGGAUCCAUAAGACAGGGAUAUUGUAAGGAGGAGCUCUUUAGGAAGAUGCUGUAUGUUGAUAUUCUCUUUUCUAUAUAUAUAGAAGAAGAAUCCUACCAUUUCACUUCUCGGUACGGAACCCGGCACUCGGCGGGCAUACUCGGCGGAGGCCUGGUGGCGGAGGGAGAUAGGCUCAAGUUCAUUUAGGAGGCCUAGUUUGAGUUCCAUGAAUGAGUCCUCUGGACCGGUGCGAAUAGCUUUUGUUCUUGAGAAAGUAGCUUAGUUGAAGGUAGGGUAGAUCUCUUUGCCAAGGCUUAAGGCGAGGCUUCAAAGGAUCGAUGUUAUUGGAACAAAGGGUCGAAAGAUGCCACAUCUUUCUUAGUCGAUUCCACUCUUUUCUUACUCGAUGCGAAAGGGUAUCUUCAAUCUCAAAGACGAUCCACUCCUAAAAUCAAAGCUCCAGAUGAGUUGACGACGAGGAGCGAAGCAACUCUGUCAGAGGGAGAAGAGGAUAUAGGCUCAACCAGAGGAGAGGUUAGGAGCCCUUGUUCAUCGACUUCCUGGGGGGGAGAAAAUCUUCCUGGAGAAGAGGGUUAAGAGUCACCCAGGUUCUUGUCCCAGAAAAAGCAGUAGCUUGUUGAGACAUUCUAUUUGAAUAGAUAAUCUCAGCUUUCCCUAGAAAGAGCUUCAAAAAAGCAGAAGUCAGUACGAAGGAGACAAGACCCAGCACUAAGAGUAUUGGCCAAAACCUCCCCUCAAGCCAGAUCCAGAAUAAAUGGUUGAAUCAGAGGAGAAUGAAACCUGAUCUUAGUAGGCGCCCAGGAAGAAAAUUAAGGAUGCCUUGCGCAAAGAGCGAGGAGCAAAGAUCUAUGGCCGGGUCCAGAUGCGCAAAGAAUAUUGCUCAUUUGAGAUCAUUCUUUUUCAAUAUUCUUUGAACCUUGUUCAUUGAGCGAAGGACUCAAUUUUAGAGAAAGACAAAGUUGUCUCGCUUCGAUAAUUCUUUGAGCGCUCCUAGAAAAGUAGGCGUUAAAGACGUCCUCCGGUUCAAAGAAUAUUGCCCAUAUUUUGCACUUUUUAGGCUUUCUCUUUCGUCUUCCUUAUACCUUUUUCUGACUUUACCUUUAACCCGCGGGUUGAUCGUAGUCUUAUCCCUAUAAUUGGCAGUCUUCUUCCUUAAUUAAGAGUUGAGUUAUGGCACUCGGCCGAUGCCUAUUCUUCUUUCUCAUUCAAGGUAUGACGCUUACUCUGGUGGGGUUCCUCGGACAGUCCCAGGACCAGUCAACUAACCCUACCCUAACUAAACUAAGUAGAAGAGUCGAGCGGCCGGUCGCGAUCCUAGCCCCUAGCUUACUUAGACUCUGAGGCAAGAAGAUAUUUCCUUAGUCUAGCUUCCGAGCCGGAUUUCUUAGUUAAGUAACUAUAACGAAUAACGGAAGUGUAUAGAUAGUUCAUGGAAAGUCCCUCUUUCCGGAAGUUCUCCAUCGCUUUCUAUCCCGCGGUUACCGGCAUCUCCUGCAGUCCAGUAGUGGAGAGCUCUAUGCCCGGUUUGAGAAAGGGAUUUCGAAGUACAGAGAAAGCCGCGCUACUAUCUCAAUCUAAUAUUGUCUACUAGAUUAGAAAAGAUAUGAAUUACGAUAGGGAUUUCAAUUGGGGAAUAUGAGGUCUUGUCCGAUCCGCUGCUGACACUCGGUAUAGACGCCCCUAGGCUUGAUCUUUCCUACUCUUUCUUCGCGGAUAAAGAAAAAGAAAUAGUGGGUUCCUUCGGUAAAGCUUCUAGCCUCCAACUCUGCUGGCAAACUCGGUCUCGGUCGUACUCUUUCUUUCCCACCUGUUCUGAGGGUAAUGUCUCUCAGACUCUGUAUCCAGCUCCUCUCCGGGAACCUCUCAUCCCCUAAUGGAUAGUCCUUCGGACCUGUCUUAUGGACUCAGCAAUAUCCGAAGUUGCAGGCUCAAUGUAAUAUGAGUUGCCUUCCAAAAAAUAGCCACUGAUUUAUAUCCAUAUUAGCUUUGAGCCUCAGUCGCAAAGUUAUUUAAGGAAUGAACGAGUCAAAAGGACGGAGCGGGUCCGAGCGGUAGAGUAGAUAGUUCUGGGACAAACUCCAGAGAAGAAGAAGAAAGGGGAAGGCUCUACCAAUCAUACGAGGGUCGACAAAAGGCACAUUCAUAUCGGACGGGUCCGGAGGACCUCUUAAUUCCACUAAAAUAGUCGGACGGAUAGGCUUUCAGAUAAGAUAAUAUCAAAUCUUCCACUCAAACUUCUUUGUCAAUAUUCUUUGACUGGAAAAUAUGAUUCAUACUUGCACUCAUUCAAGGCAUAUUUCAUUGCGCCUUCUGGAAAUCUUCUUUGAACAUCUGGACCCCGUCCAAGAACAUGAAAGAAAGUUCAGUCAGGAAAGCCUACCAUAACAUGAAAGUGGAAUAAGACGGAGUGACCUCUUAUGCGGGGGUAGAAGUUCACUUUCUAUUGAAUUGAGUCAGAUCCUUUUCCUAAUUGCAUAUAAGAAUCAAAUAAAGAAGAAAUUGAUAGAGGAAGAUUCAAGACCAAUCCCGAUGACUCCGAAAGGGAUAAGAUCAAAAGUCUACCAGGAGAUGAGAGCUUGUGCACAUUUCUAAGAGCGGUUCUUCCUCCUCACUAGCACUGUCCAGCAAGAGCUCUUACUCUAAGAGAAGACGGACCACGGGAAUGCAUCUGCGGUAUUGAGAUUUCUUUCUUGAUUCGGGGGGAUUCUCUCUUUAUCUAGGAUUCCUCUUUCUUCAGAGUAAGAAAGCUAAGUGACUGAAAAAGGGAAAGAACCUUCUCCGCCGCGGACUUCGCCUCCUUCUCUUUGAGAAUAAAUGAGUUCAGUCCUCUAAAAGCGAGAAGAAUCAUGGUGCAAGCAGAAAGGGAUGCCUAUCCUACUACAACCUCUCUUCCUUAUGAGGGGAGGAAACCUCUUUUCAUUUCCGCUAUCUUUUUGAAAGAGAAUUGCCUAUGGCCUAGACCGCAGAGUGGGCUUCUUCUUCUCCUUCUUUUGAAGCGUAAAUCCUUUCGCCAUGCGCCGGGUUGGUUCUCAAUCAUGGAAGGGAAGAGGUCAGACUCCGUCUCUCUUAUUUAUGGCGGUCAUUCAUUCAUUCAAUCUUCUUUGAACCUUCUUCAUUGAGGCAGUUUUGGGACUAAAGCUAGCGGUGAUGGUGAGCAACCCCUAAAUAGUCAUCAUCAAACCUCUCACUCUUUAAGUGACUACUCCUACUGCCUUUCUUGCACUCCUUUUCAGAUUGAUAAUAGUCUUUCCUCUUCUUGCUCCUCUCGCUUUAAGCUCUCGCGUCUUCGCUCCUCUCCUUCUAAGUAUAUACUUUUUCACCUCUCGGGAGGCUGGCAACCUCUUCUUCUUAACCCAGGUAGCGGUUCUGAUGUCCCCACUCCGCGGUAGAAUCUCCCAUUCCUUCUCUCUCGGCCAGCCUGGGUAUCCUAUUCACCUAGGCCAGUUGGAUUGGUAAAGGAAACCCCUGGAAUUCCUUGACUUCUGCCUAUCAUUACUUUCAUUCUGGCAUUCUAUCACGAGGAUUUUACAGGUUUAGGAUGCAAUUAGGAAAAAGAAUACCGGAAGUGAGACUCAAAUUCUUUGACCCUAGGUCUCGCGCCUUUGUCCCUCUCUCGCCUGCCUAGUGGGCUGAUAGAACUCCGUCUCCUUCCUUCGCACCUCUACACCGCGUAGUGGGUCAACUUACUUCGUCCCUUUCUCUGGAUGUGACCACCUUGAUCCCUAGAUAUUGGGUCUUUUUCCCCCUCUCUCUCUCCCCUAGAAAGCAUAGAAUGCCUUAGAUUCAGGUUCUGCGUCCGCAACCUGCGCACGAUCGAGACUAGAGCAGUUCCUUUCCGUCACAAGGCGCUAACCUAUUUCUCGAUUUUUUCUUUUCCCUUGGCCAACUGAACUUGGAUUUUUGAUGGCUUUCUCUUUUUGGGUCUCCCGCUCCGUGGGAUUCUUUGAGCCUUCUUCAUUGACUUGCUUUUUGAACCGCUCCUUUCGCAAAUUCUUUGCGCUUUUUAUAGCUUUCAUUCAUCAAGCCUAGGACUAUGAGCUUUUUUAAGCGGCUGCAAUAUAGCUUUCAUUCAUCAUGACUCUCGCCCCGCAUAUUUCAUUCCGCCUUCGGACCUGUCUUAUGGAUCCUAACGUCUUUUAAGCGGCUGCAAUAAUGAAAGAUCAUGACUCGCAAUAUUCUUUGCGCUUUUUUAAGCGGCUGCAAUAUAGCAGCGGAAAACGAAAAAUUCCCAAAUCAAUAUCCCUGUCUUAUGGCGCCGGAGUUAGGAGUCUGAUUGUGAACUAAUAUAUUCAAAGAAUAUAGAAUAUUGACGAAAAGAAAAGAAUAAUUCACUCAUUAACUCGAAUUCAAGAAGAAUUAUGAAUCUGCUAGAUUGAAGAGCUAGAUUUCAGAUUAAUCUGCUAGAGUGAAUUCCUAGAUUUUGCUAGGUUUUGCCCAUAGGGAAGUAGCAAGAAAUCAUGAAAAAUCAGUCAAAAUUGAUCUAUUUUCGUUAAAUAUCAAUCUUCGAUUUACUAUGAAAAAGAAGCAAAAAAGCCGGGAAAUAGCAAUUCAAGAAUCAAGCCUAGGCCUGUCAUGUCAAUUCACAUAGUUUGUUCAAACUUUUCUAAUGGAUAGUCCGGAGGACGGAGAAAGAGAGGUCUAUGCCCCAGAUCCCGCAUCCUUCAACGGGGACGGAGACAGCAGCAUAAACUUCCCUUGAUGCCAAGGACGGAUGCGACUUCUCUUUCUGCCACAGCGACCUAAGCACUUUCUAUUGGGUUGCUGGAUCAGUCUCGAUUCUCAAAUCAUGAUCAUGAACCCAACCUUACUGAAUUUGUCCAAACUAAGAGGACAAAGGAGAGAGCAAAGGGACAGGAAAAGGAAGCCCCACCCAGUCGCAGGAAUUCAGUCUGAACCCCACGUAGCGGUUUCGGAACAGCUUAAGUAAGAGGCCAAAGGCUGAGGAAGAAGAAUCUGUGUGUGAUGCUGUUCUUAGGGCAAAGCACAAUUAUUCGAUUUCUUAUCAUGAACGAUCGAUGAACAAGGGAAGGGAUUCGGUAGACUAACUAACUAAUCUGGUACAAUCAGAGUUCUCUGAACAGCGGCUCGUCUUCUAAAUUAAGGAUGCCUUGGUUGAUUUUCAUAGUGAAUACACCUCUACACGGCCAGGGAAGCAUAACGGUUUCGGAUUAGCUAGGAAAGGGUCCGGCCGGCCUUUUCCGAGUAUCUUAAAAGAGCAGGCUUUCUCUAUAAUCGGAUUCAUAGUCUUGAGGGAAAUAACGAAUGUCUUAUGAGCCCUUUGUCCGUGAGGUACUCAACUGCGCUUUACACCGUGUUCCGACUGAGGCGCAAAGAAUAUUGCGAUGGGGUUCAGUUCAAAGCAAGGCCAUUUCUUUGGUCCAGAGAGAGAUGACGCAGGUAGCUUUCGGCGCGCCCGUCGUUCAUGCGGUCGCUCCCUCUUCUUGUUGACUUAGUCCUGGUCGAGUCAGUACGUCUGCUCUUGGAAAAGAGUGAGUUUGGGAAUCUUGUCUGUCGAUUACCGCUACGUGGGUUUAGUGACUGAUCGCUAAACUUCUACCGAUUGCAAUUACGGAUGAGACAGGUCAGAUAGUACUUCAGACAGAUCUCAUGAAAGAGCUUCCGAGACUGGGCCCGCCCUCUUUUUAGAUAUUAUGUCUGAGACUUCCUAUCCACUUUCAGUUAGGAGAAAAAGGGCUUCUUUCGUAAACUCUGUCUCACAUUUCUUCCGAAAGAUGAUGCCUAUUACACAGCCACUCUCUUUCGCAAUAUUCUUUGCACCUUCUUCGCCUUCCGAAAUCAAAAGAUGAACGGAUUCAUUCUGAAAAAUUCUUUGAACCAGAGCUUGAUUUUAGCAGGAAGGGAUACGUCUGCCUUUCCGGCUUCCUCUCUCUGAGUACUUCUGACUCUUUAUUAAAUUAAAUGGAACAAGGGUCUCGCUACUCACUUCUUAUGUUCCGUCGCGAGCUACUUCGUCAACCUCUUUUCCUUGGGUCUUCGAACCAGGCAGUCAAAUAAGAAGGGUAUCGAUCAAACUAAUGAAUGAGAGAGAAGGCCUCCAUCUUAUGAGAGUUCUAGGGUCAUAGGGGAAAGCCUAGGGUUUGAGGAGAUCCUUCGACUUGAGAUCGCUAUCUCACUGAAAUUGGCUGUGGCACUGAAAUAGGCAUCAUCUUUCUAAGGGUUGGGAUCAGGUGUGGUUGGGCGCGGAGGUUGAGUCUCACUUUUGAGUAUUGCAGGAAAGAUUUUGUCUUUGGAUAUUUUUUGCGUGGUUUAGAGUUUAGAACCGAAGGAGCAUCAUCCGUUUAGCUAAGCUAUUAUUCCAAAUAUGUUCUAUUCACUAUAAAGGAAGAAAGUGAAAGAUAGGCUUGAUGAGAAAUAGUAGGUUCUAGGAUAUGUUCAGGAAAGCCUACCAUAAGAAGAGGUCAAGGCGCCAUAAGACAGGGAUAUUGAUUGAUUGAUGCCAACAAGAAUUUAGUGGAACCGCGGAGUGGGACCGGUCCGGAGGACUAUUCGCUAUUCUUUUUUAAUGGAUAAAGAAGUCCGGAGGUUCCCGCAACUCAUAUUGCAUUGAGCCUCACUAUUUAGCGGAAACUGCUUUAUAAAGGAUCAGGACUUUCUAUAUAUUGCGCCUGUGAAAAGUCAAGAAAAGAAAAGAAGCUCAUUAACGAGAAUGAAAGAAUACGAUCAUUCUUUGAGCCUUGUUUUUACGGAGUGAAUUCCUAGGUUUUGCCCAUAGGGAAGUAGCAAGAAAUCAUGAAAAAUCAGUCAAAAAAGUACUUUUAUCGUUAUUUAGAGAAAACCGAGAAAGUAUGAAAAAGAAGCAAAAAAGCCGGGAAAACGCAAUGAAAGAAGAACUCCUAGGACAGUCAAUUCACAUUUCUCAGUUCUAGUUUGAGUUUCUGGUCCGGAGAAAUACAGGUCUAUUCUUCUCAAUAUUCUUUGACCCUCCGUCUUCAAUCUCAAAAUCAAUGAAGGAGUACAAUGAACAUCAGAAUGAUUCUUUCAUUCGAGUUAAUGAGCUUCUUUUCUUUUCACAGGCGCAAAGAAUUUGCGAAGAAGGACUAUCCAUCAGGUGCAAAGAAUAUUGCGAAGGGACCAGAUGACAGAAUAUUAAGGACUUUAUCAAGCUUAGCUUUCUGGGAGUCUUCUCUGUAGCCAUAAGAAUGGGACCUCUAGCUAUUUCAUUUCGUAGAAUGCAUGAAGAAAGUUCAGAUAGAUCGAAGCGAACUCGUUCGAAUCCCCACUUUCCCACGGAUGCGGGGAAAUGCAGAAAAUGCAAGGGUUUGCCCCCAGCCGGAGGCUGAUUAUCUGACUUUGGAGCUCUUAUGUCUUGGGCUACGGCUGAUUAUCUUUAUCAGGCUCGAUUCAAUUGAGUCUUCUUUCUUUCAUUUAUUUAGGCUCUCAGUUUGAAACUCAAAUCAGCUAACAAGAAAAACAAGCUUCUAUUUUGAUGCCUCCUUUUCUGUCUUUUGAGUUAACAACUAUUUGAGUGAUAUAAGAAAAGUGGCUAUUUAUGCGUUUUACUCUAAUUUAGAGGCCCACUACGCCUACUUCAAUGAAGAAGGUUCAAAGAAGAUUGAAUGAUUAUGCCGCGACUUUCAUCUUCUAUAUUCCCGAACAUAUUAUAUUAGUGGACUUUAUUUAUGGGGUGAUGAGUGGUCAAAAUGCAAGAAAAAAGAAGGUCAACUAUUUGGAAUUCUUUUUUUUGGAUUUCUUUCUCAGAGAAUUUGCUUAAGACAUGCAUUCUUCAAUCCCUUCCAUAAACAAGUCCCAGAAAAGCAAGAUUAAGGAUGCCUUCUACGUGGGAAAAGAUCUCCCGUAAUAAAAAGGAAAAAUGCUUACUCUUCUUCUCAAAUUCUUUGAACCUCACUCUCUCUCAAGCGGACAGACCGCAGAGAAGAGAAAUUAGACUUCAUGAAAUUAGGCCGAGCCCUUGGAACUUUCGGUCUAGUCCUAUUGUAAUAGGAAGAGAGAAAGACAAGGAUAUGGCAAAGCAUUUGCAUCCCUCUCUACUAAAUGAAAAUGCCUCAAGAUAUAAGGCGGUGAAGCUCAAGCGCCUUUACAGAAUGGGAGGGCAGAGAAUUCAGUCUAAGGUUCCGCGUGGUCCACCGUGGGUACGUAAGGAAAGAGGAGAAGAGCCGUCUGGUCUGGGGAAAGUUCUCCCUGCAAGACAUACUGCGGGAGGCCCGUGCGGCGCACCCUCGCAAAGCGGCCAGGCGCAGGUCGAUAUCCUCUGGAAGAGGAUAGACAAAUACGAGGAUUGGCUGGAUGAUCCAGAUUUCAGCCUUAUGGUCGAGGUAGAAUAGAGUAAGGAAAGGGAAGAUGCCCAGCGGAAUAAGAUAGGAAGAAAGACUGUAGCUGAGAGCAUCCUCGCCUAUCUCGAGGAUAAGGGGUGGCCAGUAUACCGUAUCGGAGCAAAGAAGCGGAGCGGGGAAAGAAGAAAUUUCAUGAGUUUUGGUGAAGCGAAAAUCAAUGGUUUUUGACAUUCAAAAGAAGUAUUAUACUUGAUAGCAUCUCUAAAAUCUACCUUCUCAGAGAAAAAACCGGGGUUUCCAUAAACUUGCAAGGGUUGAUAAGUCGAGGUGUGCAUUUGCUUCACAUAUGCGGAUUGGUAGAACUAGCAGUCCUUCGCCUCAUCCUCUUCGUCCAUCCAUCCAAGCCUUCUUACCGAUGAAUAUCCUUCUCUUAUUUAUAUGAUAUUGUCUCGAAGAAAAAUCUCAUGACUUCGAUCACCCCCAAUGGCUAACUUGAUCAUUGUGCGCGCUGACCUUCACUUCCUUCCGCCCAUCCACUCGGUCGAGCUUACUCAUUCCCUUUAUGCCUUCCCCGACCGGAUUGGAUUCCUCUCUCAGUUAUGGGUCCCCGAAACUAUACUCGGUCAAGUAGCGACCCCUAUUUCAUCACUAAGUCCCCUAGGAUCAGAAGGGCUUUCUUCCACUAGGUCUAGCUGCUGCCCUAGCGGGCGGGCAUAUUCAUUCUCCUCCAACCUAUUUGACUCAUGAAAGCGACUCAGACCAUGAAGAGAUGAGGCUACCUUCAACGGAGAACUCCGAUUUAGUCUCUUUCCCCUCCUCACUUCAUUAUGAGGUAGACGCUUAGUCUUUCCUAUUUUCCCCAGUCCUAGCGAUCUACUUCUGAGUUCUUAGACCGCUCCGUGGGAAGAGAGAAAUCGGCCUUGGAAUAGGCCUUACAGAGAUAGGGGAAGGAAAAAACUUAGUCAAGAAGGACUGAAAGACCAAGGGUUCCGAGAAUCCUCUCCUGCUGACUCCUAAUGGAUAGUCCUUCGGACGGAUAACUAUCAAGUAGUUGACGGCUGUGCUGUGUCCGCUACGCUACGCUCCUGAGAAAUAAAGGCUCUUUUCAUAUUGCGGCUGCUACGCUCCGCUUCAAGAAAGUGCUUUCACCACUACGCUCCGGAUACAGGAUAGGAGCAAGUCAAAGUAGUUGACGGCUCUUCGCUCCGCUUCAAGAAAGUGGGUUAACCGCUACGGCUCCGCCUCUGCUACGGAUACAAGUAGUUGUUCCGGAUAAAUAUCUAAGUAGUUAGAUAACUAAAGGAGAAAGUGGUUUCACCGCUACGGCUCCGCCUCCGCUGCUUGGAUCUGACUGAAUCUGCUUGCUUGGAUCUCAUGUUCGCGAUAGCGACCCCCUGAAUCAUAUCCUUUUCAAUUCUAAGUUGUUCCGGAUAAAUAGUAGUUAGAUAAAUAAAGGAGGUAGGAGGUAGUUGACUGUCCGCUACGCUACGGCUCCGCCUCCGCUCCGGAAGUGGUUUCAGGCUGUCCUGUCCGCGUAGCUGAAAUAAAGUGGUUGACGGCUGCUAUCAAUCGCUGCCAUCAAUCAAGAAUGUACGUUUUUUGUACACGGUUUUCCUACUUUCUUUUGGACACGUCCGCUAUUGCCUUGAGUCGUUUUCCUCGCUAAGCUAAGGCUAAGAAAGAGGUCCGGCCAUACGUCCGGCUUUUCAUUGUCGGCGAUAUCGAUAUCGAUCCGGCUGCCUUGUUGUGGCUUCGCCCUGAAGUUCAGAUUGGAAGCGGAACUGGAUAAAUAUCCUUUGGAGCGUAGCGACUGAAUCUGCUUGGAAAGAUAGCUACCCCGGAGCGGAGGCGGAGCCGUAGCGUAGCGGACAGCCGUAAACUACCAACUACUUAGAAUUUCUUUAUCCGUCCGAAGUCCUCCGGACUAUCCAUUAGGUCCAUUCUCAGGAGCGGAAACCGCCGCAAUAUUCUUUGCGCCUGUCUUUCUCUGGGUUAAUAUGGAUAGUCAUCUGGACCCCUUAUAAUAUAAUUGGGGGCCAUAGAUCUUUGCACCUUGCUUUCGGAGGAUUUGUAAACUCUCAAUCUUCUUUGAGCCUUGAUUUCGGAGGACCACCUCCUGUAUUGAACUACUUGAUCCGUAACCCACUACGCGGUAAAAACAGCAAAUUCUUUGCCUCUGUCUUAUCCGCUUCUUUGAGCAAUAUUCUUUGCACCUCCUAUAAAUAAGUGGACUUUCUUAUCUUUUCUUGGUCUCCUCCGAAAAUGGCAUAUCCGCAAGGCGUAGACCAUUCCGAAAGGCUAAAGCAGAUCCGUUCUUCCGUCUAGGCGUAAGCCACUCCGUCUAGGCGCUAGUCCACGAUGCCCCUAGUCGCUAGCAAGACUGGGUUUAACCAAUGCACUUUCGGGCAUACAUCGUUUGAAUAAACUAUUAACGAGAAACCUUCUCAGUCAAAAGGAGAUCUUUCAAGUUGCCCGUCUAGGGACGAGCUGGCCAGAGCGUAGCGACCACCUAAUACCUAAUAUUAGAGUCCGCUAAAUGGAGGCGCAAAGAAUUUGAGAAACCUUUUUUCACUCGUCUGAAGUGCAUUCUUUUUCAGUUUCUCAACUACUUAGCAAGAGAAGACAACUAAGAAAUAUCAUGGAUAAAUGAGAUAUAUUCAUCACUGGUAGUUCUAGCUUUGUCUUUUAUCUCUUUGUCUUUCAUGAGAUAAGCUAGAGGAUAUUCACUCAAUUUCGAAUUCAACCGUCUUUCUCAUUAUUCUAUAACUCCUUCUUUCUCUCCGUACCGCGUAGUGGGAUUGAAGAAGAAGAUGUACGGCCCUUGAGCCUCAGACUUGGUGGGCGUCUACCCAGUGGCUUCUUCCUUAUUCCCGAUCCCUCUUUCGGGCGAUCUUGUUGGUAUAGGAGGGGGGGAUUGACUCACUUUGAGCCCUCCCUAGGCUGGCCUUUUGACCUACAAGAUCCAGUCCGGAGUCCGGAGGAUUUAUCCGUAGUCCGGAGUCCGCAGUCCGCAGGAUUUAUCCGUAGGACUAUCCAUUAGAAGUAGUCCGGAGGAUUUAUCCGUAGGACCAUCCGUAAUUAACCGAAGUAGGACCAUCCGUAAUUAACCGAAGCAGUCCGCAGGGCCAAAGAAAGGUCCAGGUGAUUUAUCCGUAGGACCAUCCGUAAUUAACCGAAGUAGGACUAUCCAUUAGAAGUGCUUUCUUUAUUUCUCGACUUUCUCUUAUUUAGUUUAGGUCUCGCUCCUUCGCACCUGGAUUUGGACUCAAUUUACGCUGAUAACAGAACUCAAAUUCUCUCGCGAACGAGUGGCUGCAUGCAGUAGUUGUCCCAGCGGCUGGAUCGGUAAAUAUGCUCGACGAGGGUAUAGACCAAAGCAAUAAGUCAGUCUCUCUGCUUUCCAGUGGGCUCCGUCGGAGCCUUUAUGUGGCAGCAGUUGCUUUAGAGUGCUUGCUGUGGCAGGAUGUUAUAGAUGGGGAAUGAAAUCUGAGUUCAUUGGCCGUCGGCCUAUUUCUGAAUCUAUGGAUGGAUCGAAAGAAGCUCAGACAUCUCAAUCUCCGUCAAAGGAAAUAUAGUUAUCAGGCUCGCUAUAAGCCUUGGUCGAUCUAGCAUACGAGCUUACCAAACAUGACGCACAUACUCCAGAGAGCCUAUUCAAAGAAAAAGAAGAAAGAGAACCUAUCCUAAGCAGCAGAUCGCGUCAACAUCCUAUGAGGUUCAACCGAUACUGCCUACGAGAGAAUUUGACUUUUGCGUCCUCUAAGUCAGAUUUCAUCUAUAUAUAUAAGUGCACUUAUUUCUUUAAGUUUCCGUAAGGUAUCACUGCUCUUCUGCUAAUCCUGUAUUCAAUAGAUAUUCAUUCAUCGGUUAAGUGAUAAUGAGUCAUUAACUAGGCCCAGGAGCUAAAAGGAAUUCAGUUUCGUCAGUGACUAGGACGCGCGCAAUAACUAAGAAUCAGAGGAUCUCGCUAUCCCAAUAUCCAGUAGGGUCGAGGCUAGAAGGACUGAAAGGACCUAAAUAGGAGUUGAUAACUGAAAGCGGGAGUUCGUAUGUAUGGUGCAUAUCAGUCUCAGUUGAAUAGGAUUGGAUGCAGCGGGUAUUCCUACAUUCUUUCAUUCAGAACUGAGGCCACAAUCCCGAGAGUUAGGGAGUGGAACUUCCCUAGUGGGAGGCCUCCGAAGUGGCUGAGUCACUGACAUCGGAAUCAGUCUUUGUAAUAUUCAAACCUAUACUUUUCCCACUCGUCUUUUUGCCUUUACUUUAGUCUUUUCGCAAAUUCUUUGUCACGCCUCUCCUUUCAGUCGAGCCUCCCUGAUGGAUAGUCCUUCGGACCUGUCUUAUGGCGCCGCGGAGGGGGCCACGAUCUUUGCUCCUCUGGACUAUGAAUCAUAUUUUCGUAAAUAGUGGUCCUACGGACUAUCCAUUAUCAGAGAAAGAAUUUGAGAAAGAGGGAGAGAAGCGGAUAAGCGGAUCUUGCAUAAAUCAGCGGAUAUUGCACAAGCCGAUCUUGCUCUUUUGACCUGAUUGAACUCCGUGACGGCGUAAACCAAUCCGCAAUAUUCUUUGCACCUUCUAUAUAUCCUUUGCGCCUUUCUUUCUCCUACGCGGAAACCUUCUUCAUUUCUUUCUCAGGAGCGGACACAGCCGUCAACUACUUUCUAGUUAUCCUAUCCUUUCUCCUUUCUUUCUCCUAGAGCUAAUCCCUAUCCGACUUUCUUCCGCUCCGUGGGCUUCUCAUGAGUCCGCGGUUGAGGCAGGCGUCCCUCUAAGUUCGGGAUCCGUAGUUGGGAAGUAAUCAAUCCAGUUUUCAGCCUUGAUAUUUGACUUCUUAUAAGACUGCUGAGGCAGCAAGCACUUCAACGACAUAAAGAACUUAUUCAUCAACGGAUGCAAGAAUCCUAGAUCGAGCCUGAACUGCCUCUGAGGAAAGGGAAAGAACUGGUGGAGCUGCGUGCGUGCGUGGAUCAGUCACAAUGCCCCGUCAGUCAAUCCGGUGGGUCGGUCGUCUAGCCUAACCCCCGACGCUAUGGGUGUGACCUUUCAGACGUAAGUCAGAUUCCUUGUGGAUCUUUUCCUGUCCUAAUGGAGGAUGUAAGGGGUUUGCAUCCACCCCAUGGUUGAGUUUGCACGUCAAUAGUCUUUUGUUCUCACAGUUGGGAGUCAAAGACAAUGAAGAAGAAAGAGGCCCUGAAUGAGAGGCGCUCAUCGAUCCAAUCGAAGAAGACAGCACCGCGCAGUGGGCGUCUUCUUCUCCAACAAAGGCAGAGUGCUCACUAAACUAGGUCUCGAGUCCCUCUUUCUUCAAGUUCGGGAUCUCCUCUUUUAGCCCGAUCUUGGGAGCCAUAUAAAAUACUGAUUUUGGAGAAAGUCAAAAGCAAGCUUCUAUUUUGAUGCGUUCGUAAACUCAAGCCUUCCUAACUAAUAAGAGGAUAUGAACGAACAAGAUGAAAGAAAUAAGAUAAGAAGAGCUGCUAAGAAGAGAGAUCAAGAGAGAAUUAAGAGAUCAUUCAAGAUCUCAUUCAGAGAGAUCUGAACUUAUGACUACUUUCUCUUCUUUCAUGUUGAUAGGCUUGAUCUUGAUUUCUUUCUAGUUGUUUUGAAUUGAGAAUGAAACUCUAAGUCUGAUUUCUCUCUUUCUUUAAUGAGUUCAUUGCUUUAUCUUUCUCGUUCACUCCUAUCCUUAUAUUAGCCUUCUCACCGCCCAUCCAAGCUAAGGGAGAGGUGAAAAGAAUAUUGAAUUCCUAUUAACCUUCAACAGAUCUAGAAGUAGUCUCUUACCUUUCUUGCUUCGGAAACAUCACGAAGGGGAUAGCACGGCGGAGUGGGAAGGGGAGCGGCUGAAACUAGGUCAAGCACAGCUUAGCCCCUAAGCAAGUCUGAUUAUUCCCUUGCUUUUCACUCUGACGGAGAUUCCGAAAGAUCUCAUGAAACUGUCUGUCUCGCAGGACCGACCCCCGUACUUAUGAAAUUACGGAAGAACGACGCUCCUGGGUGGGGGCGCCUAGCCCUCUUGGUUGUGUCUCAUUCUUAAUAGAGAAGAUCAUCAGCUAAAGAAAGUCACAACUCGUAACUCUUCCAGGGAAGGAAGGGGAAUUUCUCCCCCAAAGAUGAAUUGUCUUUACUUACUGAACUUCUUAGUCCCUCUCCCUAUCGUUCUCACUCAAUUAAUCUUCGCCUCGCGUCAGUGUCAACAUCCGGCGCAAGAUGAGCUGACUGGGCUGGCCUGGCCUUGACGGAAGAAAUCACUCUUACACUCCUGAACCUUAUUUAUGGUCAAGCUGGUCUCCCGUAGAUCAGUCUUCUCCGACCUGGUUUCCGAUCUGAUAUGCGCUACGAGUGCAAAUCGUACCCAGGACUCAAAAACGGAAGGAUUUUGCCUACGGUCCCCACCAUAGGUUAAGCUCAAGCAUUGACUCACUCGGCUUAGGAUCUGCUCAAGCAAGGACCGACCGCUUGGUUUAGCCCAACUAGUGAUCAAGAACGAUUUGACUCCCUCUAUAUUAUAUCCCGACUGAUUUAUGGAACUGAAACUUGGACUGACGGCUUUCCUUCCUCUCCGCAAUAUUCUUUGCACCUCCUUCUCAAAUUCUUUGAGCCUGUCCUUCGCGCCUAUUUUUUUCCAUUAAUCAGUUGCACUCCAAUUCCCUAAUGGAUAGUCAUCUGGACCUUUCUUUUUAGUUCUUUGCGCCUGUGAAAAGUCAAGAAAAGAAAAGAAGAAUGAACUCAUUAACGAGAAUGAAAGAAUCAUUAUGAUUUCAUAACUAGAAUGAAAGAAGAAUUAUGAAUCUGCUAGAUUUCAGAGCUAGAUUUCAGAUUAAUCUGCUAGAUUUCAGACUAGUCCUUCGCGGAGGGAAAUACAAGAAAAUGCUAGGUUUUGGGCUCGACUGAUAAGGAGAGCUGAAAAGAAAUAGUAGCAAGAAAUCAUGAAAAAUCUGUAAAUAAAGUACUUUUAUCGUAGAAUAUCAAUAUGAGAAAAACUAUGAAAAAGAAGCAAAAAAGCCGGGAAAUAGCAAUGAAAGAAUCAUAAAGGGAUAAGAAAUUCACAUAGUUUGAUUCUUGUUUGAGUUUAUGGUCCGGAUACUGACGGGUCUAUUCUGGAUUCCGCGUAGGAGAAAGAAGACAAAGAGUGAAGCUUAUAGGGAAAAGAAAUGAACAUAGUUUGAUUCUAGUUUUCUUCUAAUGGAUAGUCCUCCGUUUUAGAGUCCUACGGAUAAAUCCUCCGGACUGGUCCUUCGCCUCCGACGGAAAGAAGAGAAUGGCGAUCAGAAUUUGAGAAGGAGUCUGAUCAUGGAAUCGAUUUCUUCUUGUCUGCAGAUUCAGGGGUUUGAGCGUCUUUUACCGCGGAGUGGGGCGGAAACUUCAGAGCCUCAAGUAAACUCACUCUCACCUUUCUCCUUUACCUCUAGUUCUACCUAUUAAUUAAGGGGAAUUGCCUCGAUUCCGGCCUCUGUAUGGGAUGCUUACUCCGAUGAUGUGAGCAAAUGGACCGGGAUGUGCCUCGUCAUGUCUAUGGGCAUUCAAUGGCGAAUGGAAUGAGAGCAAGGAAACUAACUUCCGUGGGAGCCUUAUGUAUGAGAAAGUCUUUGUGGCCUUAGCGCAUCUGCGCACCUCCCGUCCCGUGAAUGAAUUACGGUUGCUUCUAAAAGCUCUCUCUUUUCUGAAAUGCUAGGUGUCAACUCAUCUGGAGCUUGAUUUUUCCCAUCUUUGAAUAUCUACCAACAAAGAACUCUAUUUGCACUCCGUCCCGGGGACACCUAAGAUGGCCCUUUCUUCCGAAUCUUGAAGGAAACUUCAGCAUUACUAGUAAGCCUCAUAAUAUAGAAGAUGAAAGUCGCGGCAUAAUAAUAGAAUAUGAUCUUCCUUUCUUUCAUUCUUUGAGCCUUCCUCUUCUGAAACCUCUUAUAUCUUUUUCUACUUUCAGUUUAUAGUCCUGCUCUUAUUGAAUCUGAAACUGACUGAACUUUCUUCUUGUUGGCAUCAAAAUAGAUCAAUUCAUGAGUCCACUGAAUGUUAGGGUAGGCUUUCCUUCCUUUUUCUUAAUGAGGCUAGGGCUAGUCCCACGAACCAGAGAAUUGUUCUAGCUUCACUCAUUCAACCUAUUCAACCUCAACAUGGAUUCCGAUCCCAACUCCGAUUUUUUGGUCUAUUUGCAUCAGGCUUAGCCCGUACUAGUAAGAAGGUCUUCCCGAAAGGGGCCCUGUCUAAGAUCCUGUGUGCCGGCUUAGUAGCGCGUAAACAGAAGACGUCGCCUAAGCUACAGCUAGACUCAAUAUUCAACCAACCUAUGAUCGAUCCAUUUAUUCUUUCAACUUACUAGAAAUCAACCAUGUCUUAGGUUCUCGUUGCGGGAGAUCUUGGAACGUGCCCUGUGAAUGCGCAUACAAAUAGGGUCUAAAUCUUAUGUCGCCUACUAAAGAAGUAAAGGCGGAGAGUGGAUUCUAUAUUCUAUCAGUGGGGUAGGCUGGACUGGGGUUCUGGAAAAAUCUCUACUCAGCGAGAAAAGAUAAAUAAAGAAGACUUGGUUCAAAUGGGGACUCCGUCUCCAUUGUUUACAAGACGCUAUUUUGGAGCUUUAUUUAGGAUUCCUGCUUUUUUUCUUUGAUAAAAAAGGCUUUGACCUACUCAAAGAGCAGAGAUGGACGCUUUAUACAGAGGUAGUGAGGUCAUGUAUACUCAUGGGAUGGCUUUUUGGAGUAAUGAUCAGCAUCCAAGGACGGACGAUCUAAGUCGUUGUUCAGUAAACUAUUCUACUUCUCGCAUGCAGUAUCCGAGUCUUGCCCCUUUAAGUAAGAUCUCGGAGGUAUUUGUGUGUCCUCUCGGUCGCCUUGACCAAUCACAGAUCAGCCCGACUAAGGGUCGCUUUGAUCCCUUACACAUCAGCUCAAAAGUACCCCUUUCCAUUAUGAUGAUAGGGGUGGACGGUAGGGCGCUAAAAGGGGCAUAAUCGCUGGAACGGCUAAAAGUGGGCCGACUCUCUUCCAUAAAGAUAUAUAUGGAUAAAAGGCCUUUCAUGAGUGGUAGAAACUCCUUAUCUAUUAAUUAAGGUUCUAGACUCAAGUUAGCAAAAAAUCAGACUGAGGUCGAUAGGGGCAUUACUGGUAUAAUUGCUAAGGUCCUUUCAGAAGUAUUAAGCAUUGGCUAGCGCUCAUCUCCAGCUCUCUUUCCAGCCUUGAAUUUCAUAUACCAUUCCGCCAUACCUCUCAUCCUCUUCGUCCAAGCCUUCUCCCGUAGUUGGAAGCAGAACUGAGACUGGAUGUAACUGAAGGAAAGGGGAUAUAGAUAGGAUAGGAGGGCACGGUUAAGCAGGUAAGCGAAGGCUCUCUCUCUCGCCGUGUAAGGGUCUUGUGUAAAGCCUUUCUGCCCAUUAUUUCUCUGAAUUCGUCGUAAGCAGGUCGAAACCACUACGCUAGGCUUUCUUUCUUUAAGCUUGAUUUAAGGUGCAAAGUUCGGUUAAUUACGGAUGGUCCUACUUCCACUUCCAUAUGGAUAGUCCUCCUUCCCUCCAUAUGGAUGGUCCUACGGAUAAAUCCUCCGGACUACUUCGGUUAAUUACGGAUGGUCCUACGGAUAAAUCCUCCGGACUCCGGAUAAGAAUCCUGCGGACUCCGGACCCUGGACCUUUCUUUGGCACGUAGGACUGGAUCUUGUGGAGCGAGACGGAGUUCACGAAGUCGAUAAAAAGGAAUAGCGAAGAUGAGUUAAAGAAGCACUCUACUUCAAAGAAAAUAAGAGUUUGCUUUCCAUAAUCACUGAGAUCUUUGGUCACGAGGUCCACAGAGUUAAGUUGAAGAACUCUACCAGAGGAAAACCCUGCCUAUAGUAUAGGGCUAGCAAGGUAAGCAGAUGUCAUAUUCAAGAGUCUAGUGAGAGAGUCCAACCAGGGGAUCCCUUGUACAGAAAAGAAAGGGAGAAAAUGGCGGAAUGCACCCUCCUUUCGGAGAUCAAGAAUUUUCUUGGAAUGCUCUAGAUGCCGUCGUGGAAACAAAGGUACCCUGUGGACAAGGAGAAUAGGCACGCCACGGUCCCAAGGCAGACUGAAGAAAGGCAAUGGAAAGGCGUGAUUCAUUUCUUCGGAGCUAUUAGAGUGUGAUCCUGAAUUUUGAUGGUAAUGGCCCUUGCUUAUUAGUCGAUUUUGAGCAUCUCUCUUCAAUCCUUCUGCCUAUAUAAUAAAAGAAAGUAGUGAGGAGAGUGCCAGCUCCAACCGCGAGGGACAUUGGAAGGACGGGAUGGCAACUCCAUUCGUUCUAGAUGUCUUUAUCCAUCUUCUCGACAGCAUGUCCUAGACAUAGCUCCGUAGUACUGACCUUAUCGGAGACAAGCAGAGCGCUUUAUUGGCCUGCCUACCGUUCUAAGGAAUUUCUUGAAUAGGUCCUUAUUCAUUAUAAUGCUCUCCGGCUUGGAUCUGUCUGUAUCUGUCCCCAUCCUCAGGAGGUCCAUCCCGUGGUGGUCUGUCCAGUCCAGAGUACUCCGUGGGCGAGGCGUGACGCAUUUCCAGUUGCCUUCUAGGUCCUCGGUCCUAUCUCAUUUGCCGAAGUCGUAUGGAGCUGUGGAAGUGGUUGAAAUGGAAUUGCUCAUGCGCUAAGUUCUUCAUCCUGAAUCCCUUCCCCAACAGAAUGAAAGGAUUGUAGCCACGCAAUUCAAUGAAUAGAAAAGAAAGACUAUCGAUCCAAAAAGAAGUUGCGCUUUCUUGAUUCUUAUGAGAUCUUUACCCUUCAGCCUCUUUCGCCGGGUUUUCCAUAGAUUUGAUGAAACUAAAAAAGAUUAAGGAAGACAUAGCGGUUCAAAGUAAUAGGUUUCACUCAAUUGCAAUAUUCUUAGCCCCGCUCCGUGGUCCUCCGGACUAUCCCUCAAAUUCAUAGAUUAUGCUGAAGGAGGAGCCAUAAACAAGUCCUAUAAGAAGAAAGCCCUACUUUGCCUAUCCUUCUCUGCCUCUGCUGGAAGGGCUACGGCUUGGUCUCAUUCCGAGAAUAAAGGGAGUUUGAAUGCUGCCCUCAUGCAUGAAAGAACCCUAUGAUUCGUACUACUUCUUUCUCGUACUUCUAUUACGGAAUCAGAUCUAUUAUACCCUAGUCUCGAUAUAAUAACUAAUACUCUUCCCUUACAAAUUCCCCGCCGAAAGGAGCAAAGAAUUUGCGAAGGAUAGGGGGAUCCUAUUCAUGAGACCCGGGUUCCGAUCAGAGUGCCAUUCACCAUGAAGGAUGUUCCUUCCCUAGCUUGCUAGAUUUGUCUUCCUAUCUAUAGCAUCUCCUACUUCGGGGGACCAAAAAGAAUAAUAGUUAGCUCUUUCACGGCAAGAGCAUUCCUAUCCCUUUCCCGCAUGUGAAAAGAGUGCUUUCAUUCCUUCAAUGCCAAAAGGGAAAAUGCAAUGAACAAUCAGUUCCAUUAAUAAGUCCUCCUAAUUGGAUCUGGUCUCUAUAAAUGAACUUUGCUCCUCCUUCAGCAUAAUCUAUGAAUGAUCGGAGCUUUGAAUAUUGCGGAAAAGAAGAAAGGAGUGCAAGGCGCAAAGAAUAUUGCCGGACACCUGUCCUUCGGAUGAAGAACCGAACUUUGACUGAAUAUGGACCUGAUGGAUAGUCCUUCGGACGUCCGAAGGCGCAAAGAAUAUUGCGGAAUACUAUUACUUUGGAGAAAGUUGCAGAGAGCCAAGAAUUUGCGAAAGGAGUCUUAUUCCACUAAUAAUUAAUCAGUCCUUCGGGGGUCAAAGAGAAAUUCAUAUUCUCAAGAAUGAUCGAAGGUGAAAAGAAGAUUGAAAGGUUGAAGCGAAGCGAAUACUCGUGCAAGUGCUGGAGAGGAGCUGCUGAGUCAAGCAAUUAUUCGAAAUAGAUCAAUGAAUGAGUCUUUCCCAAGAGUAGGACUAAGUUGGCAGCAGCAUAAUAAGCGGAAGACUUCCUUUGAGUAUGAGAAGGUUGCUAGGUAGGUAUGAACCUACUUGACCAAUACUGAAAGAGGUGAAAAGAAUAUUGAAUCGCUCAUCUUCUUUAGUAGGUAUCGGCUAUGAAAUAGAAAGAUAAGUUGAGAAAGCUAUUUCAAAUAUAAGAGGUUACGAGGUCUUUUUAGGAAAAGAGUAUGCCUUCCCAGUUGUAAAGGAAGGAGGGGACCUCAUUCAUCUGAAAGGGUCGGUGUCCUAAUUCCCCAUGAAAAGCAAAUGCUAACUGAGAUAGCCUUUUUCUGGCUUUAUUCCUAACCUUUGUCCCUGUCCCUCAAUCAAUGGGGCAGAGGCAUGUCUUCUUUCUUGCAUAGUUUCGUCAGUUCAGAGUCAGCGAUCAGUUCUUCCAUUAGAAUCUUCUUCAAGGUCAUUCCCACGGAGCGGUGGGACCACUAUAAAGAAGUCCUCCAACUACGUUGCCUCUUUCAUGAGAAAAGAGAAGAUCAAGACUUUCAGCAGCAGAGAGAACUACAGCGAGGGCAAGUUCACGCUCUUUCUCUUGAUCGGUUGAGUAGGGAUCCAUCUAGAUGGAGUAUCCGACGAUUUCACAUUUCUCAAUACAAGUUUAGAUAAGAUCAAAAGUCUCAAUAGGGUUCCGAGCGGUCAGAAAUAGGGACGAGUUAAUGAAUAUGGGGAUCUGCCUCAUGAAUAUGGAUAAAGAAGUCCCACUAUUUAAAGUUCCUUCUAAAAGAUGAACCGUCCGAAGGACUAUGAAAUCUAUUAGUUUUCGCUUGCACUCGGAAUUGAACUCAGGGGAAGUUUUCUCCAAGGUGUAGUAAUCCCUUUCUUUCUUGAAAAAAUCAGUCAAUAAAGAAUAGACAUUUGUGGAUUCUUCAUUAACGAGAAUGAAAGAAGAAAAAAACAAAAAGAAUCUGCUAGAUUUCAGACAUCUUUGCUUAAUAUGGGCAGUUCCAUACUCUCUUUUUGACGGAGGGAAAUGCUAGGUUUUGGGCCUAUAAAGUAGCAAGAAAAGACAAAAAAUCAGUCAAAAUUGAUCUAUUUUCGUUAGAUAAGAAAAGUCGAAAAAGUCCUAUUUAGAAGCAAAAAAGCCGGGAAAUUGCAAGGCAUUGUCCUAUUUGAUUUUCGAAAUUCACAUUGAUCAGUUCUAGUUUGAGUUUAUGGUCCGGAGAAAGAGAGGUCUAUUCUUUAUUUCCCUCCGUAAAAACAAGGCUCAAAGAAUGAUCGGAUUCUUUCAUUCCCAUUUUGAGCUUCUUUAAUUCGAGUUAAUGAGCUUCUUUUCUUUUCGUCAAUAUUAUAUUCAUUGAUUUGGAGAUUGAAGUAGGACUAUCCAUAUUAACCUGGCACCGCGGAGUGGGCAAUGAUCUUUGCUCCUAACUACGGGGUCCGACUAUCCACUUAGGAGGAGUUUGUUUGAGGCUUGCUGCGAAAGAGUGCAAAAGGAAAGGAAGUAGGCGCACGUUGGAAGAGGGACCAACUUCUUUUCACUUUCUACGAUCCCCUUCCCCAAGUUACUAGGGAGUUGAAUGCCGGGGUUGCCACAUCCUUAUGUAUGAGGGUUUUGCUUAUGACUUAGUCACCUGGAGAGAUUGAAAGGUAGUCUCCUCCCCUCGCGAUGUAUUUUUCGACCCCUGAGUAACUCUUGCCAUUGUAAUGUCUGGUUCUGCCCUAUAGAAUUGCUCAUGGAACUUGUGUGGAAACUGGUACCAAUUCUUAAUUGAGUUUGGAGGGAGGUGAAUAUACUAUGUAAAGGCCGAUUUAGUAAGAGAGUUGGCACCGAAACUUGAGGUAGUCCUUGGACCUAGCUUCUCCGCACUGGACCGAGAACCGAGCUAUAUGCUCAAUAGUCGACUUCUUCUCCUCACCGGAAAAAGAGAAGAAAGUCAGGUUAAUAUGGAUAAGUCCUUCGGACGGGUAGAGAAAAGCAAGUUCAAAUAAAUGGGCCGGACUGAGAAAUCCAUAUGAAUAUGAAAGAGAGGACGUCCUUCGGAGUAUAUAGCGUAGGAGGAGGAAAGAAUAUUGCCUUCCCAAAACGACCAUUUUUCUUGAGGCGCAAAGAAUAUUGCGGAGGGGUCGAUCCAAUCAUUCUAUUUGCAAUUUCGGGUAAAGUACCGCUUUCUAUACAGAGAUAUGUAUGCCCAUCAGAUUCAAUCACAGUCUCAAGGAUUUUAUGACUAUUUUCAUAGGCAAGAAAAAAUACUAGUUCCAAAGAAAGGAGCAUCUGUCAUAGGAAGCCAGCCUUGGGAAGGCUUUCGAGACCUGAAUCUGAAAAUGUGAAUGAAAAGAAGAAAGCCUAGGCCUUUGACUUAGUGGAUAAGAGAGGUCCUUCGGACUGGUAGAUUUCAGAGUCCUUCUAAAGAAAUAGGAUGAAUAGUCAGAAGGAUCAAUGAAAUUUGAGAGUCCUAUAAAUUCACUUUGCGACUGAGGACGGGUAAGAGACAGAGUCAGCGAUACCUUCGAUCAUAGUUGUCCGAUUUACGUUGGGCGAUGUAAUGACCAUAACCUUUCUGGUCGAGCAGCUUAUCUUCGCGGAGACCUGCUACUUCCUCAAAAGAAAGAAGAACUGAAACUGAAGAAAGAACUGAUUCAGCUGCUACGGCGGCAAGGGCUCGGUCUCAUUCCCCUUCCCUUCCAGAGUGGGCGAGUUGCUGCUUCAGGACUUUCUUUAGCCGCAAGGGGCUAUGCCACCCAAAGCAACCCAGGACCCUAGCUUUCUCAAGGAUCUUGCUUACUUUACUAGUCAAAGACUGAAAGAAUGGUAGGCUUUCUCUCUAGUAAGGCUUUUUUUGUUAACACUCCAAAUGAGGUAAAGCACGCCUCCAAACGGAGUCCAAGAUUCAAUCUAAGUUGCGAGACCUACUACAGAGGUUCAAAGAAUAUUGACAGUCGCGGCGCGGAGUCAGAAGCUUCUAGGUAGGCGCCAAGAAUCAGCACCAGAGAGAGGGGAAAGGGCGUACGAGAGGCGCCGAAAGAUCGAAUGAUCCAUCUUAUCAACUUAAGAAGAAAUCCUUUGCCUUUUUCCUUACCGAAAGACUGGUCCUUCAAUGGCACAAGGAAAGGGCUUUUUUGACCUUGCGCUUUACCUUUUUCACGGAAUAGGGGUAGUAUGAGUUACCAGUGUACGUAUUUAAGGGAAAGAGUGUUGGAAGCUAUCUCUUUCCGCUCCUUAUCCCGUAAGUCACUCCAAAAAGGUAACUGAAAGAGGCAGCCCACUACGCGGUUGAAGAAUCAUUCUCGUAUUAUCUUUUCUCGGGGACCACUCUGAACUUAGAUUAUAGGGGUUCAGCUCUUCUUCUUCUUCCCCUUGGGAUUUUUUAGGGAAAUCCAAUAGUCAUUUUUCGCUUUUGGCUCAUAUAAUAAUGCAGCAAGAAAAGACAAAAAAUCAGACAGAGAAAAUAUCAGACUCCUUGCGCAGUUCUUCAUCAAUCAAUAUCCCUGUCUUAUGGCGCCUCAUCUUCCGCCUUUGUUUUUGGAGCGGUAAAAAAAGAAAUCAGUCAUCUGGACUGGAAAGAAUUUGAGAAACCUUUUUUCACUUUUCAUUGACUCGACCGCGUAGAAGGCGCAAAGAAUAUUGCGAGACUGCUGCCAUUGAUUGACUUUGGUGCUAUCGUUUUCGUAUAUAAGAGAAAGGCUGCACAUGAGACUCUAUCCAUUUUCUUUUUCCUGGUGACGGUGUGAGAGUAGGAACUCUUGGUCUUCUAUCCCUAAAUCCCUAACCGCGGUUGAAAACCCAGUCUUAGCAAGUUGGAAUAUCCCUUGUUCUCGUAACCGGUACGGGACUAGUCCCGUAGAAGCGAGAACUCUUGCCGCUCUUCUUGGUGAGUUAAUAGCUAUAGUGCCUUAAUCUAAUUACUUAAUUAGUGGAUUGACUGCUUUACUCCUUAGCCUUGACGGCUCUCCAUCUUGCUGCAUUAUUAUGGCUUUCUUUCUUCCUUCAGUUUUAGCUCUGAGAGAGAAAGGAUCGAUCUUACGUCUCAGAGCGACUCUAGGAGCACUUCCAUCUCUUGACUCGCUAUGCAAAUACACAUCUGGCUUUCAAAUAAUAUGGUUUAUUGUCUAGAGGAAGUCAAAGACGGAGAAAGAUCAAGCCUAGCCUGAAUGAACAAGGGGUGCCUUGGGACUGAAAAAAUGCUGAUACGCAGUUUUGACUGAAACCUUUUGUAUACUACCCCGAAAGCUCUGACCCAGCUGUCUCCGAUUUUGAAUAUCCCCAUUUCCGAGGCGCUGUCAAUGGCGUAACCGCUCUUUAAUAGCAUUUUCUAAAGCAUAAGGAUGAUACAUACCUUCCUUCUUCUGAGAUGCCGAGAAUAGACUCUUUACCAGAAAACUCAAAUCAUUCUGCCUGACUGCUUGACGGCUAUUCAAGUUUAUAGGAGCGGCAAGAGAGGCUUUCUCUUUCUGGUAACAUAGAAGAAAGAAAGCCUACUCGCUUACUGACUUUUUCUCACAUCUCGAUCUCCGGCUGAAGAAAGAAUCUCAACCUCUCUCAAUUCAAUGUCUUCCUGAACAUUCUUCCUCUUCCGAUACCCUAGAACCGUCGUCCAUAUUAAGCUACGGAGGACCAAUCCGAACUCCAUAAAAGGAAGUUAUAAGGACCGCAAAUUCUUUGCGACUUAACAGGUGCGAAGCAGUGAGACUAGAGAGGAGUGCAAGGCGCAAAGAGCGGCACCGGGGAUCAUGACUUUGAUUUUUUGUGGAAUAACUCCUAACGUCAGAAACUGCUUUAUAAGGAUCAUGACUCUUUUAAUGGAAAUUAUAAGGCGCAAAGAAUAUUGCGGAAUAAAUAUGCUCAACAAAGGUGCAAAGAAUAUUGCGAGGCGGGGAAUGAUCGAAGCCUUAAGUUCGGAAGAUUGAAUCAACGGAUGGGUUUGCUCGAGUGCUUUCCUUUGAUUGAAUCUUGGACUCCGAUAGGGGUAGUUGUUCGCUCUCGUACUGAGACGAGUACUCACGGUCAAGUCCCUUCGUACCUCUAUCUAUUCUAAUAUGAGUCUAUGAGAUUGAGAAGAAUAAUAGCUUUCCCACGGUCUCUGGGGUUCCUUCCUCUUGAUUCCCCUUUCCACUCGGGGAACUAAAAAACCGAAGGCUGAAUUCAGAUCGUGGAUAAGGCUCGGUUAAGCCUUAAAUAGGAUCAAAGUAUUUGAGCUUUGCGCCUUGCACUCACGCAAACCGCAAUAUUCUUUGCACUGGGGGAGGGCUCAAAGAAUUAUCUCAGGAGUGGGGAAAAAGAAAGAAGUUGAAAUAGAAACCCACUGAAUAGAAGUCCUUUUAGUUCUCGCUCUACCCCCAAGACUGAUUUUUUUUGAGAUCCAAAACAAAAGCUAAGCUUACUUAGUAGUUUGAGGAAUUCAAUAACUGGACCAAGAGGAAUUUCCUUUCGCUUACAUUGGUAGUUCUAGUCCCAGUGCCCGUAAGCCAGCCAGUGGUUGGUCAUUCUUAAUCCCUUCCUAAUCCCAAUCCAGCAGUCACCGGGCAAGCCAUACAUUUUUCUUCCCGGAUGGAGUUUCUUCUCUUUGCGAGCCUCUCUUGCAGUCAGUUCACCUUCGCAAUAUUCUUUGCACCCGUAGUGUAGUGCCAAAGAAAGGUCCAGGGUCCGGAGUCCGCAGUCCGGAGUCCGCAGGAUUUAUCCGUAGGACUAUCCAUUAGAAGUAGUCCGGAGUCCGCAGUCCGCAGGAUUUAUCCGUAGUCCGGAGGAUUUAUCCGUAGGACCAUCCAUAUGGAGGGAAGUAGUCCGGAGUCCGCAGGAUUCUUAUCCGUAGGACUAUCCAUAUGGAAGUAGGACCAUCCGUAAUUAACCGAAGUAGGACUAUCCAUAUGGAAGGAAGGAGGACUCCCAGAAAGAAGAAGAAAAGAAGGAAGGACUCUAAAACGUAGUGGGGCAAUUCAUUCCUUCUAAGCACUGUCUAAGCCCUUCUUCAUCUCUUGCAGGUAGCAUUCUCCAUACUCGUUCUUAAGUCAUGGGCGAAAGCACUACUUUCCUUCUUAUAGCCGAAGUGCCCCAUCCAUGGGCUUGAUGGUUCAUAAAGGUAGGUUGUCAGGCACAAAGGUGGGCUGUAGUUGUAAUAAAUAUUAGAAAUCAUAGUUCAGUUCAAGUUCACUAGUCUGUAUAUAUAGGAAGAGUUUAAUAAGGUCUUUACCUUGAUAUUUUAAGGUGUAGUGGAUAAAACCUUACUAGGACUCUCAUUACCAGCACUAAGAAUAAUAAGGGUCUUAGUCUUAGUGGAUAAGGUGGAGAAGAUGUCUAGUCUCAGUGCCUGGUCUGUAGUACAGGCCAGUAAUAAAGUCCCAGGUAAGACUUUCUAUAUUAUAUUAUAUUAUAUGACCAUUCUCAGUCUCGCCCUUGUAAGUGGUUAGUCUAGUGCCAUUUCCCUUCGAUCCUCCAUUGUCUAACUAUAACCGGACAACUAUCCUAUUUCAUAUUACCUGUAAAUCAAGUCUAAAUCGAGUCCCUAGAUAUAGAAUUUCUACUGUAGCAUAUUACCUAUCAAUGAAUAUUACUAGCGUAUUCCAUCUGAAUAUGAAAUAGGAAUAGGCAAUAUACCUUAUUUGAUGCGUAAGCACACUGCCAGAGAGUUCAAAGGUACUCGGAAUCCUACACUUCCGUGUCCUGAAAGAGAAUGCUCCCCUUGGGUUUCAACUGCUAGACUGUCUACCUUUUGCCCUGUCAAGGCACCUACUCCCCUGCUUGCUAUAGGUCCUCUUAGACUCUUACUAUCAGUUCUCGUAACGACUCUUCUACUUGAAUCAUAUUAGCCGACUUCUUUAUGGCUCUCUCAAAUUCUUUUUCAAUCUUCUUUCUUUCUCAUAUUCAUUCAUCCGACGGAGCGGAGCAUUGAAUUUAUAGAGGACGACAGGCGCAAAGAAGAAAAAGAAGGCCCCAUACCAUAAGACAGGUCCGAAGGACUAUCCAUCAGGCGCAAAGAAUUUGCCUCGUUUAUCCAUUAAAAAAGAAUGAUCGAAAAAGUCAUGAUUCCACUAGUCUAGAUUUUCUGACUUGAGGCUCAAAGAAUGAUCGGAGUUUCAUUACGUUUCGGUUCAUUUUUGGAGCGAAGUCAAAAGAAAGCGGAAAUCUUCCAGUCCUACGUGCCAAAGAAAGGUCCAGGGUCCGGAGUCCGGAGGAUUUAUCCGUAGGACCAUCCAUAUGGAAGGAAGGACUCUAAAACGGAGGAUUUAUCCGUAGGACUAUCCGUAAUUAACCGAAGGAGUGGGCCAUGAUCUUUGCAGAAAGCCGAGCCUUUAAUUCUUUGCACCUUCCAGUCUCGCAUAUUGAAUUGCGCCUUCGGACCAUAAAUCAGUCCAACAAUUAGGAACUUAAGGAAGGCGUAGAAUUCUCUGCACUCCUCUUAAGUCGCUUCUCAAAGAGCAAAAUAAAGCUCUCAAAUUUUCUCCGCAACUCAUAUUGCAUUGAGCCUUUGUUUUUGCUCCUAUUAGUGGAAUCUUUGAGACUCAUAAGAAAAGAAAGUGAAAUACGAAAUAUUCUUUCUCAACAAUAUCCCUGUCUUAUGGAGCCCAGAAAAGAAAAGUGGGCCUUUUUUAUAAGAGGACUAUCCGUCCGAAGGCGCAAAGAAUAUUGCUCGAAAGUGAGAGUGUGGAGUCAAGCCUCAGAUACAUAACUAGAGAGAGAUAAGUAGUCCGGGCGAGCAGCUUCUUACUGAAUUACCUUUGUAAAUGAAAGAGCUCACACAGCUACUUCCGAAACUGGGACCUCUCCCUCUGCAUGGGCUGCUUCAUACCUUUCCCGAGUCAAUUGAGAAUUACCUUGAUUCUGAAGCUUUAUAAUGGAACUUCUUUCAUGACGGAACUCAGCACACCCUAUGAAAAUGAGUUCGAGCUCCCGCUCCGUGGGAAUUGAACCGCUCCGUCGGUCCUAGUCUGAAAUCUACCAGUCUCAUCACCCCAUUAAUAAAGUAGCUUCAUUGAUCUAUUUUGAUGCCUCUAAGUCUCGCGAUUAGUUCUAAUCCAACUCAGCAGCUUCCGACACCCCUCUUCUUGGUCUCGCAACUUUGUCCCACUUAAAUGAGUUAGUCGAUUCCCCUUUGCUUCGGAAACAUCUCAUGCCAAUACCGCAGGAAAUGGCACAACGGGCCUCGCGGACUCUAUGACGACUUUCUUAUCUGAAAUCGUUGAUAAUCACAGGUUAAUUCAAAUGAGAAAACGGAUAGUUUUUACUGGUAGGAAGCAGAAUGAACAAGACAGAAGAAAUGCUCUCUCAUCGCGCAAUAACUCGGGACUGAACCGAUCUUACGAAGAAAGCCUCAAGCUAGGAUUAUCAAGGUUCAAAGAAUAUUGACCUAGAGAAAAGAAGGCGCAAAGAAUAUUGCGACCAAGCGCACACUCUUUUUUUUAGUCGUCCCCCGUUGCAGUGGAAGUCCUCGCUCUUAAGGAAUCAAUGAAGAAGGUGAAAAGAGAGGGUAAAGAAUGAAAAAAGAAAGAAGAAGAGGCUGAAUUCAUUGAGUUGCGGAGAGAAAGAAUUUGAGUCCGGGCAAAGAUUUCCCGAAAUGGUAGGACCGAGCAUGAAGCAAGAGCUAAGCUGAGGCCUCAUCUUCUUCAGAAGUACUUUCACUAUUAGUUGAGGCGGGGAAGUUAUGUUUCGGAAGACUUCCUGUGAGUACGAUUUAGUUAGAGCUCUUGUUCGCCGAACAUGCAUAAGAGACUCGACCAGAGUUCAGUUGCUUCGGAGAUAAUUACUUUUUUUUUGAAUGAGAAGAAAAAGAGAAAAAAAGAGCCUUAUUGAAAGGUGCAAAGAAUAUUGCCUGAGUUCAUUUUCCGCUUUCUUUCUUUUUGGGGUCAGAAUGACCUCAAAACUCCUCUCAAUUCAUUCAGCCUAAGGUCUUAAGACUCCUUUCUAUUUAGGGCAAGUCCGGAGGACGGGGAUCAUGACUGAGAUUAUUGGAAUCAGACUCAAGAGGAGCGGUCUUAAGACUCCUUGCUAUUUUAGGGGUCCAGGUGCGUCACAGGUUAAUAUGGAUAGUCCUUCGGACUGAUGAAAAUGACAUCGUUUUUUCUUUCUUUCAAUCUUUGAAAUGGGGGUAGCAAUGAAAAAGUCCUCACCCUCACGCAGCGCAGCAGUAGUCCCGAUCAGUGCACGAGAGCCCAUGCAAGGGCGCCUGCUUCCCUUUCUCCAACGAGAACUGGAUGAACUCUGAAUUAGUGCAAAAUAGAUUGAUUGGUAUUAUAUACAACCUAGUAGGCCUACGCAAGAAUGGAGUGCCGCCCUUCACCUCAUUGAAGAAUGAAUCUUCUGUCUUCCGCCUUCCUUCCUCUCCACUUGGGCGAGUCGAGCUAUCCUCGCGACUAAGCAAAAAGAGUGCUUUCUUCUUCCUUUUAACGGAAGCUCCGAUCUAAGACUGCUUCAGACUGAAGCUCCUUCUCCCCGUCCUGGUCUCGCAUAUUCCAUUCCAGGUGAGGUUCUAAACGUCGAGUCAUUUCAUUGAUCGGCUUGGGUCCUCGUAUUCUUGAAAUUCAAAGAAUGAAUAAGGAAGAGCUCUUACCGAUCUUCUCGAAGAACCGACAGCUACUUCCUCUCAAGCCGAUUCUUCUUCUUUUUUCAUGCCGAGAAAGAGGAGAAUGCUGCUUAAAGUAGUAGGCUGUCCCCUCCCGUCCGUCCUUACUGUGUGACUCUUAGACUGCCGAUUGAGAGUUUGCGGUUUAAAGAAAAGAGCGGGUCGAGACUGAACCUCUGGAAAAAAGAAGGUUCUCCUCUUUAUUCUGAUUCAAGUUCAUGCCGGAAUCAGACCUCUCCGCUUCUUUGCUUCAGGUCGAGCGGCCUUCUGUCCUGACUCAUGAAAAAAGAUAACUUCCCGUAGGUCGAGCCAUUGCUUCCUCUUCCCUCUACACCGCUACGUGGGGUCGAGCCUCAAAUUCUUUGAGCCUCUUUCAGUUACGAAUUUUUAGUUCUUUAAUGAAAGAGAUCAUACACCCGAAAGAGAGAAAAUGGAAAGAUCUCUUUCUCAUCCAUGAAUGAAUUGCCUUUCAAUUCUUCCUUUUUCUUCAAACUACUCAUCCUCCCCGUCCUCAGUCCUAUCCAUAUUAACCUGUCAUCUUGACUUGCGCUCCUCGCAAUAUGCGCCUUCCAGUCCUCAGUCCUAUCCAUUAGAACGAACCGGAGGACUAUUGCUGAAUUCAGCCUGUCUUAUGGCGCCAUUAAUUGAGUUCAUCCGUCCUUGUUUAGGAAAGCACUCGAGUAAUUGUUACAGGUUCAGUGAAAAUCGAGGAGAGAGAAGGAAAAGCAGACGGAGGUCUUGCACAAAGUAGCUUGACUGGAUCCGUCGGAAUAGGUUGAAGUAUCUCUUUCCAGAGGGGCAAAGGAAUGAACUUGAAUCAGAGUAAUAAGUACGACCGCGAGAAAGAAGCAAGUCCACCCACCAUCAUACUCAAAGUCAAGGUCACAUCUCUUAGUAUUAGAUCUUGCUCUGGCACUGAAAUCGGCGGACAACAAGCGGAAGCUUUCCCGGCCUCGUCUCAUUCAACAAGGGCAGAAGGAGAUGUUUCAGAAGUAGCCCACAGAGCGCUUCUUUCAGUGGAAGUUCUUGUUCCAGUUGAGGAUGCUCUCGUUCUUCCAGGAGAAGUAGCCUCAUCCCUUCUGAGAUGAGAUCGGAGAGGCUGACAACUGUAAGAUUAAGCCAGGAGUGGGAGUAUGUGAGGUGCAGGUAGGGAAUUGUGUAAAGUGCUCUUUCUACAGUGGCUGUAGCCCUUGUUCAUUGAGGCGGUUCUAGCUGCUGAGUCAGAGUACGAGGGCUAGGCCCAGGCAGAGUUAGCGAGACUGGUCGGAAGGAAGUAUGAGAAUGAAUAAGAGCUUUAGAAACGUACUAUGAUAAAGAAGUAGUCUCACUCAGUGGAAUCAGAGAGAACAUCUACAGCGGAAUGAGAUGUAGCAUUGGAGAAUGAGUCAAGCUAUCACUGGGUCGCAAAGGGAAGAUCCGGAAGCCGUCUCGGCGGAAGUCUCCCAGUUUCAUUUAAGCUGUCAAAAUAGUCGAUUUACAAGAAAAUCAAGGUCCAGAUUAGCUUAAUUAGUCGACGUAGGAGGCUCCCCAUAAAUCAGAGGUUAGGAGCUCUUUUCUGUCUGUCUUCCCGCGGGAAAAUGAGUGAUCCUUUGCUUGAUCUUUCUCAGAAUGCACUUCAGACGAGAGAUGAAAAUUCAUCAAAAAAGAAAGUACUUAAGAAAAGCAAGAAGAAGAAUCCGUUAAGAAAAGCAAGCACUCUUUCUAUAAUAAAAAGCUCAUGAACGAUAAUGAAAGAAUCCACAGAUCUUAAUGUUUCUGACUCAGCCGGUCUCCUCAAUCUGGUGCAAGGGUUGCGGAGAAUGAGAUCCGAUUCCGAGGAGAUGAUAACCUCAUUAUAAGGUAGAUAGAGGAAAGCCGAAUCGAUUAAGAUCGCCUCCUAACCUCUCUGCUUUCCUAAAAAAAGACUGCUGACUUAGGAUGGUUCUAACCCUAGAUCUCUCCGAAACCUCGAGCCAAUAUCCCUAUAUCGCUCCUCCCUCUCUUGCUAGCCCCGUGGGUUAGUAGGAUUACUCCACGUAGCGGUAAUUCUAUCUUCUCAUUCGAUUAAGGAGAUAGGAGGUUCCUGCUUUCUUGGAGAGUGGGGGAGGCAGAGGUAACUGAACUAAGAAGAAGACAGGGAUCUCAGCUGCUAUCCCGGAUUGACCGGAAAGGAAGCUAUCACAAUGAUCGGUUGAGGAAGAGGUUAGAAUAUCUCUGAUUAUUAGUUUCGCCGAGGCUGUGGAAGGAACUCUAGGCUUUCCUUUAUCUUCCUUCUAUGUUUAUGGAGCGGAGCCAAGUUCGAACUAAGAGGAGAUCCAAAUCCAGAAAAGAAAGGAUAUAAUAUAAGAGAAAGCUAAGCUAAUAUGGAUAUAAAGAACGACUAAGGACGGAGGACGGAAUCAAAAGAUAUAGGAAGACGGAGAAGGAGGAAUUUGAAAGAAAGGAAGACGGUCAUAGCAGUCCGCUCCAUAAAAUCAGUGAAUAAGGUUCAAAGAAGAUUUCAUUCUUCAUGCACUCCCUCCUUUCAUUUUCUUCUUCCGCUCCGCUUCUCUGCUGAAGGUUCCUGGUUUAAUUAACUACUAAAAAGCCUUGUUCAUUGAUUGAAUUAUCUUUUGCAUCAAAAUUCAAUUCUUCUGCUUCUGAAAACAGAAUGAAUAAGGAAUAAUCUCUUAGUCUGAUUCCAAAAAGUAGGCUACGAAGGCUCCGUCAGAUAGGCUUUCCUCCUAUAUUGAUUCUAAAAAAAGGCGGACUUCUUUAUGGUCCGAAGGACAGACAGGCGCAUUGAAUAGAUUAUGCUGAAGGAGGUGCAAAGAAAGAAAGCUAAUAUGGAAAGUCCGGAGGACUGGUCCUUCUAAAGAAAUAGGAUGAAUAGUCAAGAGGUGCAAAGAAUAUUGCGUAAUCAGUCAUUCAAUCUUCUUUGAACCUUUGUUUUUGGGGUAGAGUCCACCGGAGGCUCAAAGAAUUUGAGGAAAGGCGCAAAGAAUAUUGCGAGAGAGGACGCUAAAAUCAAGGCGGCAAAGAAAAGGUGAAUAUAAGAGUCGGAGCGAAGCUGAUUUGUUGUAGAGUUUACGAGGUUAGCCCUAGCCUCAAGAGCUCAUCCUAUCACUCAUCAUCUGACUUGGUGCGGGAAAUGGGAAGAAUCUAGCUCGACUCCAGACCGAUUAGGAAGCUCCCCCGAGUAGGAGAAUGAUCAGUGGAAUAAGAUAAAUAGGAAGAAAGAAAGAGGAGAUCAAUUAAGAAGUCAAUGAACGAGGCUCAAACGGGUUCAAUUCCCACUCCGCGGUGAGAAGUUCCCUUCCCUUUGCAAAAAAGCCUAAUGGGUCUGCUGUACAAAAUGGAGCUGCCCGCUCUUUGGCUGACCUCCCAUGCGGGUUGACCCAGAAGUAGAAGUCAAGAAAGAAGGAAUGGAUGGAAAGUCGUCUUUGCCCAAGUGUGAACUGCAGACGAAUUUGGAAGCUCCACACGAACCGAUUUCCGCUAUUCUGGAUUCUUAUUGAGAAAAGAAAUAUGAUUCAGCGAAGUUUCUAUGGUCCUUUGCCUAGUCUCGGUCCACAGUGGAAGGCUCCGCACCCGAGCCUCCUUAGACUCAGCGGAAGUCCCUUUGUUCAUUGAGGCGGUCUAAAUAUGAUAAGUCCGACGCCUAGUCUAUAUCUAGAGUUGACGCAACUCCGUACUGAGGCCUCACUACUACAAAAAUCAAAGAAGAAAACUCCUUCGCUUCAAUUCCCACGCAGGUCCAGAUGAGAGGGCUAAGAAGAAAAAAAGCUUUGUAGAGAGACUCAAAUUGAGCCUAUCUCCCAGUUAAUUCUUAGGCUUUAGGCCUGGGGAAAGAGAGAUAUGAAAGAGCAUACCGAUCGAAGAAGACCUCUGCUUCAACGGAAGCCACUGAAACUGCUCUAGCGUAAGGAUCUUCCCCCCUUGAAACCCGACUUUGGUCGUUCAUGCUUGAGGGCUAACCUCGAAGAUUCAUGGUUCUAGCUCGCGGAUGGAUGAUCCAUAUUAUAGAAUGAGAGGUGUGUAGGAAAGCUUUCUAUUCAUUGUCAGAAAUAUUCCCAAUUCUCCCUCAUUGAGGCGGUGUGAACGAUCCCUUGGACUAGCGCUAGAGAAAGGAGGGAAGGACCCUUAUCGUAUUAUGGGCGAAGCAAGUCAGUAAAGGAGUCCCAAUCGCGGGAUCUCCGUCUUGCAGGCAUUCAUGGGUUCGGGAUCUGAUCUUUCAUCUUCUCUUUCAUUCCCCCUUUCAGAAGCAAGGGAAAGAGUAAGCUCGGCAGAAAGUUGAAGUUCCAUAAAUCAGUCCAACCCACGGGGCGGUCUAGGGAAGGAAUUGAAUUUUGAUGCCAAGAAUGAAAUUCCAUAAACAAGUCCCAGGAAUCUAUUCCAUUAAAAAAAAAGUCGGGUUAUAUAGGCUGAAGAAGGAUAGAAGCUCUUACAAGGAUAGCCCCCUGAAAAUAUUAUGAGAGAUGAGGCUCAAAGAAGAAAGAAGAAUGGCGAAGGCUGAAUGAAAUUUGAGAUUUUCCGCUUUCUUUUUAGGAAUGCAUUAAUUCAGUACGGAAAGAAGAAGAUGUUCAGUUAGCAUCUCUUUUCUUUAAGGAUUCACGCAAAAUCAGGAUGCCUUGGUCGAAAGGCUUAUUAGUUGGAUCGGAGGAAACUCGGAAGAGUCAGCAUGCAAACUCUCUUUUCACUAUCAUCAAAGAAGAAUGCAGAAUGAACUCAAUCGGUACUCCACCCAGGGGCUCAGUUCUUCCAUUGCAUGAGUAGUACGCUCGACCUUCUUUUACUGCGGAUGGAGGUGUAGAGGUGUGAACGCUUUCUUUUCAUAUGAGAAGCUAAAGGAGAAGAACAAGUGAACCCUCGGGCCCAGGGGCAGCAGACUUUGUUUACGACGAGGCGGAUCUCUCCAGGAAAACCCACCAAGAGGAGGUCAGUCAAGCCUAUACGAUUUCAGACCGAUCGAUAUUGGCUUUGAACGAGAAAGCCUCUGAUUAAAGGACUGAUUAAUGGAACUCCGAUCAUUCUUUGAGCCUUGUGAAUUGACUUUCUUCCUUAUUAUUGAAGUAGGUUCUUCCUUUGGAGCUAUUUAUUCCCUUCAGAUUUCAGGCUCAAAGAAUUUGAGUGAAAGAUAGAACUUGAAAAUACAAGACAAAUCCAGGGUUUUGACGAUGUCCAUUUCGCCAUGGGCUUCAUUCAUUGCAUGCUUUCCCCCUAGGCUUUCUCUUUGGAAACAAGUCCAAGAUUCAAUCAAAGGCGCUCGACUAAAAGGAGAGGGACGCUCGACCCAAAGGCAUAAUGACUAGUGCCACGCCCCAAGCACCAAGACUGCUUAUUCCGCAGAAGAAGGAGUUUCACAAAUCCAUCGCGAACGAGAAGGACGAGGCGCUCCUCAGGCGGAGGGAAAGAGGCUGCCUGCGAGAGCUACCUAUUUCGAGAAGAAAGAAAAAGAGUUGCUGACGAGCCCAGUUCGCUUUCUUGAUUUCUCUGGCUCUUGCAUAAGUGGUUGAAGCAGAAGUGCUUCGAUCGAUGAUUAAGUCUUUGAAUUGCCCAAGCCCCCUUAUAGAUAAUUUCUGUAAUUCAUUCAUUCAAAGGCUAAGGAAGAAAGGCUAGACCCCGGAUUUUCUGGGAACAGGGGAGCUCGAAAGGCAGAAGCUUGACCACUCGAUUAUAGGGGCUAGAACAAAGCGAAGCGCAUACGAAGUAGAUUGAGUUUCAGUAUCCUACCAGGCCCGGCGGCUUUCUUCUUGUGGAGUUCGAACCGGAGAAUGAAUUCUCAAAGAUUCUACUUUCAGUGGAUAGUCGGCAUCAAUCAUAUUUCAUUGAUCCUCUGACUAGAGGUUGAUAAGUUUGAGUUCCAUCUUUGCUAUUCAAAUCAGUUCCAAUCUAAUCGAUAAUUCUUUGAGCCCUCCCCCAGAAAAAAGAAUAUUGCAAUUGAGUUCAUCAUAUUGAAAAGCAGACGUUAGGCUCCAUAAGACAGGUCCGAAGGACUAUCCAUAUUAACCUGGCACCUGUGAAAAGAAAAGAAAAGAAUAAUUAACUCAUUAACUCGAAUUCAAGAAUAAUUAGGAUUUCAUAACUCGAAUUCAAGAAUCAUUAUGAAUCUGCUAGAUUUCAGAUUAAUCUGCUAGAUUGAAGACGGAGGGAAAUACAUGAUUUUGCUAGGUUUUGCCCAUAGGGAAGUAGCAAGAAAUCAUGAAAAAUCAGUCAAAAUUAGACAAUUUUCGUGAAAUAGAAAUAUGAAUUCAACCUAUGAAACUGGGACUGACUCCCUAACUAACUAAGUCAGACCCUCUUAACGAACUUAAUGUUUUAGAAAGACUUGAGAAAAGAAUCUGAAGCAAAAACAAAUGUAUCAUAUUAAUUCUUUCUCAAGAUUAUCAAAAACAAUAUUAAGACGAAAGAUUAUCAGAAACCAAUGUAUCGGUCUUAACGAUUUCUCAAGAUUAUCCAAAAAAAAUGUAUCGGUGUCGAUGAUGACGAAGACUAUGAAAAAGACCUAGGCACUACAUAAGAGUCUGAACCCAGAAAUAUAUAUAUCUCAAAUCAGAAAGCAGGCAGGGCGAAGUCAAAAGCCCAGCGCGCACUCUCUUCUUAUCUAAUUAUCUAAGUCUCGCUAUUUCAUCCAAUCCUACAUCCCUCUUUAAAGAAAGGUAGGCCGUGAAGAUAAUAUGAAAGGCAUAUAGGCAUCCAGUCCGGAAAUGGAUUAGCAAGACAAGAAAGGAGGCCAGACCUCCAGAGGCUUUCCCCAUCUACUCAUACUAAUAAUAUAUAAUGAAAGAAGAGCUUUUCUCAGAAAAAGAAUAAGAUCUCACCUGCCCCAAAGAUAUGACCUAAAAAACCUGUGAAGGAGAACCCCAGAAGAGGCUAGGCCAGCAGAGUUAGUUGACUCGGGCAAGGUCACAUCUCUUUCAGAUGCUCUCGUUGCAGUUCCUCCUGUUGAGGAAGACUUGGAAGUUCUUUCAUCUUGACUAUUCUCAUCCUACAUUUCCUGAAUAGCUGGAAGCCUCACCCUAAACUGAGUCAAGACUCCGCGCGAACUAUACUAGAAAAAGAGUUCUUUCCUUAUCAUUUCAUUGCUUCAACUCACAGGAAAACUCUGUCAAGGAAUAUUUGGGUUGGCCAGAAGCGAGAUCUCUUCUCAUCGGGAGGCAGAAUCCCUCGUCCCAGUAGCAGUUGAAGUAGCUGAGUAUGCCUCUGAAGUUGAUCGGUAGGGCAUUGAAUGUCUUACUAAGGCAAAUAAAUAGAAAGAUUGAAUCAUUUCCUGGUCUGUCCCAUAAUCUGAUCUUAAAGCCUGUUUUUUGACUAUUUCAUGGUUCUACGUGUAAACAUGAAAAUCAGUCUAUAGGCAAGGGCUCGACUGAAAGGAGAGAAAGCCUAGCCUCAAUGACUAAUUAAGCUACGUAGAAGGAGUUGAAAGACAAUGAGUCACAUAAAGUAAAGAGGAUGAAAGGAGGAUGAAGAAUUCGUUUAGGAAGCGAGACUGGAAGAAAGGAGCCU